rnacentral:lncRNA from 1 species
CCUCGAAUGCUGGAAACUGAUGCGUUUGCGCGAUACUAUGGACUGCAGAAGGGCCAGGUGGUGAAAUUUACUUACUGUUCUGGAAUUGCUGAAUUUCUUGAAACCUACCGCUGCGUUCUCUGAUGCUUCCCUGUGUAUUAUAUGCUCAUUAAAACAGUGUUGACAAGCUAGCUAGAUACAUAUUAUAUACAUGGGAUGAAAACAUAUAUCAGGAUACAUGCUGACCAUGUGUACAUGUACAAGCAAAAUGAGCUGUAUAUUUUGACUAGUUUAUUUCAGAAACUCAAUGGCUCGAUAGAAUUUCAUUUGCUGAAUUGAAAAAAUUGCCAUUUCUUUUAUUUAACACAUUGCAUACCUCGUAGCUGCUUCUAAGCCGAUAGUUUCUAAACAAAUGUUGUGAAUAGUUUCUACACCAAUCUGCUUCACAACACUGCAAUCAGUGGGAUCAAUCCGUGAAAGAUCAACAAUGCUACUUUGAUAUAAAAUAGAUUGAAAAUUUUUACACGAAAAUAAAAAUGGCACCGUUUAAUUUUGUUUUUAAAAAAUAAGAAAAAAUUGAAUUAAAAAGUAAAUUAAAAAGAAAAGAAAAGCAAAAGUCACUGUAACAAAUAUAAAAAGGCCACCUUGCUUCUUUAUUAUUAUUAUUAUUUUUUUAACUUAAUUACCCAUCAAAUAUGAGAAGCUUCUCUUUUUGUUUUUUCAAUUAAAAGGUUGUGUCAAAUAUAGCAAACGCAAACCAGCACUCCAGCAGAUUAACAGAAAAUUUUUUAUUUAUUAACUUCGUUGAUCAGCAAUAAUGUCUAUGAAUAACUCAAUUUUCAUAAUAUAAAUAGAAAAUAAAUUCACAAAAUUUCGCUACAUAAAAUGACCAUUGUACAUUAAUAAUAAAAAAAAUAUCAUGAUACCCAAUUGGCACAGAAAAAAAGACAGUAGCGUUUUUAAUUUUAAAUGAAUAGCAGAAAAAUUAUCAGUCGUUAACAUAAAUUUAUCCUGUUAUAAAAUAUUAUAAAAGUUAGAAUUUAUUCAAUUUUUCACCAUAUGUUUACAAAUUGUGUCAACCAUCCACCAAAAAGGUAACAUUACACUUGUAAAAUAAUUACUAUUAUAAUUUAUUUUUCCUUUUGUUUGGUCAUUUAUAAGGGUAAUUAUAUCUUUUUUGUGGACAGUUACAAAUUACAAACUUAGGUGGAAAAUUAAAUAAUUCAAAUUUUUGUAAUAAUUUUUAGAAUGGGUAAACUUUUUGAAAGAAACCAUAAAAAAGGUGGGGGUUUAAGCCGGACCCCUACCUAUAAAAUAAAUCAGUAAAUAAGUAAAUACAUAAGGAGGGGGACAUAAAUCAAAUCUCCUAAAGCAAAUAUAAGUCAAUAAAAAUAGAAAGAGAAGUAUAAAACGAUCAAUAAAUAAGCAAAUACAUAAGUAGGGGGACGUAAACCAAACAUCCUAAAGUAAAUGUAAGUUCAUAAGAAUAGAAAGAAAAGUAUAAAAUGAUUAAAUGGAAUAAGAAAGUCAUCAAUCCUAACUUCUGACAUGAGGACCAGUCUCUGCAUCCAAAUACAGAAUACCAGAUAAGCCUACAGGAAGAUCCCUAGAACACAAGAAAUGUCGAUUAACCCGAUGAGUACAAGCCCAUUUGGCCAAAAAAUCUGCAGCAGAAGUGGCCUCUCGAAAGACAUGCCUCACCGAAAUUAGAAAAGAAGAAAUCAAAGCACACACUCGACGCAGCGAAUAAACAUAAUCCCAACGAACAUGACCGUAGGAAUGAAUCCACGAAACCGCCGUGGCCAAGUCUGACUCUACCUCAAGCACAGAGUAAUCAAGCUAAACAGCAAGCUCCUACCCCUCACGAACUAUCAUAAGCUUAGUGUAAAGGAUCAGCUAGUAGCCAAGAAAAGACCGAAAAGUAGCCAAAAACCACACCGCGAUGAUCACAGAGAAUAUCACCCGAAGCAGCCAUCCUAGGAUUGCCCCUAGAGCAACCAUCCACAAUCAGCUUUGCAACCCCAGGAGGCGCCCUCAUCCAAGAAACUAUUCAAAACGGUCUCUUGGGUGGAGUUAUGAUCGCAAACCCUCCACAAUCUGAGUACACAAAACUUCCCUCAACUGAGCAGACUUAAAACCAAAGAAGUUAGCAAACCAAAGGAAUUAGCAAGCCUGAGAUCCGAAACCACCCUAUAAAUAAUCGUAUCAAUAGAGAAAGGCUAGGAACCAAACCUGAAAGUAUUGUGAGCCUUCCAAAGGUUGUUGCUUCCAUGAAUAGGGUAAAGUUAAAGUGGAGGACUAAUAAUUCCCGUUAAUAAUAAAACAUAAUUCUAAUGUAAUUUAGAUUACAUUAUAAAAGUCUAUUUUAUUAAAAAAAUGGUAAUUAUUCACCAACUACUUAUUUUUUUGAGUUUUUUUAAAAAUACACAAUUCUUUUUUUUACUAAAUUCCACUUGAAGUUAUAUUUUUUUGCACAUGUACACUCCGUUUGAGGACUGUUAUAACAUUAUUGACGUCAUAGGGGCAAAUUGGUCAUUUCACUAGUGCAGCCCCAAAACGAUGUCGUUUUGCAACUUUGAUUAGAGAGAAAGGAAAAGAAAAAGGCAAACUAGUCAAGAGUAGGGCAAAUAAUGAGAAUAGUAAUUUUUCGUUCACACAUUAGGUGACCCACCACCAUGCAUGAAGAACCAGCAAAGAAUUAUAAUUUUUCAUUUAUGGGGCAAAACAAUCAUUUGCUCAAAAUUCCAUUAGUUUUCUUAACAUUCUCCAGACGGAAGUGGACAUGUGCAAAGAAAUGUAACUUCAGAAGGAAUUUCGUAAAAAAAAAUUGUGUUUUUAAAAAAAAAUUUGAAAAAAUAAGUGAUCGAUGAAUAAUUAUCUUAAAAAAAAGGUAAAAGGAGUUUACCAAAAACACUGAUGGCUCCUUUGGCGGCUGUGGCGAUGAUAAUUUCAAAUUAAAAUUUUCAACAUAAAGUGCUCUGCAGCUUUCUACUUGUCAAAGUGGGAGUAGGUGGAAGCUAGAGUGUUGGAGUAGCUAAGGGCAAAUAAGUGAAAAAAAAUGAAGUAGUGAGAGUAAUUGAAUGUAAUUUUAUUUUGAAAAUGGUGGUAAAAAUGUAACUAAAUACUUUAUUGUUAAUAAAACAAAAAUUACUUUAUACGAUCUGGGGAAAAAAAAGGAAGAGUAAUGGACACAUGUCCAACACACAAACGGUGAGUGAGUCAGUGACUGGCACCCAAAACGAACGAUUGACCACAACACUGCUCUGUAUGUUUUAAAUUAUCACUACUUCACCAAUUAAUGAAUGUGGUUAAAUUGGUCAUACCAACUUAGAAUAUCAAGUUAUUUUAAAUUAUCACUACUUCACCAAUUAAUGAAUGUGGUUAAAUUGGUCAUACCAACUUAGAAUAUCAAGUUAUAUAAAUUAGGGAAAAUUGUGGUGCAACUGUAGUACCGUAUUACAGUUACAUUCAACUGUUGGAUCUCAAUAUACUCCACCUAUUCAAGUGGAUCCAACGGCUGGAUGCAACUGUGGCACGAUACCACAAAUACACCGUAGUCAGACCCAAAUAUAAACUUAUAGGCUUUUUACUAUUUCAUAAUUAAAAAAAAAUCAAAGAUUUAUUUAUGGGCGAAACCUUAUUGGGUUUCAAUACACUACUUCUUGCUUACAAGGUGUUUUAUUUCUUCUUAUUUUAUUUUUCCUUUCCAGUAAUGAUCAUGUUCAAUUAAUCAUAUUCAACAGAACCAAGAGUAAAAAAUACCUAUGAGAAAAAAAUUAUAGAAAUUAGUGCUUGAAAUGAAAAAAGAUUUAGUUACAAGAGUUAAUUUUACCCAAACUCUAGUUUAAAUCGUUAUAUUUUAGUCCCUGUAUAUUACUACCAAUUAUAGGCGCAUGUAUAUUCAAAAUUGAAACAUUUUACUUCACUCACAGAUAGAUAAUAGGCAUAGAACAUGAGUGUUGUUACAUAUUCUAAAAUUAAUCUCAAAAGAUUCAUUUCAAUUUCAUUCAGCAUUUGAAAUGAAAAAAGAUAAAAUAGGGUCAUUCUAGUAAAAAAAAAAACUACAUUAUCAGUAGUGGGAAAAAAUUGAAUUGUUGAAUAAGAUCCAAUGGUUCAUAAUAAUUAAUUAAGAUUAACUUAAAUUUUUAAAAUUGACUGCCUUUUUAAGUGAGAGUAAUUAAGACAAAGAGCCGAAAAAUAAUGUCCGCAUUUUUUUUCACAUGGUAGUAAUCUACCAAAACACAAUUCUUUUAAUUGAGAUUCAACAACAAAAGCAGUACAAAUAUGACCUUUGUAAGAAUAAAUCUAACUAGUUAUACUUUGUAUCACAACAUCAUACGUCAAUUAAAGAAGACAUAUAUUCAUUCUUAUAUAUCAUUACAUUUUUGCAUGAUUGGAUUAAUAUUUUAUUUUAUAAAAAUUAGAGAUUGGGAGCUGGCCAUUUAUGUUUAUGCACCAUGAGAGUAAAACCUUUCCACUCAUAAAGUUAUAAGAAAUAGUCUCUUGAGGAUAAUAAAUUAUUACUACCUUUUUAUAUGAGUAUGACAUUCAUGGGAGCUUAAUCUUUAAUAUUAGAUUAUGAUGGUUAGACUCCGAAGUUAAGCUUAUCAUUGUGAUCACCGAGAGGUAAGUAAACUAGAGCUUAGACUGGGAUCACAAUAAACAUAUGUAUUUGUGUGGAUUUUGGAAAGAUUAUUUUGAUAUUUGCAUUAUAAAUGUUUUUUACUAGUAUAUUUAACAUUGUGUUUAUAUAUGCUUUAGCAUAAGCAUGGGUAUGCAAAUUUUUCUUUCAAGUCUUCAUAUGAAAAGAAUUAUGUCACUACUAGAAAAAUGAGCUUUACUGACGCUUUGCAAAAAGUGUCAGUAAUUAUGUACAUAUACACCAUUUUCCACUUUUGACAAAUAGGAAUCACAAAUUAAUGAUAAUAGGGUGUCAGUAAAUUAAACAUCAAAGAUCACUGACAUCAAAGUAUCAAAGAUAAAAAAAAAAAUUCAUAAAAAUUUGUUUUAGCUCCAACUCGAACUUGAGAGCUCUAAGAUUUAAAGCUUUAAUGUUUGGAGCACAGACCAUCAAAUCUCGAUGAAUCAAAGUCAUAAUAAUAUUUAAAUUAUUAAAAAAUAAAAAUAUAAAUAACAACAACAUAAAACUCACACUUAAUGACUUUUCCCUAUCUACCCAGACUGUACAUCGACUAUCUCUAUCUUGCUUUUAUCGUUCUCUUUCUCUUUCGUUUUUCUCUUCUCGAUCUCUUAUGUUUUGCACUAUCCAUUUACAAAUGAAAUUCAAUUAAUUUAGAUAGAUAAUGAAAAGCUAAAACUCCGUUUCGUUUUUCCAUUUUCCCGAAAUUGAAAAACAAACCAAAACCCUAAUCGCUUGUUAUUGAAGGGGUUUUUUCUCCAACUAAACCAUCCAGUGCCUAUAUUAGGCAAGCAAGUAAAAGCCAUCGACAAGGGGUGAAGUGGCACCAUCGGUUGCGUAUUCAAGUAAUCUCAUUCUCCCUCACAAGUUAAGUUCAGAGAAAGAACUGUAGAGGAGGUUAUCAGCUGGUAAUGGCUGAAUAUUUUAUUUUUUUGGGCAAUUUAAUUAAUGGCUUUGUUUUAAUUUGGCUUAUGAAUAAUAUUUUUUAAUUUUAAUUUUUGGGUUGUUUCAGAUGUUCAGAAAUUGAACAGUGGUGCGACCCUGGUGGGUUUUGUUUUCCAAAUUUUUUUUUAUUUAAUUUUAACUUGAAAUUUUUGUUCUUAUUUUUCUAUAUCUUCACUCACAUACAGUCCAAAAAUAUAGGCAUUUUAAGUGGUGCAUUACUUAAACUUAAAACACUUGUUGCUGCGACUCUAUUUUUUUUGCCACAUUUGAGGUCAGUUUAAAACUUUUGUGCAUGUGAUUUACUGUCAUUGUUAUUUAAAACUAAGAAAGUGCAUUUUUUUUAGUUUCUAAAAUAAACUGUUAGUUCCGUUUCUUAACUUUGAUUAAUAAGUUAGUUCAUUUUGAAUGCACUAAAAUAUGAAAUUUCAUUUUAGCUUUUGCCUUUCUGAUUAGGAGAUGAUUGUUUGGGUAUUAUAUUGGUUGAAUGACUGUGUAUUUAGUGGUUAUGAACUAUUUACAUCUCUGUUUCAUGUAAAGAGAGGCAAAUUUUGUUAUAUAAUUUUACUUGUUUAUUUAUUUUGUUUUGGUUGGAAGAUUUGUAAUAGAGACAAUGACUAUGAUAUGAAUUAAUUAAGUUCGUGGUUGUGAGUAUUUUGAGAUUGUGUAAAGUUGAUGAUUUGUGUUUGAUUCAAGAAAGAAAUAUUUGUUUUAAGGUAGUUUUGCAUGUUGUAUUUGAAGUUAAAAAGUGUUUUAUAGAAUCUUAAAAAAUGGUUUGCAAAGUGUUAUGAAGACAUUAUUUAUUUGAACUCUUAACUUUUGUUAGUUACCUGACUUAUGAAUUAGUUCGACUCCUUAAAAAGCCAUUAGCGCUCAUCUUACCUAUUAAUCUCCUAUUUAAGUUUCAAAGCUUCUUUUGUUUCAAUUUCAAGAUUUUGUCUAAAUUAUUAUUAUAAUUAAUGAUUUAUAGGGGCUAUUAGUGAUUUUUCAGAAUUAUGAGUUUAUUAUUGCAACUAUAAUCAUAAUAACAUUGAACAUUAAAUUAAUCAUGCAAUUUAAUUAAACUUAAACUGGCAUUACAUAUGUGAACAAGUAAAAUAUUUGAAAUGGACAGAACUUGGAUAACUUGUGAUAGAUUGUCUGUAGAGUAUGGUUCUGAAGUUGCUGAUUUCUUAGAUUUUGCCAUUUUGAAUGCUGAAAACCGAAUGUCAAUUAGAUGUCCUUGCACCUUUUGUUGUAAUAUGGAGUUUCAUACUCCCUAACAGGUGAAGGAUCAUUUAUUUGAAAAAGGUUUUCUCCCAAGAUAUAUUGUUUGGACUUGGCAUGGUGAGACUGACUCUAAAUCUACAUUUACAAAGUGUGAAGACCAUUCACAUAGUCAAAGAUUUAGAUGUCAUGAUUACAGUAACAUAAUUGAUAUGGUUGAAGAUGCUUACGAGCAUUGUGAUAGAGAUCCUAGUUCUUUUAAGGAUAUGCUUGAAGAUGCUGAAAAGCCUUUGUACCCGGGUGCAAAACAUUCAAAGUUAUCUAGUUUAAUGAGACUUUACAAUGUGAAAGGGAAUUAUGAGUGGUCCAAUAAAGGGUUUUCUGCUUUGUUAGAAGUCCUUACUGAUAUUUUACCAAAUAAUAAUACUUUACCUAAGUCAAUGUACGAGGUUAAGAAAACAAUGAAAGUGCUAGGCUUAGAGUAUGAAAAAAAUACAUGCAUGUUCAAAUGACUGCAUUUUGUAUAAGAAUGAAUUUGAUGAUCUUGUUGAAUGCCCAAAUUGUGGAGCAUCUAGGUAUCAAAGAGAAAAAGAUAGCUCAACAAAAUUUAGGAAAGGGGUUCCUAAAAAGGUAUUAUGGUAUUUUUCACUUAUUCGUAGGUUGAAAAGAUUGUUUCAAUCACUACAAACAGCUCAAAAUUUAACAUGGCAUGCUAAUAAAAGAAUUAGAGAUGGCAAACUUCGCCACCUAGUAGACUCACCAGCCUGACAACUAAUUGACAAUAAGUGGCCAAAAUUUGCACAAGAACCUAGAAAUCUCUAUUUAGCUCUCUCAACUAAUGGGGUUAACCCACAUAGUACACUUAGCACUACUUAUAGUUGUUGGCUUGUUAUAUUAAUAACAUAUAAUCUUCCUCCAUGGUUGUGUAUGAAGAGAAAGUUUUUGAUGUUGUCUCUUUUGAUAUUUGGCCCUAAAUAACCUAAAAAUGAUCUAGAUGUAUACCUAGCACCUUUGAUUGAUGACUUAAAAACUCUAUGAGAUGUAAGUAUUGAUGUUUAUGAUGCUUAUAGAAAAGAAACCUUUAAUUUACGGGCUGUCUUGAUGUAGACAAUCAGUGACUUUCCAGCAUACAAAAACCUCUUUGGUUGUACUGUUAAGGGCUAUUAUGCUUGCCCAAUUUAUGGGAUAGACACUUGUGCAUGUUGGCUGCCACAUAGUAGGAAAAUCUCAUAAAUGGGCCAUCGUCGCUUUCUACCACUUGGUCACCUAUUUCGAAAACUGAAAAAGGUUUUUAAUGGGAAGUAAGAGUGGAAUGAGCCUCCUAAAACUUUAUCUAGUGAGAAAAUCUUUAAUAUGAUGGAAGAUAUUGAUAUUAAGUUUGGGAAAAAGAAGGCUAAAAAGCGGAAACAUGAUGGCGGUGGUGGCGGUGAUGGUGAUGAGAACAUAACUAAAAAAUUGUACAAAAAAAAGUCAAACUUUUUUUACUUAGAUUAUUGGAAGCAUUUAUUAGUUUGCUAUCAAUUAGAUGUGAUGCACAUUGAAAAAAAUGUGUGCGAGAACAUAUAUGGCACAUUACUUCAUCAACCAGGCAAAAAAAAAUAUGGGAUUAAUGCUAGAAAAGAUCUUGAGUCUUUGAAGAUCAGGGGAAAACUAAUUCCUGAUGAAACAAACAAAAAAAACAAAGUCCUACCUCUAGCUCCAUACACUUUGAGUAAAAAAAAAAAAUAGUUUUGUGAAACCUUGCUGAGUGUGAAAGUCCCUGAUGGGUAUUCUUCCAAUGUCCAAAACCUUGUUUCAAUAGAUGAUUGUCGGCUUCAAGGCCUUAAGUCCCAUGAUUGUCAUACUUUGAUGCAAAAAUUUCUACCACUAGCCAUUCGAAAUUGUUUGCCUAUAAAUGUGAGUAGGGCCAUAAUCAGGAUGUGCUUCUUUUUUAAUACAUUGUGCUGUAAAGUGGUAGAUCCUAAUACUCUUGACCAAUUGCAAGAGGAACUUGUAAACACUUUAUGCUUAUUGCAACAGUACUUCCCACAUAACUUUUUUGACAUAAUGAUCCAUUUAACAGUCCACGUAGUUGAAUAAGUUAGGUUAUGUGGGCCUAUUUAUCUUCGAUGGAUGUAUCCUUUUGAGAGAGAAAUGAAAACUCUCAAGGAUUAUGUUCGUAAUCGCUACCGCCUUGAGGGUUGUAUUGUAGAAAGUUAUAUUGCAGAAGAAGCACUUGCAUUUUGUGCUGAGUACCUCUCAAAUUGUGAUGUUAUUAGGCUGCGUACUGGUUGUCCAAUUGAUUUAUCUGUCGAAAGACCUUUGGGAGGUGCAAACAUAAAGGUGGUUGAUGAUCCUUUGUUGGCACAAGCACACCGGUGUGUUCUAAUGAACACCCUUGAAAUCCAAAUAUAUAUCGAGUAAGUUGUUAAUUUUUCCAAAAAAAUAUUACUAUUGUAUUAUAAGAUUACUAUACUAGUUUUUAAAUCUUAAUAUGGUCUCACUGUAGGGAGCAUAUGCAUUAUUUGGCAUCAAGAAACCCCUAUAAGGCAAAAACAAAUCUGUGGUUGCAAAAUGAACACAUACGUACAUUUUCUGGUUGGCUACAAGCAAAAGUUAGAAUUACUUAACUAAAUACAAUAUAGGAUAUAAACUUUAAUAAGAUUUUUCUACAUGUAACUAAUUAUUGUACUUGUUAAUUUAAAUUAUAAGUAGCACAUGAUAAAGCAUAUAAUGUGCUGAUUGACGAAAUAGUUUGGUGGUUGGCAAACAAACCACGCUCAAGCGUGGUGACCUUCUCUGGCUACGAGAUCAAUGACUUCAAUUUUACAAUGAGGGAUCGGGACAGUAAUCGUGUGACCCAAAAUAGUGGUGUUAGGGUUGUCACUAACACUCUACAAAUUUCAAGCUCAAAAGAUAAAAGUCCUCAUUCUGAAGACAUGACGUUUUAUGAAGUCAUUGAUGAGAUUUGACAGCUUGAUUAUCUAAUGGUUAAAAAAACACUUUUCAAGUGUGAUUGGGUAGAUGAUAGAGGGGUUUGCACUGACAAUUUAGGUUUCAUUGUAGUUAAUUUAAAUCGGAUUGGCUAUAAAUCUGAUUGCUUUAUUCUAGCUUGUCAUGCAAAACAAGUAUUUUAUGUAAAGGACCAGCUAGAUAAUAAUAAAUCAAUAGUUUGUUCAGUGAUUGACAAAGCUUAUAAGUUAAAUGGGGAAAUAUGUGAAGACGUGGAUGUAUUUUCUCAAUUAUCUAACAAACUUCCAAUAUGUGAAUUGGAUGAGAAAGAUGACAAGGAAUUUAUGACAAAAAAGAUUGUGAUGCUAUUCCAAUAGAUAUUGAUUUAGAAAAUCAGUGAAUGCAUUAUUGUAGUUAGUUUCCAGCACCAAUUUUCACAGUUUUCCAGUAAGUGAUUUAUUUAUUUCAUUAUAUGUUAUUGCUCUUGUAUUAACUUAUUAAUCUAAAUGAUGUACUUAUUUAUUUUAAUCAUUUUCAGGAUUGUAGGAGAUGGCUGAAGAUGCUGAGUUCACUCUUUCGGAGCUCGACGGAAGACCAAAGAGAAGAAAACAACAAGGCUUGUAAAAACAAGAAGUUAGUCAUGAAGGUACAAUUGAGUACAAUUCUUAUGGUGUUUCAGUUGGAAAGGGAAGAAAUGAUCUUAGAGUUACAUUGGAGUCAUUGUACGUGAAACAAUUUCAAUUUUACUUGAUGAUUGGAGGCGUGUGCCACUGGAGAUGAAGGAAACUUUGUGGCUUCAUUUUCAGGUUUUGUUUACUUGUUUAAUAAUAGUUUAAAGAUUUUAUAUAACUUCUAGAUUUGUUUAAAGUUGUUUCUAAUCCAUGUUAUUGGUUUACAGAAAAAAUUCAAAUUGAGCUUGAAAUGCAAAAGCCAAGUGUUAAAGUGGAUGAUGGUUGCAUCAAGAAACUUUCAAAGUGAAUUGGCAACUGAAUUCGUUCUACCUAACAAGGACGAUCGAAAGUCACUAAAGUUGCCUCAUAUUGAAUAUCCGAGCAUUAAAAAGGAAGAUUGGAAACUUUUUGUUGACAAAGUUUUGUCUGAACAAUUUCAGGUGUGUUGUUUGUUAAUAUUACCUGAUUUAUUUAUUGCUAGUUACUAAUAAUCAGUGGUAACCUUUUGUUCUUCAUAUAAACUAUUUGUACAAGAAAAAAGUAAAAAGGCAAAAGACAAAAGAGCAAAGAAUGUCUACAACCAUCGCUUGGGUAGCACAUGAUACAGUGGCAUGUUGUAUAGAAAAGUAUGUGUGGUAAAUAAUCUAAUUACAGUAACAUAAGUAAUCUAAUACAUAUAAUAUAAUAGAAUCAAUUAUUUAUGUUUUAUGUCACCUUGUAACAGAAAAAGGAGAGUGGAGUUUCUGAGCGGGAGAUUGACCGCAGUGAAGCUUGGUUAAUGGCACGAGCAGAUCGAGAUGGCAAAUAUGCUUCUGAUGUGACGCCAAUUGCUGAGAAAAUAAUAAGUCACUUGUAUACUUAAUUCUUAUGAAUUUUCUUUAUAAUGUGUGUGUGUGUGUGGGUAGAUAUUUACGUACAUAUAUAAUGCUUUUUGUAAUAAUUGUAUGGUAACAUUUACAAGUGACAGAAGCUCAGUAAUACUUUAUCAGAACUUAUUUGUUCGCAUAUAAAAAGGUUAAAACUUGUGUGCAUGUGUGUUUGUAUGUGUAAUGAAAGAGAUGUCUAGGAGAUCAAGCGCUUGUGCGAGGUGUUGUCUUGUAAUAUUUUCUGUAGUUUCAAUUUGAACUGUAUAUGGACUUACUCUGUGUUGAAGAUUCAAGAAGGAUAUUAGUUUAGUUUAGCUGAUGUCUUGUACUCGCAAUUGCAGAUUUACAAUAUUUUUUUUUUGUAGAAUGAGCUGAAGAGUCAAGUUGAACAAGGAACAUUCCAAUCACAAGGGUCACAUGACAUUCUAGGUGAAGCUCUUCAGAAGCAGCCAAAUGGAAGCAGGGUGCAAGGAGUGGGGCAAUUCGUCACCCCAUCUAUGUACUUUUAUGUCCCUGAUGCCACUGAGUUAGCAAGAGAAAGAAAGAUGUAUCAAGAGAGUUUCCAAUUCAUGUCUGCUCAAUUAGAACGCAUGAAUGCAAGGUUAAAUGCGUACAUCAAUACUGAAGUUGGAAGUUCUAACUUUCCUAAGCCCAAAACUUCCACUAGUGUUCAGAUUGACAAUGAUCAACAAUCCCCUAAAACUCUUGGAAAAAGAAAGGUAUAUGACCUGUUACAUGUCAUUAUUUUAUUUCUAUCAUGUAUUACUACUAAUGGUAUGUAUUUUUAUUAUUGCAUAGGCUGAUUUCCCAUCGGGCAAGUCGACUCUAAAAUCUGUGAAGAGUAAAAUGAAGGACACUCUCACCACAAUUUCCCAAGCAACUCCUCAACAAACCCCCGAAAAAGUAGAGUGUGAAAUUACUUCAAAGCCCACACCGAGAAGAUCUCCUAGACUAACUCCUAAAGUACUAGAUGUGCAAUUCUCCUGUCAUGACAAAGUACCCAAAAACGAACCACUGGUCAUCAGACUAGCAGAAGUACCCAAAAGAGAACCACGGGUCAUUAGACCAGCAGCAAAAGGCCUCAACGUACGUGUGAAGAAUACACGGGCAUCAGCACGAUCAAGAAAGAAUGAUAGGAGUAAAUAUAUGAACAUGCUUACCAUGUUCAUCGAGAAUUCUUUACCUCGGUUGAUCAGGAUUUGGCAUGACACAGCAACCUUUGGUGAAAUUUGGGAAACACACUUGGACAAAAUGAUUUGUGCUGAAAUCAUCGAGUUUAAAGGGGUCUCAAACUGCAUCAUUAACAUAUGGAUCAAGUACGGUAAAUCAUAGCUUAUGUUUUAGUAAACUUGGAGCUAUUAUUUUGUUUCCUUUUAUUCAAACUUACUUCGUUUUAUAUAUUUAUUUCCUCUUAGACACUUGUAUGAGGAGAUGGAGAGUAAUGGAAGUAUUAAGCCGGUUCAGUUUGGGCUUUUUGAGAAGCUAUAUCCAAGGGUUAGCUUCAAAGACAGGACUCAAUACAUUUCAAAACUUUUAGACUUGGCAGAAUUGGGACAAGUCAUCGUAUUCCCGUAUAACCCUAGGUAUAACCUUUUUCAUUUGCUAGCCAUAUUCUUUAUUUAGUAGAUUAAUCAUGAAGUUUAAAACUUUUACUUGUAAUUCAUGUAUGAGAACAAUUUUUACUUUGUUUAGUGGCCACUGGGUGUUAUUGGCAAUUGAUAUGGUGAGACGUACAACUUAUUAUCUUGAUCCUUUGGAAGAUAGUCCUGAUGAAGAGCUAAUGCAGACUGUCAAUCAGUUAAGUUUGUUAUUUGUAUCUUUGAUCAUGUUGUUUUAUUUUUAUAUCUUAUGCUAAUUAUUUGCCAACGUUAGCUAUGUCUCUUAAUUGUAGUAGGAUUCGAAUACAUCAGAGUUUAAAUUCUGAUACAAAGGCCAAUGUUCAAUGGAUACCUGUCAAGGUAAAAAUCAGACAAACCUAAAUAAUUAUUGUUAACAUACAGUAAAAAAUUAAUGUAAUUUUGAUCUUGUAUUGUUCGGGGCAGCCAAGCAGCUUUGAAUGUGGUUACUAUGUGAUGAAAUACAUGCAAGAUAUCGUCACAAAUGUGAACGUUCUGAAAAAUAAUGUAAGUAUUGAAAACAGUUUUUACAAUACUGCAUCAUAUUGUUUUAAUUUAUUAUGAAAUGAAUCAGCUCAAAGACCUAUUGUGUGCUUCUUUAUAGUUAUCUUUUUACUACGUAUUGUAUGUAUUUUAUAAACUGUGAGGGUACUUAUAAUGGUGACUAUGUUGCAUACUGUUGAAUAGAUUAUAUGAAUAUCCAUAUAGACAUGAAUUAGGAUUUGGGAUAUACACAAUGUACUGUGUAUCCCAACACAAAAUAAUUGUUUGGGUUACAAAGUAGUUGUUAGUGGGGAUGUGCUAUGGUGUAGUUGCUUGUACUUUACUUUGAUGAGGAUAAGUUGUCAUCCUAAUUAAUGUUUUGUAUCUACAUCCAUAUUUGUAUUAAAUCGCGUACUGUUGGGGUUCACAAGUUACUUCAGCUAUCAAACAUUGUUGUAUAAUUUGACUUUAAAGUAGUAAUUGAUAGGAUAAGUGCAUCAAUAAUGGUUUUUUUUUUUUUUGCAAUUACCAUGAUCAGGAUGUUCAGUAUUUACCUAUAUAAUUUUGGAUAAAACAGUAACAUUGUUGGAGUUUAUUUGUUGGCUUUAAUUGUUAACACACAAAUAUAUUUAAAUGAAUGAUAAUUAAGUAAUUUAGUCAAGGAUUUUCGGUGAAUAACUUGUUGUUUUAAAAUUAAAGUUCAAGGGAAUUGAGAAAUACACCAUGAAGGACCUCUCGCGACUUCGUGAUCAGUGGGCUACAUACGUUGCCAAGUUAAUUACAGCCUACAAUCGCGAGGUAACAUACAAGUAAUUUAUGAUUAUUUUUCCUUUAAAAUAUACAAGACUUAUUUUUUGUGGUGUGCUAAUUGAUUUUAUAUACUUGUAGGUGGAAAAAAAAUGAAGGCAUAUGUGGACUCCAAAAUCAGUGACAGUGUUAUUUUUUUUUCUUGUUGGUUAACAUUUUCAUAAAUUAAUUUAGUACUUUAUCGUGUAUACUACUUGUUCAAAGCUUAAUUUGGUACUUGAAGUUUUUUUUUACCCCCAAAUAAUGAUGUAUUUGAACUAUUUUACUUUAACUGAUGUAUUUGAAAUGUGUAUUAUGUGAAUUGCAUUACAAGAUUAGUUAAGAUGGUUGAGUUAGUUAAGCUUAGUUAAUUUGAUUAAGCAAGUUUGUUAUGAAUGCUGACUUGGCAGCUGAGCUGGAGGAAGGUUGUUAUGCUAUUAGCUCAGUCUCAAACAGCAUGUAGAAGAUUCGAGAUACUUGUAUAAAUACAUUCUUGUAAAACCAUUCGAAUGAAUUCAAUGAUUUAGAUUCAUUCUCUCUUGUUAUUUUCCUUCUGUUUAUCUCUGUAACUUUCUUAGAAACCAAACAAAUACUUUACAAUUUAACAUGGUAUCAGAGCCACACUAAAAACAAAAAUGGCGUUCUCAAGCUCAAAUCCAAACACAACAAUCUCUGUUUCUUCAUUUACUUUCACUUCUCCUAUUAAGCUUGAUCGAUCAAACUACACAAUCUGGAAAUCUCAUAUUCUCUCUUCAGUACGUGCAAAUGGUCUUGAAGAUCAUCUUGAUAGCUCUAAAUCAUGUCCAGAUCAAUUUCUUCAAAGUGAAUCUGAGAACUCUGAAGUUGAAACUCAAACAAAUCCAGCAUUCACCACUUGGAAAAGGAAGGAUCAGAUGCUGCUGAGCUGGAUACUGUCUUCUAUAAAUUUCGAAAUUCUCAGCCUUGUGGUAAACUCUGAAACUUCACUCGAACUUUUGACUAGUCUUGUGCAAUAAUUUGGAUCUGAAACCUUUGCUAAAAAGGUUCAUCUUAAGAUGAUGCUUAAUAAUCUUAGAAAAGGUUCAAUGUUUAUGACUGAAUUCUUUGGAAAGCUGAAAACAAUAACUGAUGAUUUAGCAAUAGCUGGAAGCCCUGUUACCUCUCUGGAUUUUAUUACACAUCUGAUCUCUGGGCUAGGCCAACCAUACUACCCUGUGGUCGUGUAUAUUGAAGCAAAUCUUGUAAAAAUGACUGUUAAUGAAGCUUACUUAAUGCUUUUAACUCAUAAAGCUAGAUUAGAAGCACAUCAGUCAAAUGCUAGUAAGGAAACUAAAUUGACCUAUGCUGCAAAUGUUGCUCAAACUGGAACCAAUACUAAAUUUGGAGGACAAAAUAAUGCUAACUGGAUUAGGAAUGGAAAUAAUAAUAAUGGUGGCAGAGGAGCUUUUGGUAGAGGCUUUUCACAAGGCCGGGGUAGAGGAAAUUAGAAUGGUGUUUGGAAUAAUAAUGCCCAGCCUGGAAAUUAUCAAGGCAGAGGUGGAUAUGGUGUUAACAAUGGCAAUAACUUUGGUGCUAAUAAUGGAAAUUUUGGUGGCUUCACUAAUGAAAAAGGUGCUUCAGAUCCAAAUGGAUCUGCUGUAAUAUAUCAAAUAUGCUUUAAGCCAAAGCAUACUGCAGCUGAAUGCAAGAACAUAUUCAACAAAGAAUUUGUGCCUUAUUACAAUCCAUAUUCAGGCUAUAAUUCAUAUCAGAAUCCUGGACCAAGAGCUUUCUAUCCAAAUUCAGCACCAAGAGCUACUUUUCUGGCAACUUCUGAAGGUGACAUGGCUGAUCAAGGCUGGUAUGUUGACAGUGGGGCAACACAUCAUCUCACCAACAAUCUGCAGAACUUGAAUCUUGGAAGAGAAUAUUCAAGUAAUCAGUUACUGUAUGUUGGUAAUGGCCAAGGUCUGAAAAUUACACACAUUGGAUAUACUUGUCUUCCCACUUGCUGUGAUUCUUUUCUGCAUUUACAAGAUAUCUUGUGUGUACCCCAUCUCACUAAAAAUCUCAUAAGCAUUUCCAAAUUACUUGAAGAUACCAAUUUAAUCAUUAAGUUUGUUGCCAAUAUGUGUUUUAUUAAGGACAAGAGGAAGGGAUUGCAUCUGGCUCAAGGGAUUGCUAGAGGAGGAUUGUAUAAGUUGCUGUCUAAGGAUGAUUUUCUCUCCAGUUCAUGUGUCAUCAAUCAUAAUCCUAGUUCUAUGCUUUCUAUUUUUAACCAGUCAGCUUAUAACUUUUCUGGUUUGUCUUUGAAUGAAGAUUGUACUCAAACAAGUAAUCCUCAGAGUCUUUUGAGCACUGUUAACCCGGCUAUGUUUGCUAAUGUGUUACACCAAAGAUUUGGUCAUCCUAAUAAACAUGCAUUGAAAGGCAUAUUAUCUUCUCUUGCACUUCCUGCAUCUAUCCCUGAUUUUUGUGAUGCUUGUCAAUAUGGUAAAAUGCAUCAACUUUUUUUCUACUCUACAGGCAUAAAAACAAAAACUCCUUUAGAACUUGUACAUACUGAUCUUUGGGGUCCAGCAUCUAUACCAUCUCUACAUGGAUAUAGAUAUCACAUUAGUUUUGUGGAUGAUUACAGUAGAUACUGCUGGAUUUUUCCAUUAACCCUUAAGUCAGAAGCUUUAGAUACAUUCAAGUGUUUCAAAACCUUAGUUGAAAAACAACUUGGUUUCUCUUUGAAGUCUUUACAAUCUGACUGGGGAGGGGAGUACAGAAGCUUUGAAAAAUUUCUUGAGGCAGAAGGGAUACAUUUUAGGCAUAGUUGUCCUCACACACAUCAUCAAAAUGGUGUAGUUGAGAGAAAGCAUAGGCAUGUUGUGAAAACUAGGUUAAGACUUAUUGCUCAAGCUAAAAUGCCUUUAUUUUUUUUGUGGGAGUCAUUUCAUACAGCUUCCUUUCUCAUUAACAGAAUGCCAACCCCAGUGUUGAACAAUGUUUCCCCUUUUGCAAAACUUCAUGGCAAACUACCAGAUUACAAGUUCCUUAGAACAUUUGGUUGCUCUUGCUUUCCUCUUCUCAAACCUUACAAUAACCAUAAACUCAAUUUUCAUACACAAAAAUGCCUAAUGAUUGGCUAUAGUCCUAUACACAAGGGAUAUAAAUGCCUGGAUUCUACUGGUAAAACGUACAUUGUUAGACAUGUUUAGUUCAAUGAAUCAGAAUUUCCUUAUUUUGAACUUUUUCCUACAAAGUCUGAUUCACAAUUAUCAUCCAUCUAACCAAGUCAAGUGUCAUUUUCAAAUAUUCCAAUUACAGAAGUCAUUCAAGACAGCAACAAUGCACAAUCCUCUGUUAUUCCCUCAUCUCCAGAUGCAGGACCUGAUUCAAGUCAUUCCCAUACACCUUCAGCACAUCCAUCUCCAAGCCAUUUAUCUCAAAAUUCAUCACUACACAUCCAAGUUCAUCAGCCAGUACAGACAUCUCCAGUUUAGAAUAAUCAUUCCAUGACUACCAGAUCAAAAGCUGGUGUGUUUAAGCCCAAGACAUACUUAACAGUAGCUCAAGAGCUUGAACCUUCAUAUGUUAAAGCAGCUCUAGUAGACCCCAAAUGGCAACAAGCUAUGCAAGAAGAAUUUGAUGCACUACAAAAGAAUCAAACCUGGGUUCUUAUUCCUCCAGAAACAGCUGGGAAGAUUGUUGGAAACAAAUGGGUAUUCAGAAUUAAAUAUAACCCUGAUGGCAGCAUAUCAAAGUACAAAGCCAGAUUAGUUGCAAAAGGGUUUCAUCAGACAUAAGGUGUGGAUUUUUUUGAAACUUUCAGUCUAGUUGUAAAGCCCUGCACAAUCAGAAUAAUCUUGAGUCUUGCUGUCAUGAAUCACUGGACAAUUAGGCAGCUAGAUGUCAACAAUGCCUUCCUUAAUGGCAUUCUUACAAAGGAUGUUUUUAUGCAUCAACCUGAGGGUUUUGUUCAUCCUCAGUUUCCAGCUCACAUUUGCAAACUCACCAAGGCACUUUAUGGACUCAAACAGGCACCAAGAGCCUGGUAUGACAAGUUGAAAGCUUCCUUAAUUCAGUGGGGUUUUGUGACAUCCAAAUCAGAUACCUCAUUGUUUAUUCAUCAUGUGGCAGGAGAAAUUAUUGUGGCACUAAUCUAUGUAGAUGAUAUCUUAAUCACUGGCUUAAAUUCUCUUUUGGUAGAGAAGGUAAUACAUCAGUUGGGUGCAGAGUUUGCCUUGAAAGAUCUUGGGGAGUUUAAUUAUUUUCUUGGUCUUGAGGUAACUCUAAUUGUGGAUGGGUUGCACUUAUCACAAACUAAGUACAUUGGUGAUCUGCUCAAGAAAGCUCAAAUGGUGAACUACAAGGGCUGUCCAACACCAAUGAGCUCAACAGAAAAAUUAGUCAAAGACAAGGGUGCAAUGUUUGAGAAUCCUUCUCUAUAUCGAAGUCUGGUUGGCUUAUUACAAUAUGUUACACUAACAAGGCCUGGAAUUGCUUUUACAGUGAAUAAACUCAGCCAAUAUCUUUCUAAUCCAUAAGUACUUCAUUGGCAAGCUUGUAAAAGGGUGUUGAGGUAUCUACAGUAUACAACAGAUUAUGGUUUGCAAUUUUACUCAUCUGGAUCACUUAGUCUUACAGCCUUCUCAAAUGCUGAUUGGGGGUCUGAUCUGGAUGAUAGGAAGUCAGUAGGGGGAUAUUGUGUUUACUUAGGCAACAACUUGGUAUCAUGGUCCUCUAAGAAACAACAUAUAGUGUCUAGAAGUACAUCUGAAUCUGAAUACAGAGCUUUGGCUUUGACAACAGCUGAGGUAUUGUGGAUCACUUAUAUUUUCAAAGAAUUAAAAGUGUCUUUGCUGCAGUCUCCAGUUCUCUACUGUGAUAACAAAAGUGUAGAAGCUCUUGCUAGCAAUCCUAAGUAUCAUUCUAAAACUAAACACAUUGAGCUUGAUCUACAUUUCAUUCGAGAGCAUGUAUCUAGAAAGGAACUACAGAUUAGUCAUGUUCCAAGUUGUGAGCAGGUAGCAGAUAUUCUUACUAAACCAUUGGCAUUUGAUCAAUUUCAUUAUCUACGGUCCAAGCUCAAUGUUCUUCCCAGACCUUCAGCUUGAGAGGGGCUGUUAAGCAAAUAGAAUUAGUUAAGAUGGUUUAGUUAGUUAAGCUUAGUUAAUUUGAUUAAGCAAGUUUGUUAUGAAUGCUGACUUGGCAGCUGAGCUGGAGGAAGGUUGUUAUGCUGUUAGCUCAGUCUCAAACAGCAUGUAGAAGAUUCGAGAUACUUGUAAAAAUACAUUCUUGUAAACCUAUUCGAAUUAAUUCAAUGAUUUAGAUUCAUUCUCUCUUGUUAUUUUCCUUCUGUUUCUCUCUGUAACUUUCUUAGAAACCAAACAAAUACUUUACAAUUUAACAGGUAUGUUUAAUAUAUUUUGAGUUUAUUUUAAUUAUAAAAUAACCAGGAAAAUAUGAUUAAAAAAUAAAACACUACCGGUAUAGCACCGUUAAUACUGACACUAAUUAUUUAAAUGACGUUAAGAAUUUUUUAUGUUACUGAGUCAGUGGAUUCCUGAUACUGUAGUCACAUAAAUCAGUGACAUAUAAAUAGUAUCAUUAAAUGCUAACACAAUUGAAUCACUAUCUUUGUGACUCUCUAGUGACACAAAAUACUGACAUAGAAAUAGUAUCAACUGAUACUAACACCAUCGUGUCACUAUUGUGGUGAUACUAUAGUGACACAAGAUACUGACGCAAAAAUCACUUACACCAAAAAUUAGUGUCAGUGUGUUCUGGCUUGAGCAUUACUGACACAAUUAACAAGUGUCAGCAAAAGUAAUUACUGACACUAAAGUGGUGUUAGUAAAGUCCAUUUUUCUAGUAGUGUGUUUGUUAAUUCUAUUUGCAAUUUAUGGAUUGAUGUGUGGGAGCCACCUCUCUAGUGCCAAUAUACCGUGAAGUGCCAUGAAUAGUGCAAAGUGCUACAUGCAGGGUAUGUAUUUUUGAAAAAGACAAUUGAAGUUUUAAUAAGUUUGUUAUUUACUUAUUAGGCACCUAUACGUUUAUGUGGAGCCUUUGAUAUGUGUGGUCUUUCUUUCAGAUUAGUAGAUAACUCAUGAUCAUUAUAUGAUAUAUGAUAUAUGUAGUCUUACUAAGUAGCAAGAAUUGUGGAUAUUCCUAAAAUAAGUAUGAUAAGAUUUAUUAAGUGAUUCAUGAAAUAUGAAGCCUAUGAAUGAAAGUAAGUUUAUACUCAUGCCAAUCCAUGCAUAUGCAUUGUAUAUAUUAUGUAUUUAGUUCGCUAUAUGAAAAACUAAUUUCCUUAUUGAGUUUUUUACACACAUUAUAGUUUAUUGUGACUUUCAGAUGGCUGAUGGAUCUAACGUGUGAUGGAUUUGGAAAAUCUGCUCACAUUCUUUGGUUCCUUUAAUUUUAGAAGAUUUUUUGACAUGUGUGUUUUAACUAGAUUUUGGCAAAGAGAGAAACCUAGCUAAAUACAAUGAAUUUAUAACUUACAAGGGUUGUGGUGCUUAAUAUAGCUAGGUGUGUUGUUUGUUUGAACUUUCCUUGAAGCUUCAAAAAUAAUGGAAAUGAUGGGGGCUUGGAUGAAAUCUAAAUCUAGAGAGGAUUGGUUUGGAGGGCUAUGUUUAACCUGCAAAAUGGAGAAGACUAGUUACAGGUAGAGUUAGCCGUGGCUGGUGACUACACUUUGAUGCUCAAGUUAGUUUUGAGGCUAUACUUUUGUCCCAAGAGUGGUGACUAGAGGUUGAAGAAAACCCUCAGCCUUAUUAUUGCGUAUGUUUUUAAUAAGUGAGAAAAAUAUAACUUGAGCAUCUUUAUGUAAAGCACUUGGGGUUACAUCUUUCACCAUGCCACCUAGUGCAUUUCUAUUGGUGUUAUUUGUUGCCUUGGUAAGGAUAUUUCUAUCCUUUUGCCCAUACGACCUUUUGGCCCUUUGAAGCAUGCUCGGAGAGUAAGUUGGCGUGUUAUUUUCAUUAUUACACGUGUUGGACUCUACUAGGUGGUCUAGCAUGUCUUUACAAAGACCACCCUGCAAUUGAUGGCGUGUUAAUUAGGACAAAUGAUCCCAACUAUUUUAAUGAGCCGUUUUUGGCUUUUUUACAAGUGUGGCAACCUACUAUUCCCUCUUUCUAAGUAGUUCCUUAUUGUCCGGUGUUUUCCUACCUGUUGUCGUCUUGCUUCUCUAAUUGUCCAGUGUUUAAAUAUAUACAUGUAAAUAUUCCCUUUUUGACUUGUAUACAUAUUACUUCUUGUAUUUUAAGCCUUGUAUCGGCUAUUAGGACUAUAAAAGUCUGCUUCACCAGAAAGCCUGAUCAAAUAAGGGUAUUUAUCUGCCAUUUCCUACUGUUAAAAUUUUUCAUUGUUAGUCAAAUGGUACGAAAUGCCUUAUGUGUAGAGGUGGUAACCAAGAUUCAAAACUCUUAAUAUGCAUGAGUUCAUUUAUUUCUUAUUGUUUUCAUUCCAACUUCCAUUUUUGGCAAAUGUUUCCUUUGUUUAACACCUCAUUGAGUGGAAUAAGUUUUAGUUUGCAUGAGAGAAUUAACUACCGGAAUUCCACUGUAAACUUUUCUUUAGCUGCAAGAUCAUGCAAUGAUGAGUACGAAGCUUGGGAGCUUCUUAUUGAGCUGGUUGAUGGAUUUUUUAAGGUACUAUAUUCGACCAUUAAAGUAUGAUCUAUUAAUUGCCCUUAUUAUAGUCUUAAGCCAUGUAACUGUACAUUAUAAUUAUUCAAAAAGGUGCACUUUAACAUUCCCCUCAUGUGUAAAGGCUGGCAAAUGAUAAUCAAACAACAAUGUGAACAACACGCAGAGCAAAUAUUAGUAACCAAAUAGAGUACAGAAAUAGGCUUGGCCAAUACCGGGAUUGUUCUACCCUAGGUAUGUAACAUUAUUUAGUACUCUAUUUAGUUUACUAAUUUUAUUUGUGCCAAUCUGAAAACUUAUAAUUCAAGUGCUAACUUUCUCUCACUAUUUUCCAACCUUUUAUUGAAGUGAUCAAGAAGACGUUGGGAGUUGAGAUCAUGCAAAAAGGGGGUGUUCUAUGAGUUGUUUUGUUCUUUUCCUAGUUUAUCCCUUCUAUCUCUACUUAAUUGAAUAUUAAAAAUCCAAAUUAAAUUUUGUGUAUGUUUGGGAAGGAAAUAUGAGGCCAAUGAUGAAGGGCCACGUGUCGAUAUUUAAGAGAUUAAUUUAUCUCGGGUACCUUAGGUACCUCGGGUACCCUAGGUACCCCGGCUACCCUAAGCACUCCAGGGGUACCUCGGGUACACCAUGAGAGGAUACAAAAGUCUUCGUAAAUAUGUGAAGGGAUAUGUGGGCCCCGAAUCUCAAAAAGACCGGUUUGAUACGUGUCAAAAAAUAAGGAAAUCUCGUGCCGCAAAAGAGGAGACAGCCGCCUGUCACGCCAGUGAAUCCGCUAAAAGUGUCAUAUUGUGACAGUUGGGACCACCAACUUUUCCUGCUACGCCUGCAAAAUUACAACGGAAUUGCAGAGGUACGCGGAACCACUCCACUACGCCCAGCACGUGAAUACGCCACAAACUUGCUCUCCACUCAUAAUUUUGAAACGUCUAAACCGCCAUAUGCAUGAAAAUAAGAAUAUUACUGACAUGACAAUAGGGAAGGCCACUAAAAUAGCGCCAGGUGGCACGGCGACCGGGGUACACCAUAUAAAUACUCAGGUUUGAUUUUUAUCAAGGAGGUAAACACACUCACCACCAAAGAAACUAGGGGUUUCUUCAACCUCAAAACCUCCAUUACCGAGAGCUUAUAAGCUCUCUAACCUGAGAUAACCCAACUCUGACUUGAGCGUCGGAGUGUGGUCGCCGGUCACCCCCGGCUCCACCUCUGACCUCUUUUUUGGUUGUUUCACAGGUUUAAGGCGAGUUUCACCAGCCCGCACGUGCCGAACAAGCGAGGUACCCCGCUCCCCGACAAAAAUAUAAACUUAUUGCUCUUGGGUUGGUUUUGUGGUUUUUUAUUCAUUGACCCAAAAUCAGCCGCAAACAGUGUACAAUUUUUCAAACAUUUAUUGCAGUGACAACCAAAUGUUCAAUAUGUUUCUAAAAAUAUUGGGAAUAUUGCCACUUGAGGAGUGUUUAAUCCUUGUUUUAGCUCUUUAUUUAUUUAUUUAGCUUCGUUUAUCAUUUUUAUUAUUUACGACAAACAUGCUUAAGUGUUUUUUUUUUUUGGAUACUCUGACUAAUUGGGUGUACUUUUGCCUAUAGGAUAUAACCUCCGAAAGUUCUGUAAAAGUAUUUUCUAGCAACUAUUCUAUAUAUCUGCUUCGGGAUGCAUGGCCAUAUGUAGAGAAACGCAAGCUUUUUCUUUAUUUUUUCCACAAAUUUUUACACUUGAAUUAUGGUCGAUCUCUAUGUUAUAUGAGUUAAUUCUAUGCUUAACUCCUCUCACUUAGUCAUUUGUUUGGUUACAGAAAGGCUACAUGGAUUCUUCUUAAUUGUCAUUUUCCAAUCUUAAAGGGAGCUUUAUUGUCGUGAUCUCAUGGACUUCUCAACUCGUUGUUUUAGUUGAUCGUGAUUAAUAUUGGGAUUAUUUUCUCCUAAAUUAGCCCUCUGUUGUGUCUGUCUUUGUCCUCUCCAUCUCUUUAUCUCUCUGUAUGUAAUUGUUUGGGUUAAUCUUUUUUUCCCAAUAACAGCUAUUUAUUUGGUUGUAGUGAUGCAUGGUGGUGCCUUCUUCCUUUUUUAUUUUUAUAAUAUUUUAAGUAGAAUCAAGUGUUGCGGAUUUCUCCAAAAAAAAAAAAAAAAACUAUGAGUUUUCAAAGAAUAUUGAGAUAUUAUGCACUAGUCAAAGGGCCUGAUAUUCAUCUCUUUCCAUAGUUUCUUUUCAAACACUUUAAAUUCAACUUAUUGUUUCAUGAUUUAUUUCGUAAUAUGGCCUUUUAGAUGAAUUCUUGGGAAUCUUUUGAAGGCGGUGUGAUAUUUUCCACUUUCUUGUAUUUUAGUAUCGGAGUCAGUGUUCUCACGUUCUUGUUUGGUCUGUGUGCUUGCUCCACAAGGAAAAGAUUUAAGCAUGGUCUCUUAUCAAAUGUUGCUUAAAUAUCAAUUUUUGCUACUGAAAUUAUUAGUUUCUCUGAUCUUAAAGAGAAAAACUGUUGUUGUGGACUUUUUCAAUUCAUUGUUGGAGCAACUAAGGAAUAUUUGGAUUAUUUUCUCUUAAUUUAGUUUUCCCCUAAUUUUCUCUUUGUUUAGCCAGUCUCUCUCUGUGUGUGAUCUUUUGGUUAAGUCUUUUGCCCAAUUUGUGUGAAGUUUUUUUGCUAAAGAGAAUGACUCAAGUGCUGACAAACUCUUGAGGUCAUUCGAAUGACCUGGAAAAUCCUUAUUUGUCAAUUAUCCAAGAGCCUACUGUUUCGAGGAUUACUCGGUCAGAAUGUUAUUCUUCUUACAAGCGGCGAUGCACUUUUCAUUCCUGAAGACUGGUAUGAUUAAACACUAAAUUUUUAUGACAAGGGUUUCCUUUGCCUGCAUCAAAAUCAAGAAUCUCUCUGUGGUUAGCUUUUCUUUCUUAAUUUGAUUAAUCACAUACUGUUUUGUUAGUUUAUUCUGGAGUACGCUUACCACUGGUCGAUUGUUUCAGGACUUUAUGCAGGCAAAAUGAGACUUGACGGGUGCUAAAUCAAGCUUCUGCUUGUUUGUAGCGUAUUCGCAUGUCAGGUUUUCUCUUCACUUUUAAGAAGGCUGUGGAAUCAAGUAUGCAGCAAGGAACAUGUGCUUUUAGAUUUUGAAUACUUUUUUCUUUUCUUUUCUUUUCUUUUUUCAGUUCUUUCUCAUAGUUUUACUCCUAUAUAUAUCUGUUUGAUCCAUAAGUUUUAUGGCUUAUUUUUUCAAUUUUGUGAACUCUUAUUAUAGUGAUAGACGAAUGGUCUUAGAACGUCUGUGAAUCUUACUGUCUGGUUUACUUAUCUCCCAAUUUGAUUAAAUUUUGGUAUAAGAUUAGCUCACAAACAUGAUUGUGUAUAUGAUUUUGUUCUAUUUUCCCAUGGCUUUUAAGGAUAAAUUAUUGCUACUGUUUACAGUUUUAGGAUAACCCUUGUGCUGAAUCUAUGACCGCAGUCUGCCAAAGUUCUUGGACUCGUGGAUGAGGAAUUAACAUUUUAUAUUGCAUAAGACUUUGGUUUAAGCUGACGUUGAAUGAAAAUAUGUUAUAAUUUUUACUGUUUUUUGUUUUUUUAUUUCAAGUUUGUUCUGUUAUUCCAGAGUUUGGUUGGAAAAACUUAAAUCUUAUAGACUUGGAAAGAUUUCUUAUCUUUUUUUAUUAUCUUUUGCAAUUUAUGUUGGGUCAAGUAAUAUUUCGGUUCUUUUCAAAAAAAAAAAAAAAGGUAAUAUUUUUUGGUUGGUUCCCUUGAUUUUUUAAUAAAGUUUUACCAAUCAGUAGCUUUCUUUUUCCUUCAUUUGAUGAUACUUCAAGUUUCUUUUGAUUAACUUAGAUGAACUACAAGGACUUUCAUCUCCUAACUCUGUUUCGUUGAUUCUGGUUAUGAUAUAGUUUCGUGCAAUAUUGUUUUUUUUUUUUACUAGUAAGAGAUCUUUAUUAUCUACUGUAAUUAAUGUUAGAUAAUUUUUAUUUUUAUUUUUUUACUACUUUAUUUAAUCAAGUUGUAUUCCUUUUUUUUUUCCCAGCUGGUAAGUAAAGAAAGCUUGUUUUUUAAUAUUUUUUUAUAUUGAUAUUACAAUCAAAAGUCCAUAUAUGAUGGCAAUGAAAAUUUGUAAGUUCCGAUAGGAAGUCGACACAUGUGCUAGGAUAUGCAAAGGAUGGAAAUGACAGGGUUGCCCAUGAGGUACAAAGGGUUUAAAUUCUGCGUGCGUAAAUUUAGGGUUAUAAUUCUUUCAUAAUCUGAUCGUAUUCUAAGUAAAUAAUUUACUUAUUGAUUAAUAAUAAAAUUUAAAUUCAAUAAAACUAAAAUGCCUGCCUUUUUUUAUUACUUGUGGUAAAAAAAUUCAAUACGGUUCACACCGUAUAUGAACACAUAAUUUACUUAUGGAUUAAUAAUAAAAUCCACAAGUAAUAAUUUACUUAUUGAUUUUAACUGUGAAAAUGGUAUUUGUCCAAAUCACCAGCAUAAUCAGAAUCAACGUACCCGAUCACACCUUGACUAAGUGUAUCGUCUCUCUCAAACAGUAAACCAACAUCUAUGGUCUUAUGAAUGUACCGUAGAAUCCAUUUCACAGCUUGCCAAAGUCCUUUACCAGGAUUAUGCAUAUACUUGCUCACUAUACCUACUGCAUGUGAAAUGUCAGGCCUUGUACACACCAUUGCAUAUAUUAAGCUACCCACUGCAUUUGAAUGCGGAACUUGUAACAUGUAUUCUCGUUCUGCAUCUGUUGAAGGAGAUAAUUGUGUAGAAAGCUUAAAAUGAGAAGCUAAUGGGGUACUCACAGGUUUUGUUUGCUCAGUCAUGCCAAACUACUGUAGUACCUUCUUCAAAUAUUGCUUCUGAGACAAGCUUACUUUGCCACGAGCUCUAUCUCUACAUAUCUCCAUGCCAAGAAUCUUCUUAACUUCACCUAGAUCUUUAAUUUCAAAUUCUUGAUUGAGUUGAGUCUUCAACUUCUCAAUCUCAUCUUUGUUCUUCGAUGCUAUUAGCAUAUCAUCGACAUACAAUAGCAAAUAAAUGAAAGAUCGUUCUUGUAGCUUGCGAAAAUACACACAAUGAUCAAAUUUGUUUCUUGUGUACCUUUGUUCUUUCAUAAAUCGAUCAAAUCGCUUAUACCACUGCCUCGAAGAUUGUUUCAAUCCAUAAAGCGACUUUGUUAAUUUGCAAACCCAAUUUUCUUUUCCAGCAACCUGAAAUCCAUCUGGCUAAGUCAUGUAGAUUUUCUCUUCCAAAUCACCGUGUAAAAAUGCAGUUUUUACAUCAAGUUGAACUAGUUCAAGAUCAAAUUGUACAACCAUGGCUAGCAAAAUUCGAAUAGACGAGUGUUUUACAACUGGAGAAAAUACCUCAUUGUAGUUUAUUCAUUCCUUCUGAGCGUAACCCUUCGCUACCAAUCUAGCCUUGUAUCGAAUUUCAUUUUUACGAGAAAAUCCUUCAUUUUUUGCAUAUACCCAUUUGCACCCAAUUGCCUUCUUUUCCUUGGGCAGUGUAACUAACUCCCAAGUUUCAUUUUUGUGAAGAGAUUGCAUUUCUUCGUUCAUUGCUUUCUUCCAUUGUAUACUUUCUGGGUUACUUACUGCUUCUCUGUAAGUGGAAGGAACAUCAUCAUUUACAAUAAGAAGUGCAUAAGCCACCAUAUCAACAAAGCGAGCAGGUCUGCGAAUCUCUCUACGUGGCCUUCUAUAUGCAAUUGAAUCUUGUUGUUGUGAAGGUUCCUGGGUCAGAACCUCUUCAUCAUCAUCGGUCAAUGGAGAAUCAUUAUUCGUCUCAUCGACACCAGCUGGAUCAGAUUUAACUUUUUCAAACUCCAUCUGCUGCAAAGUUCUACUGGUCUUCUCAUUCUCUUGAGAAUCGUUUUGUUUCAACAUGGCUGAUUCAUCAAAAGCUACAUCUCUGCUGAAAAUAAUCUUCUUCGUAACAGGACACUAGAGACUGUAUCCUUUUACUCCACCAAUUAUACCCAUAAACAAUGCUUUCUUUGCUCUUGGGUCUAACUUAGAUUCCUUUACAUGAUAAUAAGCAGUGAAACCAAAAACAUGUAAAGAAUCAUAAUCAGUAGCAGGUUUACCAGUCCACAUCUCCAUGGGUGUUCAGCCCUUAAUUAUAAUUAAUGGCAAACGGUUGAUCAGAUGGCAUGCAUAUACAACUGCCUUAGCCCAAAACUCUUUGCUCAAUCCAGUAUUGGACAACAUACACCGAACUUUCUCUAGUAUAGUCUGGUUCAUGCAUUCUGCCACCCCAUUCUGUUGUGGUGUAUCUCGAAUAGUGAAGUGUCGCACAAUACCUUCAUCUUGGCAUAUUUGAAGAAAUGGAUCAUUCUUGUACUCACCACCAUUGUCUGAGCGAAGUCUUUUGACCUUUCGACCAGUCUGAGUCUCGACCAUUUUCUUCCAUUUCAGAAAUAAGCCAAAAACUUCAUUUUUGUUCUUCAUCAAAUACACCCACACUUUUCUUGAAUAAUCAUCAACAAAAGUAACAAAAUAGUGCAUACCUCCCAAAGAAGCUAUUUUGGUAGGUCCUCACACGUCAUUGUGAACAUAGUCCAGAAUCCUUUUUGUGUCGUGAAUUGUUGAACCAAACUUUACCCUUGUCUGCUUGCCCAGAACACAAUGUUCACAAAAUUCUAAUUUGUAAGAAUUUGUACCUUUUAAUAAGCCCUGCUUCACCAAAGUCUGUAAAGCUUUUUCACCAGUAUGUCCCAAACGCAUAUGCCACAACUUGGUUGCUCUGAAUAUGCAUUUUUUCCAGAAACUGUUGAUGCUGAUACAUUAACUGUAUUUCCUUGGAAAUAAUACAAGUUAUUUCUUCUUGUGCCUUUCAUCACCAUCAGCGCCCCAACUACUACCUUCAAUAAUCCAUCUCUCAAAGUGAUUGUGAGCCCUUUAGAUUCUAGGACUCCUAAUGAGAUAAGAUUUUUCUUCAAGCUUGGUACAUAGCGAACGUCUGUCAAGACUUAGAUUGAGCCAUCAUGAUUCUUUAUUGGAUUGUACUUAUUCCCAUGGUUUUACAAGCAUUGUCAUUACCCAUAAAAACAACUCCACCGUCUAGCUCUAUGAAGUUGGAAACCAGCCCUUGUUAGGAUACAUAUAAUAAGUAUAACCCGAAUCCAAAAUCCACUCAUCUGAGUGACAUAUCAAUGUCAUGCCAACCAGACUAAAGUCUGACUCCUCAUCAUGCUCUGCUACACAUGCAACAAAAGUAGCCUUGCCCUUUUGUAACUUAGGACAAUUCUUUUUCCAAUGCCCUUUCUCGCGACAAAAAGCACAUUCAACUUUGGCAGGUCUCCCUUUAGACUUGCUCAUUUUUUCCAGGUUUGCGGCUUUGCGAACGACCUUUCGCUGUCAAUGCUUCUGCAACUGUAUCUCUGUGAUCUUUUUUGUCUUUCUUUUUGGUCUCAGAGUUGUACAAUGCACUGCAUAUAGCAUCGAACGUAACAUUGUCUUUCCCAUGAAGCAAAGUGGUAGUGAGAUGAUCAUAUUCAUCAGGAAGGGAAUUCAACAACAAUAAUGCCUUAUCUUCAUCUUCAAAUUUCUCAUCCAAAUUUAGCAAAUCUGCCAAUAUUUUGUUGAAUGAGUUCACAUGGUCAUUCAUUGACAUGUCAGGUGUAUAUGUGAAUCGAUAGAGUUUAUUCUUCAUAUAAAGCCUAUUUUCAAGACUUUUCAUCAUAUAAUUUUCUUCCAGUGUCUCCCAUAAUUUCUUUGCCGAUGUCUCCCUCAUGACAGAAUAUUUCUGAUCUUUAGCCAGACAUAGGCGAAUAGUACCACAUGCCUGUCUAUUGAUUUGUAUCCAUUCGCUGUCAUCCAUCACGUCAGGCUUUUCUUCAAGAGCAACAUCCAACUCUUGCUGACAUAAGACAUCCAACACCUCACAUUGCCACAUACCAAAAUUAUUGGUACCAUUAAAUUUCUCCACUUUAAACUUUGCAUUAAUCAUAGUAUUCAUCGCUGAUGAAGACGACGACGAUGCCUCUGCCAUCUUUUUCUCUCAAAUGAUCAGUUUCUUCAACAACUAUUUACACUUAAAAAACAGCCUUUAUAAUGUUUAUUUCGCGUGAAUAAAUACAUUAGGAAAGUUCCCAGGAGACCGUUCCCAAUUAAGAACCAGAAUCCUUAGACUCUUAUCGUCUUGUUGACAGAACUUUCCUAGACAUGCAAAAAUACACACUACUUACAAUAGACUGUCUCCCAAGUAUAAAUGGUUGUCUCCAUCGUAUUUGUGAACAGUACCGUAUACAAGAAUAGUACCGUAUACAUGAACAGUACCGUGUCCCCCCAGGUACGAACCGUCGACUCUAAUACCAAUUGUUGCGGAAACGUGGGUUGAGCAAUUACUAAUACUACAACUUCUGGAGAAAUAUAAAUGUGGUGAUAAACAAAUGCAAAGAAAAUAGGACACAAUAAUUUACGUGGUUCAGCGUAAUGCCUACGUCCACGGGCAAAAGCUGGAAGAUAAUUUUACUAACAAAUGAGAAUUUACAAAAGUGGAAAAAACUCACAAAACCCACAACCCCAAUACACCCAAAUCGAACCUCACUAGAACACUCAAGUGGAAGCUCUCACAUAUUCUCUCAAAGAACUCACUUGCAAUUGCUCUCUACUUCUCUCAAAUUUGGGAUCCUUACAAUUGCAAAAUGCUUCUCUAUUUAUAGAGUGCAUUCUGCACCAAGUUGGGUUCAAUUGGUCAAAACGUUGAGCUAGAUCUUGUAUUGCAUGCACAAGCUUUUCAACACCUAACUUUGUCUUUUGAAAAUUAGCAAGCCGACCAACUUUACUUUUUUGAAUUUGGCAAACCCACCAACUUUGCCUUUUGAAAUUUGCAAGCCAUUCUUUGACUUUUCAACAAAAAAGACAUAUUUCAAUGCAUUAAAGACAAAUUACAUUGUAUUGGAGUAUGUGUUUAUUUUAACCUUUUAAAUUGUCUUUAAUUUUAUUAAGCAAGUGAUUCUCUUAUUGUAAAAUUGUUGGGUACACAUACAAAUAUCCCAAAGUUCUUAAGGAAAAAUGUAAGUUCACAAUGAAAUUUAGCUUUUUUCUUAAAUUAAGGAUGAAAGUUGUAUAUUCACCUAAAUGGUGAAAUCCAGUAUUUUUUCUUUUCUUCCUCACCCCCCCGGGCCGCAAAUUAAAGAUGAAAUCAAUCUCAGCUCGUCAUUUAAUUAUAAAUUCACUUUGCUUUAUUUUAGUCUUUUUCGUUCUAGGAUUUUGAAGUUUUUCGACCGACUGGAGUACCGUACUGCUGUCAAAAGAUUUGGCUACAGCAUCUAGAAGCUGCAUCUAGAAGUUUUGAAGAAACAAAAUGAGUAGCACACGGCUUUGAAGUUCUAGAUGCCGAAAUACUUGAAGAGGAAAAUGGAAAAAGAAGAAGUUUGAAGAAGAAAAUGAGGAACGCGAUUUUGACAAGAGAAAAAAAAAUUAUUAUUUUAAUAGCCAAUUUUGGCUAUAAAAAGGGGAGUUCCCCAUCGGCUUAGUGUAUUCUAUUCUUUAAGUUUUUCUUCUCUAUUUUGUAAAGAGAAAGAGAAAGUGAGAGUAUUUUAAGAGUUUUAAUAAACUCUUAAGUAAUUAGUGAGUGAGAGAUUGGGUGUAUUGGGGUUCUGGGUAGUGAGCCAAAAUAUUACAAUACUUGUAAUCCUCAUAUCACUAGUGAAAUAUUUUCCUUCUGUUUUCGCCCAUGGACGCAGGCUAAAAGCCGAACCACGUAAUUUUCUAGUGUCCCUUUUUAUGCUUGUUCUUUAUUUUCUUCCAAUUUCACUUUACCUGCGGCUCUGCUUCACCCACUAAUUUCCUAACAGUGGUAUCAAAGCUAUUGGUUGUAUUUUUGGAGUCGGUUACUAUUCACAUAAGGGGUACUAUUUACGCAUACAGUACUGUUUACGUAUAUGAUACUAUUCAUGUAUACGACACUGUUCACUUGUACGGUAUUGUUCAUAUAUACGGUACUGUUCACGAGAAACGAUGAGAGCGAUCCAAGAAUUUUACAGUGCAAAGUAGGGAAUAGUGGUGUGAGUAAAGCAACUGUGUGGUUUUGUACUUGUCUAGGAAAGUUUUGUCACAAAGGCGAUAAUAGCUUAAGGAGUCUGGGUUUUAAGUGGGACCAUUGUGACCCCUCUAGUCUUUCCUGAAAACUUUCUUGGUGUGCAUUCUCACACAUACUCACAACUAUUCAGGGUGGUACACUAGUUUGUGUGUGGUAUUUAUCAACAAAAUGGCGGCAAAGUAUGAAAUUGAGAAGUUCAAUAGGAAUAAUUUUUCGUUGUGGAAAAUGAAGAUGAAAGCUGUAUUGAGGAAAAAUAAUUGCUUGGCAGCAAUUGGAGAAAGGCCUAUGGAGAUAACUGAUGACAAGUGGAACGAGAUAGAUGGUAACACCAUUUCUGAUCUACACUUGGCACUUACGGAUGGAGUAUUAUCCAAUGUGGCUGAGAAAAAUACAGCGAAGGAAAUAUGGGAUACUCUCACAAAAUUGUACGAGGUCAAAUCACUGUUAGCCUAUAUGGCUAUAUAUAUUGAUUUUGAUGAUAACAAACCACAUGUAUUUAUUAAGUAAAGAUUUAUGAAUUGUGCUUUUAUAAUAAGAAAAUGAUGUUAUGGAAUUAAAGUAUUUUGGACUAAAAUGAAAGUAAUUUCAAAAUCUUUGAUAAUGUUUUAAAUUUCAGAUUUGGACCUAUUUGAAACUAUUUAAAUAUUUUUGGGUCAUUUUAUAAUUUCACAAAGUUUGGGCGAAAUCAUAAUUUCAAAAAGUUUUGGGAUUAAUGAAGCAUUACUUAGAAAUUCUGAAAUUGGACCUAUUUGCAAAGUUUCAUAACGUUUUGGGUCAUACUACUGUUUUAUAAAGUUUUAGGGUCAAACUGAAAAUUUAAGAAAAAUUUCACUGUAGCAGGUUACUGUAGCAUCCGACUUACCGGUUAUAAAAAUCAGAAAACCGGAUUCGGGGUAGAAUGUAUCCAGAAUGAAAACGGCUUACCGGAUUCCGAAUCCGGCAAGCCGGUUAGGCAAAAUUUUGAAUUUUGCCUUAACGGUAACAUAAAUCCAGCUUACCGGAUUCCAUAAACGGCAAACCGGAUAUGCCUGAAAUGUGAGUAACGGCUAGUUUUCGAGCUCAAACUAUAAGAACUCAAAUCCAACUCAUUUUGAAGCUCUCCAACAAGCAAAAACAAAAAGCACACGUGAUAUCUUGAGCUUACAACUUGCAAAACACAAAACAUUGAAUCAUUCAUUGUUCUUCAUCUUUGAAUAUCUACUCAUUGAGUGAGUUUGAUUGUAACUUUCAUUUCUUCAUUUCAUUUGUAAGAGUUUGAGUGUGUGAGACACUUGAGUGAAGAGAUUGGGAGAUAAUCUCUUUGUUGUAAAGGUUUAUUAACACCUCGAAAUCAAUUGUAAUCGGUUGAAGCCUCGGAAAGGCUUGGAUAGUGAAAUUCUCAAGCUUGGAUUGCUUGGAGGCGUGGACGUAGGCGGGGAUUGCCGAACCACGUAAAAAUUCGUGUGUUUGUUUCUCUUCUCCCUUACUCUUUAAUUAUUGUGCCUUUAUUAAACUUAUUGCUUUCAAUUUUUAUUAAGGCAUUAGAUUGCUUGUUGUGUGGAUUUGCUAGGUUAAUUUUUAAAUUUCCAAUUCACCCCCCUCUUGGGUUGCACACUUAUAUUUCAUUUGGUAUCAGAGCGAGGUGCUCUUGUUUAGAUUUAACCAUCUAGAGUUAAAGAUCAAUGGCAACUCAAAAUGAUUCCACAUUUAGGGAAGGGUAGUCCACCACUAGACCACCUUACUUUGAUGGAAACGAUUACCCAUAUUGGAAAACUAGGAUGAGAAUUUACUUGCAAGCCUUAGAUUAUGAGAUUUGGGAAAUCGUUAAUGAUGGUCCAUUCAUGCCUUGGACUAAAAAUGAAGUAGGAGAAGAUAUUCCAAAACCUUCACGGGAUUGGAAUGAAUUCGAAAAUAGAAAAGCUUCUCUAAAUUCCAAGAUCAUGAAUGCCUUGUUUUGUGCACUAGAUAAGAAAGAGUUUCAUAGAGUGUCUAGUUGCGAAAGUGCUAAUGAAAUUUGGCACAAACUUGAGGUUGUCUAUGAAGGCACGAACCAAGUGAAAGAAUCUAAAAUAAGUAGGUACACUCGACAAUAUGAAUUGUUCCAAAUGGAACAAAAUGAAAAUGUGUACUCUAUGUAUACUAGAUUCACGGACAUAGUGAACACUCUAGGAGCCCUAGGAAAGACUUUCUCAAAUAGCGAAAAAGUCAAGAAAAUCAUUAGGUCUCUACCUAAGGAAUGGAGACCAAAAAGGACUGCCAUUGAGGAAGCCAAUGAUUUAAAUGUAUUACCUAUUGAUGAUUUAAUUGGCUCUCUCAUUUCAUAUGAAGAAGAUUUAGCAGCUGAAAAAGGGCAUGAGGAAAAGAAGAAAAACAUUGCUCUCAAGGCUUCAAAACGUGAGAGUGAUGAGGAAAGCGAAAUGGAUGAUGAGGAGUUAGCUAUGUUGGUUAGAAGAUUCAGAAAAUUUUACAAGAAGAAUAAUGAGCAGAGAAAGUUCAGAGGCUACAAGAAUAAGAAGGAGAAGAAGGAGCCAAUCACUUGUUAUGAAUGCAAGAAGCCCGGACACAUACGACCGGAAUGUCCUCUUCUCAACAAACUCAAGAAGAAAGCUAUGGUGGCCACAUGGGAUGAUAGCGAUGAGGAAACAAGUGAUGAGGAUGAGCAACAAGAAAUGACAAACUUAGCUCUCAUGGCCGUUGGGGAAGAAUCAUGUGAUGAACUUGAUGAGGUAAGUGUUCUUCUUACAUAUGAUGAAUUGCAUUAUGCUUUUAAGGAUUUGCAUGAUAAGCUAAUGAAGAUUGGUAAAAAGAAUAUAUGUCUUAAAAAGAAGAUGAUAGAGCUUAAGAAUGAAAAUGAUUCAUUUAGUGCAAAGAUCACAUGCCUAGAAUUAGAAAAUAAAACAUUGCAUGAUAGUAUUGCAUUAUUUGAGAAUUCUAGCACUUCACAUGAGCACUUAGAGUCACACAUGAAUGACUUGAAAAAUGAAAAUGAAAUGCUUAGAAAGAAGAGCAAUGAACUAAAUGAAAUUGUGCUAAAAUUCACAAAUGGGCAAAAGAUGUUGGACAACUUGCUAAACUUACAAAAAUGUGUAUUUGACAAAAGUGGCAUAGGUUAUAAACCAAAUUUGAAACAAAAAUUUUACAAGAGUUAUUUUGUGAAGAAUACAUCUAUUAACAAUCAAAUUGUAUGUCAUUAUUGCAAUCAAGAUGGUCAUAUGAAAAAUAGAUGUGCAGUGAAGAGAAAUGCAUAUUAUGGUGUGAAAUGUGUUUGGGUUCCGAAAGGAACCAUUGCUAACUCUCAAGGACCAAAAAAGGUUUGGGUACCUAAAACUUGAGAUUUUUUCUAUAGGGCUCAAAGAAGAAGAAGAAUAAGUGGUACUUGGACAUCGGUUGUUCAAGACACAUGACAGGGAAUUAUUCUUGGUUUUCAAGCUUUACCAAGAUCGAAAAUGGUAGAGAUGUAUCGUUUGGGGAUAAUUCAAAAGGAAAAAUCAUUGGAAUUGGAAAUGUCGGUAAUGUAUCCUCUACUCUCAUUGAGAAUGUGUGUUUGGUUGAAAACUUGAAACAAAAUUUGCUUAGUAUUAGUCAAUUAUGUGAUAAAGGAUAUAGAGUUAUCUUUGAUGAAUCAAAAUGUGUUAUUGAGAAUGCAUGUGAUGGGAAAGUCUUGUUUGUAGGAAAUAGAUGUGUUAAUGUCUAUACCAUUAAUAUAUAUUGUGCAUCUAUACAUGAAAAAUGUCUCUCCGCAUUGCAUGAUGAUGGUUGGUUAUGGCAUAGAAGAUUAGGUCAUGCAAGCAUGGAUUUGAUUUCAAAAAUCGUGAAAAAUGAUUUAGUUAAAGGUCUUCCAAAAAUCAGUUUUCAAAAAGAUAGAAUUUGUGAAGCAUGCCAAUUUGGAAAACAAAUCAAAACUUCCUUCAAAAGCAAGAAUCAUGUCUCUACUUCAAAACCACUUCAAUUGCUUCAUAUAGAUUUGUUUGGACCUUCUAGAUAUGCUAGUUUAAGUGGCAAAUAUUGUGCAUUUGUAAUUGUGGAUGAUUAUUCUAGAUACACAUGGGUAUUGUUCUUAGCGAAUAAGGAUGAAGCCAUUGAUGCAUUUCGAAUUUUCUAUAAAAAGGUUCAAAAUGAAAAAGGUUAUUCUAUUACUUGUAUUAGAAGUGAUCAUGGUGGAGAAUUUGAAAAUCAUGCAUUUGAAAAUUUUUGUAAUAACUUUGGCAUUGAACAUCAAUUUUCAUCACCUAGGACUCCACAACAAAAUGGAGUAGUAGAGAGAAAGGAUAGGUCUAUUCAAGAAAUGGCUAGGACCAUGUUGAAUGAAAACUCUUUGCCUAAGUAUUUUUGGGCCGAAGCCGUCAACACCGCUUGUUAUGUUUUAAAUCGGGUGUUGAUUAGACCUAAUCUUAAUAAAACUCCAUAUGAGCUUUGGAAAGAUAGAAAACCCAACAUUGGUUAUUUUAAAGUUUUUGGAUGCAAAUGUUUUGUUUUGAACACAAAAGAUAAUCUUGGUAAAUUUGAUCUAAAAUCUGAUGUUGAUAUCUUUCUUGGUUAUUCAAAUUCAAGCAAAGAUUAUAGAGUUUAUAAUAAAAGAACUUUAGUUGUGGAAGAAUCUAUGCAUGUUACAUUUGAUGAGACUAACCCCUCCUAUACGGAGAAAGUCAUUGUUGAUGAUAAUGCAGAAGAAGAACAACAAGAAGAAGCAUCAAAUGACAACCAAGAAGACGCACCACCUGGAAUUCAAGAGGAACAUCAUGAAGAACCAAAUGCAGAGCAAAAUGAAGGUACUUCACAAACACUCCCCAAGGAGUGGAGGUAUGUAUCCUCUCACCCUAAAGAUGUAAUUUUAGGGGAUCCCUCACGAGGUGUUACCACUAGAUCAUCUCUUAGGAACACAUGUGAGCAUGCUGCAUUUAUUUCUCAAAUUGAACCAAAAUCCUUUGCGGAUUCGGAAAAUGAUGAAUCUUGGAUUAUGGCAGUGCAAGAGGAGUUGAAUCAAUUUGAGAGAAACAAUAUGUGGGAGUUAGUUCCUAAUCCGGAACAUCAAUCCAUUAUAGGUACUAAAUGGGUAUUUAGAAACAAAAUGGAUGAAUCCGGUGUGGUUGUAAGAAAUAAAGCUAGAUUAGUGGCUCAAGGUUACAACCAAGAAGAAGGAAUUGAUUUUGAUGAAACUUUUGCACUUGUAGCAAGGUUAGAAUCCAUUAGGAUGUUGUUAGCAUAUGCAUGUCAUAAGGAUUUUAUUUUAUAUCAAAUGGAUGUCAAGAGUGCUUUCUUAAAUGGAUAUAUUAUGGAGGAAGUUUAUAUGAAACAACCUCCUGGUUUUGAAAAUGAAAAAUUUCUAGAUCAUGUGUAUAAGUUAUCCAAGGCUUUGUAUGGUUUAAAACAAGCACCUAGAGCUUGGUAUGAUAGACUUAAAAAUUUCUUGUUGGAUAACGAUUUUUCAAUGGGAAAAGCGGACACAACUCUUUUUGUUAAGCAUAAGAACCAAGACAUACUUAUUGUUCAAAUAUAUGUUGAUGCUAUUAUUUUUUGUUCUACUAAUGAGUUGUUGUGUAAAGAUUUUUCAUCAUGUAUGAGCCAAGAGUUUGAGAUGAGUAUGAUGGGAGAGUUGAAGUACUUCCUUGGACUUCAAAUCAAACAAAACGAGGAAGGAAUUUUCAUAAAUCAAGUUAAGUACGUGAGAGAUCUACUCAAAAGAUUUGGCUAUGAAAAUGGAACGGCAAAAAGCACUCCUAUGAGUACUAUCAUCAAGCUGGACAAAGAUGAGAAAGGUAAGGAAGUUGAUAUCAAGACAUAUCGAGGUAUGAUCGGAUCUUUACUCUACUUGACUGCUAGUAGGCCUGAUAUUAUGUUUAGUGUAUGCUUGUGUGCUAGAUUUCAAUCUUGUCCUAAAGAGUCUCAUAUGCUUGCUGUCAAACGCAUUUUUCGAUAUUUAAUUGGCACCAUUAAUCUUGGCCUUUGGUAUCCUAGAGGAACUCAUAUUGAUUUAACUUGUUAUUCGGAUGCCGAUUUUGCUGGGUAUAAGGUUGAUAGAAAAAGUACUAGUGGAACAUGUCACUUCCUAGGCCAUUCUCUUGUCUCUUGGUUUAGUAAGAAACAAAACUCGGUUGCGCUUUCAACCACCGAGGCAGAAUAUAUUGCCGCAGGUAGUUGUUGUGCACAAAUUCUUUGGAUGAAACAGACCCUUAGAGACUAUGGUAUUAAGCUUGAUCAAAUACCUAUCUUAUGUGACAAUACUAGUGCUAUUAAUCUUUCCAAGAAUCCCAUUCAACAUUCUAGGACUAAACAUAUAGAAAUUAGACAUCAUUUCUUUAGAGAUCAUGUUCAAAAAAGAGAUGUUGUGAUUAAAUUUGUUUCCACUGAAAAUCAACUUGCGGAUAUCUUUACAAAACCUCUUAGCGAAGAGCAUUUUAUAAAGAUAAGACAUGAGCUUGGAAUGAUGAAUGUUGAAUCUUAAUUCAUGUUUCUCUACAUGGCUUGAUAUGUUUGUUAUCAUAUGGAUUUAUGCUUCAUGGAUUAGAUAGCAUGAUAUGCUUGUAAAUUUAUGAUUUUAUGAUUUUGUGUUUCAUGCAUUAAAUGGCGUAUUGAAAAGUUUUAAAUCUCAAAAUGAUUUAAAAUUAAUCAAUUUUUUAAGGCCGGAAAUUAAAUGGUGUGUGUAGUACAAGUAUAAGAGCUAGCAAAUAUUCCCUUUUCAUUCUUCCGAAAAAAAAUGUUUCUUCUUAUUGUUUCUCUCUCUCGGGACAAAUUCCGGACAACCGGAUUUGCUAAGCUUUAUCUCUGCCUCAUAACUGGUCUACCGGUUAUCAAAAACGGAUAGCCGAAUUCGCAUGCAUGCUUGCUGGAACAAAACCGAAUUUCUGGUUCAAGACAUCCGGAAAACCGAAUUGUUUUUGAAAGUUCUCAAAACCGGCCAGCCGGUUAAGGAAACCGGCAAGCCGAAAUCGCGAUGGUUACUCUCGGGUUUAUUUUCGGCAAACCGAAUAUGCAAUCCGGCAGGCCGUUUUCUUGUGUCUUGAUUCUGUCCAUUAACCGGCUUGCCGGUUAGCAAAUCCGGCAAGCCGGAUUCGUGAUCUUUUAAGCACUAUUCAUCUUCCUUAAGCAUUCGGCAUACCGUUUCUUGUUCUCUCACUAGAAGCCAUUUUUCUCCUCUCUUGAUUUCACUCCAAAAUCCAUCUUUUUCUUCCAUUUUCACAUCAAAUUGAAUCAAGAAAAUCAUUCCCCAUCUCAUUAAGAACACAAAACCAUCCUUGAAACCCUUUUUCAACAUCUAAAUCCUUAGAUCCCAAUUUCAACCUAGGGUUUAUCCGAAUUCUUCUCUCUCUAGAUUUCUCACUCUCAAGCCAUUUUUGAUCCAAAUUGUUUCUCCAAAUCACUUUCCAUCUUCAUCAUCUUCAUUCUCUUUAUCCUUUUCAACCCCAAAUCAAUCAAAUCACAAUGUCAAGUUCUCGGCCAGUUCGAAGAAAAGGCAAAGAACCGGUUCAACCAUCCACACGGCCACGGGAAGCAAGGGGCACCUCCAGUCAAUCCACCUUUGAGUCCAUUCAUUUUCAGAACAAGCAACACUUGAUCAAAAGGUUCCAACAAAACUUUCGGACUCGUGAGGUACUCAACACUUUCUUUGUUUCACCGGAUGUUUUGCAUACUCUCCAGAUUAGUCAUAGAUCUUUAUUUCAAUUGUUGGGAGAUGUUGGUUGGAUUGAUGCAUUGUUGAUUGAAGAGAAUGUGUAUCCCGACUUGGUGAAAGUAUUUUACUCGAAUAUGGAUUGUUCCGCGGAGAAAGAGAAUCGAGUAAUCACCAUAGUUGGAGGAGUUUUGAUUGAAUUUGAUGAUUUGGACUUGAACUCUAUCCUAGGAUCUUCCGAUGAUGGCCUGGACAUUUUUUCUCUUAGGAAACCUCCUGAAAUUGAUGACUAUGUUCAUGUUGAUGCCGUUCGUAAUAUAUGUCGGUGUAAUGAUCUUUCUGUUGAAGACUGUACCAUUCAUUUCUGUACUCAGUGUCUUUGUCUUCAAACUCGUUUGUUGCUUCGUAUCAUCCAGUCUAUUGUACUUCCUAGAUCAGGACAUUUGGAUGAGGUUUCUCACAUGGAUGUCGCCAUGAUUGACUAUAUUCUUAGAGGUUGCCCGGUUGACUUGGGCUAUUCCAUCGUUCACACCAUGUUGAGCAUUCCAGCCUUGAUUACCCGCUCUCUUCCUUAUGGUCAUUUCAUUACCCGAAUUCUUAAAUUCUUUGAAGUGCCGCUUCUAGAACCAUCUUGUAGGCCGUCCAAGGGUAUUGGGGAUGAGGUUAUUGUUGGGUUAGGCUUUGAGUGGAAGGAUGGCACUUGGGUUAAAUACAGCGAUAACAAGUUUACCUUUCUAGCCCCAAGUGAUGAUCGGCCACUAAAUGCUGUGAUUCCAGCUGAUCAGCUUCCAGUAUUCUUACUCUCAUUUCGAGGGCAGCGUAGACGCCGAGUUUCUUCCACGGUUGCUUCAGCUCCUAGUGCAUCUGCAUCCGUUUCAUCACCUCCACGGCCUCCUACCUCUGGAGAUGUUACUCUUCAGCAGCUUAUGGAUGAGGUGCAGACACUUUCGGUGCGGCAGACUGAGCUUCAGCAGGAGCAGCAGCAGCAACGGCAGCUGCAGCAGCAGCUCAUUCAUGGACAGCGCCUUCUCUUCGAGCACUUCGGCAUUCCAUAUCUGUUUCCACCUCCUUCACCUCCAUCCUCACCACCUGAGUAGUAUCUCAUGCUUGUACUUAGACACACCUACAUUUCAUUUACUGCAUUGUGUGUUCUUUUAUUUUUGACUCUAUGGAUGGUUAUUGUGCUUUUCAGUUUAUGUAUUUGUUUUGGAUGAUAUGGAUUUGUUAUGACUAUCUAUGUUGGCUGAUAUGGAUUUGUUUUGGUUGAUCAUUAUGGAUUAUAUGGAUUUCUUUACGCUUAUGGAUUUUUUUUUACUAAUGUGCUUGUGUUGCUAUUUUGAUGAUUGAUAGGGGGAGCUUUUAUUCUUUUUGAUGAUGAAGGGGGAGAAUGAUUUAAUAUGUGUUAUGAAAAUAUGCAUGUAUCUAGGGGGAGCAUGUAUGCAAGGGGAGUUUUUGUUAAAUAAUUUUCAAAUAAUUUUUUAACUUGCAUUGAUUAAGGGGGAGCUUUUUCAUAACAAGAUUAAAGUUUUUAAUGUGUUUUGUCAUCAUCAAAAAGGGGGAGAUUAUUAGCCUAUAUGGCUAUAAAUAUUGAUUUUGAUGAUAACAAAUCACAUGUAUUUAUUAAGUAAAGAUUUAUGAAUUGUGCUUUUAUAAUAAGAAAAUGAUGUUAUGGAAUUAAAGUAUUUUGGACUAAAAUAAAAGUAAUUUCAAAAUCUUUGCUAGUGUUUUAAAUUUCGGAUUUGGACCUAUUUGAAACUAUUUAAAUGUUUUUGGGUCAUUUUAUAAUUUCACAAAGUUUGGGCAAAAUCAUAAUUUCAAAAAGUUUUGGGAUUAACGAAGCAUUACUUAGAAAUUCUGAAAUUGGACCUAUUUGCAAAGUUUCAUAACAUUUUGGGCCAUACUACUGUUUUAUAAAGUUUUGGGGUCAAAUUAAAAAUUUAAGAAAAAUUUCACUGUAGCAGGUUACUGUAGCAUCCGGCUUACCGGUUAUAAAAACCAAAAAAUUGGAUUCGGGGCAGAAUGUAUCCAGAACGAAAACGGCUUACCGGAUUCCGAAUCCGGCAAGCCGGUUAGGCAAAAUUUUGAAUUUUGCCUUAACGGUAACAUAAAUCCGGCUUACCGGAUUCCAUAAACGGCAAACCGGAUACGCCUGGAAUGUGCGUAACGGCUAGUUUUCGAGCUCAAACUAUAAGAACUCAAAUCCAACUCAUUUUGAAGCUCUCCAACAAGCAAAAACAAAAAGCGCACGUGAUAUCUUGAGCUUACAACUUGCAAAACACAAAACAUUGAAUCAUUCAUUGUUCUUCAUCUUUGAAUAUCUACUCAUUGAGUGAGUUUGAUUGUAACUUUCAUUUCUUCAUUUCAUUUGUAAGAGUUUGAGUGUGUGAGACACUUGAGUGAAGAGAUUGGGAGAUAAUCUCUUUGUUGUAAAGGUUUAUUGACACCUCGAAGUCAAUUGUAAUCGGUUGAAGCCUCGGAAAGGCUUGGAUAGUGAAAUCCUCAAGCUUGGAUUGCUUGGAGGCGUGGACGUAGGCGGGGAUUGCCGAACCACGUAAAAAUUCGUGUGUUUGUUUCUCUUCUCCCUUACUCUUUAAUUAUUGUGCCUUUAUUAAACUUAUUGCUUUCAAUUUUUAUUAAGGCAUUAGAUUGCUUGUUAUGUGGAUUUGCUAGGUUAAUUUUUAAAUUUCCAAUUCACCCCCCCCUCUUGGGUUGCACACUUAUAUUUCAAUCACUACACAACAAAAUCUUCUUGAAGAGAAAACUCUAUACUCUUCGAAUGGCAGAAUCUACAAUGGUGACCGACCAUAUCAACACCUUGAAGACUCUAGUUUCACAACUCACAACGUUAGGUUAUAAUAUAGAGGAAAAUAAACGUGCAGAGCUUCUACUUCAAAGUCUACCAGAUUCGUAUGAUCAACUCAUCAUCAAUCUAACAAACAACAAUCUAGCGGACAAUCUAAUUUUCGACGAUGUUGCAACCUCCGUAUUAAAUGAAGAGAGCAGGUGGAAAAAUAAGGAAAACAGACAAGCAAGUUCGCAGCAAGUGGAGGCACUAUCGAUGAUGAGAGGGAGAUCAACGGAACGUGGCCCCAGUGGGAGUCAUAAUAAUGAUAGAUCAAAAUCCAGAAGUAAGAAGAAUGUUAAAUGCUACAACUGUGGCAAGAAAAGGCACGUCAAGAAAGAGUGUUGGAGUAACCAGAAGAGAAAAGAUGGCAAAGAACCUGAGUAAUCAAAUGCUCAGGGGUGUGUAGCAAGUACCUCGGAUGAUGGCGAAAUUCUUUACAGCGAGGCAAUAACUGUUUUAGAAGGCAGAAAACGAUUAUCUGAUGUCUGGCUUAUAGACUCAGGAGCUACCUGGCACAUGACCUCUCGGAGAGAAUGGUUCCACACAUAUGAACCUAUCUGAGGAGGAUCUGUAUAUAUGGAUAACGAUCAUGCCUUGGAGAUCGUUGGUAUUGGUACUAUCAAAAUAAAAAUAUUUGAUGGUACAAUUCGUACAAUUGGGGAGGUACGACAUGUCAAUGGCCUGAAGAAAAAUUUAUUGUCUUUGGGACAAAUGGAAUGGGUACAAAACUCAUGUCGAGAAUGAAAUUAUGAAGAUCUUUAAAGGCGCGCUUGUAUUGAUGAAGGCAGAAAAAAUCGAUGCUAAUCUAUUUAUGCUUAAAGGAAAAACACUACAGGAGGCUGAUGCAUGUGUCGUGUCAAAUGGAGAAAAAUCAACGAUGAUGUGGCACCUCAAACUUGGCCACAUGUUAGAACAAGGUUUGAAGAUUCUCUCUUAGCGAAAAUUGCUUCCAGGGCUCAAAUCGGUAAGUUUACAAUUUUGCGAGCAUUGUGUUACAAGUAAGCAACAUAGAUUAAAAUUCAGUAUAUCUAUUGCUAGAAGUAAAUGCAUUCUAGACUUGAUUCAUUAUGAUGUUUGGGAAUCACCAGAUAUGUCAAUGGGAGAUGCAAAGUACAUGGUGACUUUCAUUGAUGAUUAUUCCAGGAGAUGUUGGGUGUAUCCAAUUAAGAAAAAGUCAGAUGUAUUUCCAGUGUUUAAAGAAUACAAACGCAGGUGGAACUUGAAUUAAAAAAAACGAUCAAGUGCUUAAGGACGGAUAAUUGUGGAGAGUAUACAGACGGUGAGUUUCUUGCUUUUUGUAAGCAAAAAGGUAUUCAGAGGCAGUUCACGGUGGCAUAUACUUCUCAACAAAAGGGAGUGGCAGAGCGGAUGAACAAGAUUCUUACAGAACGAAUAAGAGCUAUGUUGAGGACUGCGGGUCUACCUAAUUCAUUAUGGGCAGAAGCAGCUAAAACUGCUUGUUAUAUAGUAAAUCGGUCGCCAUCUACAGCUAUUGGGCUAAAGACAGCGAUGGAAAUGUGGACUGGAAAUCCAGCUGAUUACUCAUACCUACAUGCAUUUGGAUGUCUCGUGUACGUGAUGUACAAUGCUCAAGAAAGAGCAAAGUUGAAUCCAAAAUUUAGAAGAUGUAUCUUCUUGGGAUAUGUUGAUGGAGUAAAGAGGUAUCGUCUGUGGGACCCCACUACCCACAAUAUCGUCAUCAGCAGAGAUGUUAUAUUUGUAGAAGAUCAACUGCAAAUGAGAGAUAAGGAUGAUAACACUGUAAAAGAAAAGUCAGAGACUGUGCCGGUAUAUGUGAAAAAUAAUUCAGAAGAUUCAGAUUCUUCUGAAGCAGCACUAGAGCACGAGGAACAAGAACCAGUCAAGUCCGAGGCUCCAGAAGUUUGUCGAUCAACUCGUGAGAGACGACUGCAAGUGUGGCACUCGGAGUAUGUCACAGAGAUCAAUGUUGCAUACUGUCUUCUAACAGAGGAUGGAGAGCCUUCAACUUUCCAUAAAGCUUUAAACAGCUUAAAUGUUACUUUGUGGAUGACAGCAAUGCAGGAAGAAAUUGAGGCUCUACACAAGAAUAAGACAUGGGAACUUGUACUACUACCACGUGGAAGAAAAGCUAUUGGAAAUAAAUGGGUCUAUAAGAUCAAACGUGAUGGCAAUGACCAAGUGGAACGGUAUCGUGCAAGAUUGGUGGUGAAAGAAUAUGCUUAGAAAGAAGGUAUUGACUUCAACAAAAUAUUUUCUCCGGUAGUUCGACUCACAACAGUCAGAGUAGUCUAGGCAAUGUGUGCUACAUUUGACCUACAUUUAGAGCAGUUAGAUGUGAAAACUGCAUUUCUUCAUGGAGAACUUGAAGAAGAAAUUUAUAUGCUCCAACCAGAAGGUUUUGCAGAAAUAGGAAAGGAGAACUUGGUUUGCAGGUUGAACAAAUCUCUGUAUGGUCUCAAACAUGCACCGAUGUGUUAGUAUAAGAGAUUUGAUUCCUUCAUCAUGAGGCUUGGAUACAACAGACUCAGUUCAGACCAUUGUGCAUAUUACAAGAGGUUUGAAGAUAAUGAUUUCAUUAUUUUGCUGUUGUAUGUGGAUGCAUGUUGGUAGCAGACCCCAACAAAGAUCGAAUCUAAUAAUUGAAGGCAUAAUUGGCUAGAGAGCUUGAAAUGAAGUAUUUGGGACCAGCAAACAAGAUUUUAGGGAUGCAAAUUCACCGAGACAUAAAUAACAGGAAGAUUUGACUUUCACAGAAGAAUUACUUGAAGAAAAUCUUACGGCGCUUCAACAUGCAAGAUUGUAAGUCAAUUUCUACCCCACUUCUUGUUAAUUUCAAGUUAUCCUCAAGUAUGUGUCCUAGCAAUGAAGCAGAGAGGAAGGGAAUGUCUCAAGUACCGUAUGCAUCAGCAGUGAGAAGUUUGAUGUUCGCUAUGAUAUGUACUAGGCUAGACAUUGCACAAGCAGUGGGAGCAGUUAGUCGAUACAUGACGAAUCCUGGUGGAGAGCAUUGGAUAGCUCUGAAGAGGAUUCUGAGAUACAUAAGAGGAACCUCAGAUGUUGCAUUAUGUUAUGGAGAAUCAGAGUUUACUGCCAGGGGCUAUGUGGAUUCAGAUUUUGCAGGAGACCUUGAUAAAAGAAAAUCCACUACUGGCUAUGUGUUUACACUUACGGGAGCAGCUGUAAGCUGGAUUUCAAAACUACAUAUCGUUGUGGCUCUAUCUACAACAGAAGCAUAAUACAUGGCAGCUACACAAGCUUGCAAGGAAGCUAUUUGGAUACAAAGGUUAUUGGAGGAGCUCGAGCAUAAACAACAGAAAAUUCCUGUGUUUUGUGGUAGUCAGAGUGUCUUGCAUAUUGCAAGGAAUCCAGCCUUUCAUUCCAGGACAACGCACAUAGGGGUUCAGUAUCACUUCGUUCGCGAAGUAGUGGGAGACGGAAGUGUGGAUUUACAGAAAAUCCAUACGAAGGAGAACCUAGCAGAUGUUUUGACCAAGCCGAUCAAUGCUGACAAGUUUAUCUGGAGUAGAUCCUCUUGUGGCCUAGCAGAAACGUAGGCAACAUGACAAUGGCGAAGCAGAAAGGAUGAUGUGGAGAUUGAUUAAUUCUCAAUCAAAUCUCCAAGUGGGAGAAUGUAAAAAGAUUUGGCUGCAGCAUCUAGAAGCAGCAUCUAGAAGUUUUGAAGAAGCAAAAUGGGGGGCACACGACUUUGAAGUUCUAGAUACCGAAAUGCUUGAAGAGGAAAAUAUAAAAAGAAGAAGUUUGAAUAAGAAAAGGAGGAACACGGUUUUGACAAGAGAAAAAAAAUUAUUAUUUUAAUAGCCAAUUUUGGCUAUAAAAAGGGGAGUUCCCCAUCGCCUUAGUGUAUUCCAUUCUUUAAGUUUCUCUUCUCUAUUUUGUAAAGAGAGAGAAAGUGAGAGUAUUUUAAGAGUUUUAAUAAACUCUUAAGUAAUUAGUGAAUGAGAGGUUGGGUGUAUUAGGGUUCUGGGUAGUGAGCCAAAAUAUUACAAUAUUUAUAAUCCUCAUAUCACUAGUGAAAUAUUUUUCUUCUGUUUUCGCCCGUGGACGCAGGCUAAAAGCCGAACAACGUAAUUUUCUGGUGUCCCUUUUUAUGCUUGUUAUUUAUUUUCUUCCAAUUUCACUUUACCUGCGGCUCUGUUUCACCCACCAAUUUCUUAACAACUGCAACAUGGUAUUCAAAUCAAUUAAUCUGCCCCCGCAGCUCCACGUGCCGCGAGUACAUGGCUUAACUUGACAUAUAAUUGUUGUUACUUACGGCUGGUGUAACAUUGCAGGACCCUUAAUUAAAAGAUUACGGAUUAACAGUUGUUGAAUGUUGAUGUUGAAUUUCCACAUCGAUAUUGGAAUUUAAAAGAAAUGAAUUUUAUGUAGCUAUAUUGCCUGUAGGGGAAGACAUAAUAAAUUAAUUGAUAUUGCCAGCAAAUUAUUAAUUCGUAUCCAAGUACAGGGAUAGCUAUCGGAAUUAAUUAAGAUUAAUUGGUCAUCUUUCCGAAUUUUUAAUCCAUUCCCAUGUGAACCGAAAACAUGUUAAUUAAUGGAAAUCAAAUAUUUAAAAAAAUAGUAAUUAACUAAUAAUUUAUAACUGUCAAAUUAAUUAAUAGUUUAUCUACAAUUAUUUUGUUUAUUUUUAUUAUUAGCCAAUAAUUUAUAACUAUCAAAAUAAUUGUAGAUAAUCUAAUAAUUAAUUUGAUAGUUAUAAAUUAUUAGCUAAAUUAUUAUUAUUAUUAUUAUUAUUAUUAUUAUUAUUAUUAUUAUUUGAUUUCCAUUAAUUAAUAUGUUUUCGGUUCACAUGGGAAUGGAUUAAAAAUUCGGAAAGAUGAUCAAUUAAUUGGAGAGAGCAACCCUCCACAUCAACCCCUCUAUUCUCUUAUAAGCAAUUGGAACGAAACAUCUGUGAUGCUCCAAACACUACUCAUAUGUUCCAUCUGUUGUUGCUAAUUAAGACCUAGUCGAGGCUUGGUAUAUGUACAACUUUAAACUUUGUAAAUUAAUUUAAAGGUUAUAACUAUAAAAGUAAGAUAGGAGAAUAACUUAAUUAACAACAGGCGUAUCUUAAAGUAUUUUUUUAAAAUAGAAGAACAAUCUAAACGCUUAACCUGGAAUAUAGGGAUGAAAAGAAUAUUUUUCUUAUUAAUAACAAAGAUAUAUACUAAAAAAAAACACUCGUAUUAAUGAUUGGGAAAAAAUUAUUUUUGUAAAAUCACUUUUCCCAUAGAUAAAAAUAUAUAGAGAUAAAACUGAUCCGAUGUUAUCAUAUAUAUGAGUCAUUCUUAGGUGUUGAUGCCCUCAUUUUUUUGUUUUUCAUGUGGAUGUGCUAUUAAGCCAUAUGGUUUAAUAGAAUCAGCGCAAAUACACAAUUUGAGGCUUAUAGUUUUAUAGUGAAUUAAAUAUUAAUUUUAUUAAACCAUGUGACUUAAUAGCGGGUUUGCAUAAAAAAGAAGAAGAAGAGAGCGCCCACUUUAUAUAUAUAUAUAUAUAUAUAUAUAUAUAGAGAGAGAGAGAGAGAGAGAGAGAGAGAGAGAGAGAGAGAGAGAGAGAGUAUCGAUCUAAUCUUGUAUCCUAAAUUUAUCAAAAUAAAGAAAAGCUAUUAAGACAUAUGAUUUAAUAAUAUAAUAUCAUUAUACUAUUAAAAUAUAUGACUUAAUAAUUUUUAAGACUUUAACGAAAUCCAGGAUCCUAAAUUCGAAUAUAUAUAUAUAUAUAUAUAUAUGCACACAUUACAUCUGUCCGGUUUAAACACGCAUUCUGCUUAGUGCUCUUGACUAAUUGUCCUCAAUUACCUUUUUGUUUUUGGGUUGCUAAUUUUAGGGACUUACCAGGUGUAUUGGUUGAUAAAAAGAAUAAGGUUGGGCCGUAGGGUACUUAUAAUUAAUUAAAGUACCCCACACAUCCAGCAGAAUAAAGUCUCUGUACCCUAGGCUUGGCAAAAUCCGGGUCCGGUCCGGGUUUUGGUGUUGCCCAGGACCGGACCGGAUGAGAGAAAUGCAAGCCCGGACCCGGGUUAAAACCCGGUUUUUCCGGGUGCGGUCCGGGCUUGAGCCCGGUACCUUCCGGGUCCGGGUUUUGAUCCGGGCUUUUAAAACCCGCAUGUGAUAAAUUUAAUUUUUUUUUCAAUUUUUUUCUUGAAUUUUUUUUUUUCAUUUCUCUAACAAUGCAAAUUUUAAAAAAGAAAAUAAUCAAAUAAACUCAUUCAAUCUCAAACUUUAAAAAAGAAAAUAGUCAAAUACAAAUAUAUAACACAUUAACAAUGCAAAUUUUGCACAAAUGAUAAAUAAAAAUUAUUUCAAUCUACUUUCUAAAUUCUAAUACCUAAAUUCAUCCAAUUUCUAACUUAAACUCAUUCAAUCUAUAUAUAAAAUAAAUAAAUUAAAUUCAACAACACAAUAAUUACACAAUAAAUUUAAAUAACAUCCAAUAUAUUAUAAAUUCAUAAUUAUAUAUUUAUAUAUAAUAUAUUUAUUUUUUAAAAUUUAUUAAAAAACCGGGUCCGGUCCGGGUUUCGGGUUUUUUGUGUUGAACCUGGACCCGGGACCGGAAAUGUCCGGGUUUGAGAAUUUCAAACCCGGGUCCGGUUUUUAUAUGCAUGCGGUCCGGGUUUUGCCCGGACCGGAUUGGCCGGGUCCGGGCCGGGUCCGGUCCGGGCGGGCUUUUUUGACACCCCUACUGUACCCCAUUAAUUUCUUCCAACAAUUAACCUCGAUCCUAACUUAAGUCAUAAAUUAUUUACAAUUACAUUAAUUAAUGUUUUGCUAGAUGACAAGGAUAUAUUCGCGGAUUGCUAUCGACCUCUUGGGCCAAUUAAAGAGAGAUAAGUUACAAUUCAACAAUUUUGGCACUUAAUUAUCCUAUUGCCGCUGUUUCCGAUGAUACACGCUAUUUGAAAAAUAUAGACGUUAAUUCUAAUUAGUUAUGAAGAUCUUGGUUCUCGCCUGGGAGCUGCAACAAUUAGCUAACUAGGUAUAGAGUUUGUUUAAUAAUAAUAUUAAUUCAAGAAGACAGAAAGCAUAAUUAAUUAGACUAAUAUGAAAAAUACCAUGCAAUUUUAUCUUUUUCUAUGGACGAAUGGAAUUAACACAUUGACACACAAUAAUUUUAUUAAUUAAGGAAGACAAAUUACAUGGACACAAAUUAAAAAAAAAAUCCCUUGCAUAUCUCAAGAGAUCUUAGUAGUUCAAUUAACUAAACCAAAUUCGACACACUCACAAUUAACAUGCAGUAACAGUACCUAUUGUUUUAAAUAAUUAAACACAGCAUAAAAGAGUAACACUACACGCACUUAACCAGUAUAAUCAAGAUUUCUCCCAUAUUGAGGAACAACAAAAAUAUCAAGGUUGCCGUCAUUCACUUUCUCAUCAUCAUUCAAGCUUAUAAACGAAACAAUGAAGCCCUCCAACCAGACGUUACCUGAAAAUUUUCAUAUUAGAAAAUUUAUUUAUAAAGUAUAUAUUAAAAAUAAGAAUUAGAAAUGAAAUUGAGGGUUGGCCUACAACCUGCGCAGGGAGUUUCCAUAUUCUUCAAAUCAGAAAAGAUCUUGCUUGCUUCAGGUGAUGAACUGUAAUCAAAACUCAAAAGUAAGUUGCUUUUGCUUCCUGUUCGACAUAAUACACAUAUAUAUAGAAUGAAGGUGGGAUGAUCGCAGCGUCGUUAAUGCAUGCAGUGCAUAUAAUGGAUCAACGGCUGACGUUUCCUAAGUGCUGAUCAAUAGCUGAAAAUUUAAUUAAAAGAUGAGGGGAUCACAGCUGUUAAAUGUUAACGUUGAAUUUCCCACAUCGGUCGGAUCUCUGACAGAAAGAUUGAGUUUGAUUAAAAUAUCCCGAUGCGGGGAUCAAGUUUGUAUCAAUUAAUAAUAAAAAUAAAUAAAAUAAGGAUAGAGUUGUUCACCCUCUAAAUUUCAUUCUGGACAAUCUAAUUUUUAACAAAGAGUGAAGCCAUUGGCACUCUUCAUUAUCCUUAUAAAACCCACUUUAAAUAAAAUUACAUUUAUGGGCAAAUAAGAAUUGAGUACAUAUAGAAUUUUUUUCCAACAAAUUACUUUGUUUCGUAAUUAAUCCCUUUUUUUUAAUUUUCUACUUGUUACUUCCUGUCUAACUAAAAUAAAUUGUACAAAUUUAGAAUAAUCUAUUAUUCUUUUCAUAGUGUUCUUGUUGAUUAAAUAUUUAUGUACUUAACACUGUUUCAAAUUAUAAUUUAAAAUAUGCGUAAUUUAAAUUACAGUACUGAAGUGUUUAUGAAACGCUAACUGUACUGACUUGAAAGUUAAGUUAACUUGAUCAAUUUCUUAUAUGAUGAAAAAUCUAUAAUAUCAAACUUAUAAGUUUGUCAAGAUUAUUAUUUAAAAGUCACAUACUACAAAAAAAAAAUUAUAGUUACAUCUUUUUUUUUUCAGAGCUUGUAACUUAAAAAGUUGCAGCAUCUUAAUACCAAACAUGGUUCAUCGAUUUAGAUUGGGUUGGAACUAUUUAGAGAGGAAAACGGAUCUAAUUUUUGGGGAGAGGAAGUGUUUUACAAAAGUGUAAAAAAGAAAAUUAGGCGAUACAGAGAGAAAAACCCAUAACCGGCCGGACUACCGCACUGCAACCUGCUAUUCAAGUCAAUUAAUCUGCCCCCGCAGCUCCACGUGCCGCGAGUAUAAUUGCUGUUACUUACGGCUGGUGUAACAUCGCAGGACCCUUAAUUAAAAGAUUACGGAUUAACAGCUAUUGAAUGUUGGGCAGCGCCUAUGUUACAUUUGUUGCAACAAACAUUCCGAUGAUAUGGACUGUUGGAUUUGUAAUUUUUCAAAUCCAACGGAUGUCAAGAAAUUUAACACAGAAUGAGGUACACGUGCAAUGGUCAAACGAUUAUUAUAAAGUAAAUAUGGGCAACCUCCCGAAACGGUUCUGGAAAAUUGCUGUUAACGGGGUAAUGGGUAAUGAAAUUGAUAGAGGGAGAAGGAAAGUGAUGAGCGCAUAUUUUGGGUAUGAAAAAUAGGAGAGGGAAAAAUGAGGAGUAAUUAGGGUUUGAAAGAAGGGAAAAUAACAGUAGCACCAAACGAUAUUAUAAGCUUCCGCUUUCAAUUUUGCAAGUUCACUUAAAUUGGAAACCUAACAAAUUGCUGCUCACUAAAACCGAAGCUAGAGCCACCCGAAUAUCACGGAAUAUGGUAAAAUUUGAAACCUCAUCUUCGCAAGUUGUCUUGAUUAAAUAAUUCCACACACAUGAUUCAUUGCUAUGACUGGUUCCUUAUUAUUUUAAUGCCUUUAUUUGAAAAAAUUCCUAAAAUCAACCCUAACAAAAGCCGGAGUGAAGCGUAUGGUUUAAGGCUGUAAUCGAAAGUUGGAGUGAAGCGUAUGAUUUAAGGUUAAAGAAACAAAUUGACAAUUUUCAAAAACCUUCAUAGUUUCUCAAAUUGCAUCUCCUCCUCAUUUUAAUAAUCAGUAGUAACAUACAGACCUAGAAAUGAUCUCUUGUUUUUUUCAGCCUUUAACUAAUAAAUUCCAAUAUAAAACUAUGAAUAUUUCGUUGAUAAUGUUAGAGAAGGGAGAUGUUUCUUCCUUCAAUAAACGGAGCAAGAGAAAAUGGAUUCCAGAAGUUUGACAGCCACAUUUCAAUCGGGAUGGAAAAAAAUUAAAUUUUGUUUUUGAAAUUUUCAUGAUAUGCCGCUAAUAUUCAACCGGCUAUUCUAAGGAAUGAGUCCUUGACUUUUACUUUUAACACUUUUUGCAACUGGUUCCAAUCGGUUCCAACAUGUUUUUAAUAUUGCUUUUUAUCGCCACGUGUUGCUCGUACGUUGGUCAAUUGAUCACGUCGUUAUUGUUACUUACACAAACUGUAACAUAAGCUUACCCUGAAUGUUGAUGUUGAAUUUCCACAUCGAUAUUGGAAUUUAAAAGAAAUGAAUUUUAUGUUGCUAUAUUGCCUGUAGGGGAAGACAGAAUAAAUUAAUUGAUAUUGCCAGCAAAUUAUUAAUUCGUCUCCAAGUACAGGGCUAGCUAUCGGAAUUAAUUAAGAUUAAUUGGUCAUCUUUCCGAAUUUUUAAUCCAUUCCCAUGUGAACCGAAAACAUUUUAAUUAAUGGAAAUCAAAUAUUAAAAAAAUAAUAGUAAUAACUUAACUAAUAAUUUAUAACUGUCAAAUUAAUUAAUAGUUUAUCUGCAAUUAUUUUGUUUAUUUUUAUUAUUAGCCAAUAAUUUAUAACUAUCAAAAUAAUUGUAGAUAAACUAAUAAUUAAUUUGAUAGUUAUAAAUUAUUAGCUAAGUUAUUAUUAUAUUUUUUUAAUAUUUGAUUUCCAUUAAUUAAUAUGUUUUCGGUUCACAUGGGAAUGGAUUAAAAAUUCGGAAAGAUGAUCAAUUAAUUGGAGCGAGAAACCCUCCACAUCAACCCCUCUAUUCUCUUAUAAGCAAUUGGAACGAAACAUCUGUGAUGCCCCAAACGCUAGUCAUAUGUUCCAUCUGUUGUUGCUAAUUAAGACCUAGUCGAGGCUUGAUAUAUGUACAACUUUAAACUUUGUAAAUUAAUUUAAAGUUUAUAACUAUAAAAGUUUAGAAAAAGUAAGGAUAGUAGGGUAACUUAAUUAAGGGAAAAUAUCCACCGUCCACCCGUUUUUUCCAACUUUUUCAAAAAUACACAAUUCCUUCUUUUUUUUAUUGGAAUCCACCUAAAGUUACAUUUUGUUUCACUUUUCCACUUCUGUUUGGAAUCCGUUAAGAAAACAAACGGAAACUUUAAAAAAUGACCAUUUUACCUCCCAAAACGAAAAUUACAAUUUCACCUUAAAAAUUACAAAAAAUAAUCAGAUCAAAUCUAAUUAUUUUCUCCAUCGGUCAAUAAAGAAAUUAAUUCCACAACCAUCAAAUGCAGGGUUUUUUUUUUAAUAUGUCUAUAAUUAGAAUACUAAAUUAUAACAGUAGUAUUAAAAAUUGUCAAAUCUCGCAAACCAUCAAUUGAAUUUAAGAUAAGUAGAGUUUUAUUAUUCAUUGAGUAGUUAAGAUUUUUUUGUACUUCAUUAACAUACCAAUAAUGAUAUUCAUCAUUAAAUCUGAUUAUUUUUUACAUUUUUUAGGUGAAAUUGUAAUUUUCAUUUUGGGGGUAAAAUGGUCAUUUUUUUAAGUUUCCGUUAGUUUUCUUAACGAAUUCCAAACGGAAGUGGAAAAGUGAAAUAAAAUGUAACUUUAGGUGGAUUCCAGCCCAAAAAAAAAAAUAAUUAUGUAUUUUUGAAAAAGUUGGAAAAAAAAGGAUGGACGGUGGAUAUUUUCUCCUUAAUUAACAACAGGAGUAUUUUAAAGUAUUUUUAAAAUAUAAGAACAAUCCAACCGCUUAACAUGAAAUAAAGGGAUGAAACAAAUAUUUUUCUUAUUAAUAAAAAGAAUAUGUAAUAAAAAAAAAGCUCGUCUUAAUGAUUAGGAAAAAAAAUAUUUUUGAUAUAAUGAAAUAGGUCUAAUCGAUUGUAAAAUAUAAAAAUAUUUUUUUAAAUAUUGAAAUUAUUUUAAAAUGCAUAUAUUAUUACAUUUAUUUUAAUGCUAUAUUUUUAUUUAUUAUAAAAUUUUAGGGUCAAUUUUUUGGGUUAAUAGAGUCAAAUGAUAUUAUGGUAAAAAAAGGAGUCUUGGUGUCUCCUAUUAAAAACUCGAUGUCUUUGUGACAAUUUCUCCAAACCUUGAGGGUGUAAGUGUGCUUGGAAAAUUUAAGAUUGAAUCCAUUUGAAGUAAACUGAAGUUUACCCUUAAUGUAAAUAUAAAUAAUUUAUGACUUAUUACUAGUUUGGUAAGACUUAUCUAAGAAUGGCCUGUUUAAACCCUAAAAAAUGUUCAUUAGAUCUGGUUUUAAAUUAAAAUUUUAUUACUAAAACGUCCCUAACAUAAAUUAAUAUUAUAGCCUAAACAGUACAAUUGAACAGAAAAAAAAAAAUGCUCCAUGCUACUCCAUCUUUAACCCAUAUCUUUUUUUAAUGAAUUAGGGAAAGCAAAGCUACACCACCCAUAAUUUGGUUAAAUGGUCAUGUAGACAUCUAAAUUUUCAACAAUAGACAUCAAAAACCCUUCUUAAAAUGUUUUAAGACACCACAUUUCACUUUGGCUUUUUUUUUUUUUUUUUUGGGAUAAGCUAACCGAGUUUGCCAAUAAUGUAAAAAAACCAAAUAAAUAAAAUGCCUUUGACUGAUAUGUUAUUAUAUAUAUAAAAUGGAUGCGUUUUAUUUUUCAUUUUCAGGUUAAUUAAAAUGUUUUAAAUUAAAUUAAAAACUCUGGAAAAACAGUCAAUAUAUCGUUCCAUGUAUAGAAGCAAGUGAUGACAUGAUAUGGGCAUAACUGUAAAUUUAGUAUUUGACAUCCAAAUAAACCUCAAAAAUAGCAAGAGGGAGUCUUGGUAUCCAUUGUUAAAAUGUUGACAACAAUACCAUUUGUCUCAACUAACUAAAAAAAAAUUGAUUCCAAUGUUUUAUAAUAAAUAGAAAUAAAAAAUAAAUUAAAUGCAAUAAUAGAUAUAGUUUAAAAUAAUUUCAUUAUUUUAAAAACUAUUUUAAUACUUUACAACCUUAUAUUAUAUUAAGCUAAAUUUUAUAAUAAAUGGAACAUAACGUUAAAGUAAAUAUAUAAAAUUUUAAAUUAUUUUUCAAUAUGAUAUAGAAUAAUUUUAAUAUUAUUAAUAGACUAUAUAUAUUUUAUAUUAAUUGUAAAAUCUAUUUAACCCAAAGAUUUUAUUAAAUUUUUUUAUAAUAAAUACAUAUAUAUUAUUAAAAUAAAUAUAAUAAUUUACAUUUAGAAAUUAUUUUAUAUAUUAAAAAUUUUCUAAUAUCAAAUUAAAUUAUUUAAAUUAUAUUUUUAUUUAUAAAAAAAAAUUAAAGAUAACAUUUUAGUUACUAUUUACAAAAAGUAUUAUAGCCAAAAGGGGGUUUUAACAUUCCUUAUUAAAAAUCUAGGGUUCUACAUGACUAUUUUGCAAACCUUGGCGUAUAGGUAUCCUUUUCCAAAAAAAAAAAAAAUUACUUAUUUAUAUUGCCUGUUGGGAAAUACAGAAUAAAUUAAUUGAUAUUGCCAGCAAAUUGUUGAUUCAUAUCCAAGUGAACGGACAGCUGUUGAAAUUAAUUAGGGUUUAAUUUAGAAAUUUUUAGGCAACCAUAUUCCCAGACGGAAUCGGAAUCUCAAAUCUUUUUUUUUUUUGCAGAGAAAUCUGAUCGAUGUAGGAAAUUCAACGUCAACAUUUAACAACUGCGAGUUUCUUUAAUAUGCAUCUCUAUCACACCAGAACCAAGAACACACACAACUGGUAGCUACUAAAAUAAUAUGGAAGAAUAUGGAAGCUACUUUUGUAAACUUUUAAGAAGCAAUAUAAAAAUUAACAUAAUGAAAACAAAUUUCAUUCAUUCUCCAGCACAAAUGUUCAUUUAUAUAAGUAUUUAAAACAUGAAAAUAGAGGUGAUACAAUUAAAAAAUUUAGAGAUAAUGAUUGAUUAACAAAAAUUGAGUUAAUUGAUAAUUCUUAAUCAAUAACUAAGAUAGAAACAAUCAAUCAUUUGAUUGAUUGUUUUGUUUCUAUUAAUAUUGUUGAUCCUUAUCAUUCUCCCUCAAGUUGGAGAGAAUUUUUUUGAACUUCUAGCUUGUCUUUAAAAAUCAUAUUUCCUGAUUUUUAUUUAUAGUCUCAACCAAGUGUCAUGCAACAAAUAGGGAGUAUUCCUCUAAAACUUGUCUAGGAAAUCUUUUUGUUAUUUUCAUGUACGCUUUUUUUAGACUAAGAAAAAUCAUAAGUAAUAAAUUAUUUUUAUUAAGGAAUUCUUUCAAUAUGAAAGUCGUUCCUUCAAUUAUUUUUAAGGAAAUCUUCACUCAAUGAUUUUAUCUUCACUCCUUUGAUAUUGUCAUGGAAUUCUUUCAUUUAGAAAGUCAUUUCACUGAUCUGGUCAAGGAAAACAUCAAUUUUCAGGAUUUCUUUUCAUUCCCCUUUUCUUUUGAGGUCAUUUCCUUUGUGAUGGUAGAAGUGUGGUGGUUAAUGACGCAGUUGAACAACUUCUUCUUCUUCUUCUUCUUCUUCUUUUUCUACGAAAUUGAAGAACAAUAAAAAAGGAACUCACAUCUCUCCUUUAGACCACCAUGCUCUAGAAACAUAUCAUCGACACGGUGGCUAAGCAUAAACCCACAAAUUUAAGGACUUUCAAACUUGUCUAAUACCAUGAAAAUUUUUAGAAAUAAAUUAAGAAGAUAAAUCUCACUCUUACUCAUAUAUGAGCACAAAAACUCAAUUCAUACAAUACUUGAAACAUGAAAAUGAAAAUGAUACAAUUAACAUAAUUUGAAAUAACGAUUGAUUAAUACUGAUAGAGUCAAUUAAAAUUUAUUUCGAUUUAUAAUCAAUCUUUCUAAAUCAAUAAUAUAGAGACAACCAAUCAUUUGAUUUAUUUCCAUUACUAUUCUUUGAUUUUUAUCAGCUUUUCAUGUACUUCAAGUUAGGACAAUUUCAUGUGAAUUCUAUUUCUAGUUUUUAUAUUAAUAAUAUGUCAUCUUUUAAUUAAUUUUCUAUAAUAAUUUUUUUAGGUAAGACUGAAUGGUUUGAGACGCUUAUUACAAAGAAGGGUGCUUUUUUUAGCCAAUGCUGGAUAUAAACUAACGACGUAGCGUUUGCCAACCUCAAUCUUCUUGUAGUCUCUCAAUAUAUGAAAAACCCUAAUGAGGCUGGUUAAUUGAAUUAUAAAAUUGAUUUGUUUUCAUUUGAGUAAAUGUUAUACUUCUGAAAGUUUGUAUUUCAGAUACAAGUUAACAUUUGAUAAGAAUCAAACAAUAUUGAUAAAAAUAAAAUAAUUAUUUAUUUGAUUCAUUGUCUUCAUUUUAAUUAUUGAAUAAGAAAGAUUGAUUGUGAAUUAAUAUAAAGAUUGAUUGACUCAAUAUUUGCUAAAUAUGAAUCAUUAUUCCUAAAUUAUGUUAAUUGUAUCAUUUCUUUUUAUAUUUCAAAUACUUAUAUAAACUGAGGAGUCGUGCUCAUUAAUUUUGUGCUCAUUAAUUUAUAAGAGAGAAAUUUAUCUUCUUUAUAUUAUUUUUGAAACAUUUUCAACAUUGCAUCACCUUAAAAUGCCCUUUCAAAUUACUUGUCAAUAUGUGUUAGGAAAUUUAACUGGAGAAAAUAAAAAUAAGUUAUGAAGGUCAAAGGGGAGCAAAUAAAGCAGGAGAAAACAAAGAAGCUUAGCAAAGUAAAAACUGGAAACCAAGAAGCAAAAAUAAAGAUUUUGAGUAAUCUAUAAUUUCGGAAGGCCCCACCAUAACUACCACUGAAAAUAGCCUCAUGAAUUGAAGAAGGGGAACAUCGAACUUAGCAGCCAUAUUAUCUUAAUUUAUCAAAGAUAUAUGAACAAGUAUUAAAACGAAAUCAUAUCAGAGAUAAUUGCUUUACGAUUCAACAACUUAUUCUUAAUAUGAGAACAAGUAAAACAAGAACAACCUAAAUUGAGCAAGUAAGAAAUAGUUCCAGCCCAUGGAUAUUAAGUUCUAAAGAAAAUUAAAUUCUUAUAUAUUUUGUCUAACUAAACAAUGGAAAUAAAGAUUGAAUUUAAAUUAUUUUCCUCUCCUUCAAUCUCUCCUCCCAUCCAAACACCACGUAAAUGUUAGAUAUUUCAACUUACAAUCCACAUAUGUCAUGAUGUGUGCGUGUUGGAAUGGUCUAGUAACAUUCAUCAGAUAAUCAUAUGAAAUAAAAUGGAUGAAUAAAAGCUAUUAGAGAGAAGGACUUACAAAUUUAAUUUUUUUGAAGAGAAAAGAACAAAAAUAGCUUUUAUUAAAAAAAUACAAAAUAGAGAAAAUGAUGCAUUUCUUUUGUUCUCUUAAUUUGCCAUCUUUAAAAAACUCUGUUUAGCUAGAAAAAUAAUAAUUUUUUUAAAGUAAAACAAACAUAAUAUUUUUUUUAAAACAAGCAAACACACAAAAGCAUGUUAUAUGAGCUAUCCCCUCCCGUUAACCAGAUCGAGGCAUUGUCCUCAAUGUCUAAAGAAAAAGAGAUAAAGUUUACAUGGCUGCACCUGAUAAUGUGAAAGGAACAUCAUCAAAAGACCAUAGUAAUGAUUUAUAUCCAAUGGCCUAAUAGGUUGUUGGUGGAUGUUCAGUUGUGCCCAUGAUGCAAUUGUGAAAAUUUCUUCUAAGAUGCCUAGUCCACUUGGUAAAGCAAUAAAAGCAUCAACAUGUUCAAUCUUUACAAUGAGAUAUUCAUAUAUACAUAUAACAAUGAGCUCUUCUCCAUUUGUUUUCACGAUGAUAUUUCCUCUAGUUUAAGGUUUUUGGGACUAUACACAAAACUUGACUUCCUUUAGUGUUUGCAGUUAGCGAGAUGGUGUGUGAAAUCUCUAAUGUUAUGGGUGUCAAUGUGUAAGUGUACACGAUAAGUAAUAUACUGAUGAGCAUUCAAAUUGUCUCAACAGGGAUUGAUGUUAUCAAAUUUGCUACAGUAAUCUUAACACUGUAGUUUUGUUUUAAAUGAAAAUAAAGCAACUAAUGAAACUAACAAACAAAUCAAAGUAAAAAUGCAGUAAAUAAAAUAAAAUAAAGGAAAUUCUCAUGUCAAAUAUAAGGAUGUAACUAAUGGGAAUUGAGUAGUUGAGUGCAUAAACUCACUUAAUAGCAUUAACUAUUUUUUCAAUUAUAGUACCAUUGGUACAACAUCUACUACAGCGCUGGGCAGAAUCCCUCAUGCAUCCUCAGUUGUCGCAUGUUUGAUAUCUUAUAUCUAAUGCAACCUAACAGUGACCAAUUGUUACGCCAAUAUUAAAUAUACCAUUAAACGAUCUAGGUUCUGUUUACCCUACAAGAUGAAUACAUAUAUCUAAUUCAUCACAAAUUUUAGAUCAAGCAUGACCCUAUUCAAAUUGAGAUUAACUCAACUUGAAAAACUCAAUCUAAAACCAAGUAUUAUCUUAAUGAGAUCUAUUGAAUCAGACCUUUUUUAGGCUCUUUCUUAGCUAGUAUCCUUAAAUGGGUGGUCAGCCGAAAUAGAGAAUAAAAUAAAUGCAAAUAAGACAAAAUGUUAUAGCAAACACAGAGCAACAUGCGUAUAUUAGUCAAACAUCCAUUAAGUUCAUUUAUUACUCAACUACAAUCAAAUUCAGUUCAUGAUUUGCGAUAGAAAAAUUAACAAAAGAGUUUCAGCCAUCAAAUAGAUCUCCAUGAAUAAAUAGAAAACAAGAAAAUAAGAAGAAUGGCUGAUUUCUAUUUUAUUUCUGCAGUUUCUCCUCUGUCGACCUUCAAUCUCUCUCUUGAAUUUUGUUUUCUUGUUGUUUCUUUACGAUUUUUUCUUCUUGGGUGAUGGCUUUCCCUUUUUUUCUCUGUGUGUGUGCUCAUUUUAUAGCUUAAAAUUAAGGAAACCAUAAGUCUAGAGCGCACAUAUUCUAGUUUUGGAAAUUCCAUAUCGCAAUCUUCUAAGUAUCUCGCGCGAAAUCUUCUCUAUCAAUGCUUCAGGAUUGCUACAGCAAUGGUUACUACAUGUUACUUAAAAUUUAAGCUUCCGAACACUUACAAUUAUGCAUAUGAUCUAAGCACAAAUUAAUCUAAAACAAACUAAAUUUAUUAAAAAUAAACAAAAAUUGAUGUUCAUACAAAAUAUAACUAAAAUGCUAUAAAAAUAUGUCAUUUACUCUCUAAAUAAUUUUGAUUUAAGUCUAAAAGUACUAUGAUAACUCCAUUUCAUAGAGUUAUCACGAGACAACCCUUAUUAAUGUAAAAUCACCAUCUCCACAUAUUAAAUGUAUUUUUCUCAUAGACAAUAUCCCCUCGAGGUCUUUGACAGCCUCAACGAAAUUUAGAGUAUGUCCAAAAGUUGAUCCAAAGAAUACAAAAAUAUUUUUAAGUUGUCGAAAUGGAAUUACUGGCAUUAUGAUUUUCUUUCUGUUAAAAAUUAUAUAUGUAUUUACAAAUCCAGGAAAGACAAUCCAUUAAUGAUAAUAAAUUCGGAGGUUGGCAAUUGUUAAACAGAGUGUCAAAAAUAGUUAAAAUGAUAAUCAGUUAAAUGCUAUAGGAAAUUUCAAAUAAAUAAGUCAAUAAAGUUAGAGCAAAGUAAUAAUAGAAAAUGAAAAUGAUAUGUACUAAUAGUUGUGAUUGUGGCUCACGACUUCUUUUAGUUUUACAUCUAGUAAUGGCUUGAAUGCUUUCUAUGGAUCGGGGAUAGGAUUCCCAACCAAUUUUCUUAUAAAUUAGUGUUGGGUUAUUUCUAUUACUAUGGGUGUUAAUGUACAAGUGUACACAAUAAGUAAUGUAUCAAUGUACAAGCCAGUUAGCCACACCAGCAUUCACCUCAGCAGCUGCAUUUUGAACAAUAGCCGCAUUCUCAACAGCAGGCAUCGUUUUAGUGGUAGGUUCUGAUCGUACUGGUAGCAUGUACACAACAAGUAAUGUAUCAAUGUACAAGUCUACACAACAAGUAAUAUACUGAUAAGUAUUCAGAUCGUCUCCACAAGGAUUGAUGUUAUCAGAUUUGCUACAACAAUCUUAACAGUGCAGUUUAAUUCUAAAUUAAAAUAUGACAAUUUAUGAAACUAAUAAACUAAUUAAAAAUACAAUAAAGAAAAUUUUCACGUCAAACACAAGGAUGUAACUAAUGGGAAUAGAGUAGUUGAGUGAUUAAACUCACUUAAUAGUGUUGAUUGCUCCUCUAAUUAAAACCCUAUUGCUACAACAUCUAUUACAGCACUGAGCAAAAUCCCUUAUGCAUCCUUAGAUGUCGUAUGUUGGAUAUCUUAUAUCUAAAUGCAACAUAACAGUGAUCAAUUGUUAUGCUAACAUUAGAUAUAACAUUAAAUGUUCUAGGUUUCAUUUACCCUACAAGGUCAAUCCCCACGUCCAGUUCUUCACUAAUUUUAUAUUAAGCAUUACCCUAUGCAAAUUGAGAUUCACUCAACUUGGGAAACCCAAUCUAAAACCCAGUAUUGUUUGAAUUUGUUCCACUAAGUUGGCCAUUUUCAAGGCUCUUUAUUAGCUAGUAUCCAUUAAAUGUGUGAUCAGCCAAAAUAGAGAAUUGAAAUAAAUACAAUUGAGACAAAAUGCUAUAACAAAUACAGAGCAAUACGCAUAUGUCAGUCAAACAGAUCGUUUAUCACUCAACCACAACAAAUUCAAUUCGUGAUUUGCGAUAGAACAGUAAAUAAAAUUGUUUCAGCCAUCAAAUACAUCCCCAUAAUUAAAUAGACAACAAGAAGAUAAGAAGAAGAACUGAAGUAUGCUCGAUCUUAGUGAUAUCUUCUUUAUUUCCUCUUUGAAUCUUCUGUUACAUCCUUCAAUUUACCUCUUAAUGUUUUGUUUUCUUAUUGUUUCUUUUCGGUAUUCCCCUUAGGUGAUGGUUCUUUACUUUUUCUUUCCUUUUCAUGUGUGCUCAUUUUAUAACUUAGAAUUAAGGCAACUGAAAGUGUGUGACGCGUAUCCUUCAUUUUUAGAAACUUUAUAUCGCAAUAUUUUAGUUAUUGCGCACAAAAUUCAGUCUGUCAUUGCUCCAGGAUUGCUACAGCAACUGCUAUAGCAUCUUCAGUGUUCCAGACUUAUUUCAAUUCCUCUGCAGUCAAGAUAUUUUGUCACUUUUGCAAGUCUGUUGCAGCAACAUUUCAUCCCUAAAACUUGAGCUUUUCGGUCACCUACAAUUAUGCACAUAAUAUAAGCACAAAAUAAUCUAAAAAAACUCAAUUUAUUAAAAAUAAAUUAAAAUGGAUGCUUAUGCCAAAUGUAACUAAUAUGCCAUAAAAAUACAUCAUUUAUUUUCUAAGUAAUAUUGAUUUAAGUCUAAAAGUAUCAUGAUAACUUUCAGUUCAUAAAGUUAUCAAUUAGCAAAUUGAGUAAUUUGAAAUUGGCUUCCCAAGACUAAAUUGUUUACCUUCUUUUAGGAAUUAUCUCUAUAAAUUGUGAAUCUCGCAUUGCACAUAGUCACUUGGAUGCAUCUUAAGAGAUCGCAAGAUAUCAUCUAAUGCUUGUUUACAUGGACCAUCCUUAAUGAAUUUAAUUUUAUCUUUACGAUUUUAAAAACCAUUCCUAAAGUUGUACAAUACGCUUCACAAGAAAGUCUUUCACAUUUAUGAUAUUUAGAGCCAAUUCGUUUAGCUCUUCUUUUUUUAGCAAAUGAUAUCAUAUAAGUCCAAUGAACCAAUUAACACAUACAAUGCAUUCUUCUUUUCACCUUUCAUCACAAUAGAACCCUCCUUAGUCACUUUUAUGCCAUCAUUAUCUAACUUAAAUGAAUAUCUAGAGUUGUCCAACAUGCCUAAAGAGAUCAAAUUUCCCUUUAACUCAGGAGCAUGUCUAAGCCUAUGUAAAGUUUUGAUGAUCCCAUUAAAUAUUUUAAUCUUGAAAAACCUUAUUCCAACAAUUUAACACUUAUUGGUGUUUCCCACAAAAACUCUACCACCAUCAAUAAACUCAUAUUGAUGAAAAAGUGACUUAUUAGGCAUAUGUGAAAAGAACAACUCAAGUUUAAUACCCACUGACCUUCUAAGUUGCCUUUUGAGGUUAUAAAUAGAUCUGCACUAUAAUAACCAUCAUCAAAGGAGAUAUUUAAAGCCACAGCCACACCUCCUAACCUUUAUUGACUUUCAUUCUUCUUUUUCUUUGCACUCUCUCUGAUGUAAUGCAUUUGUUUCCUACAAAAAAAGCAUUUCCUCUUGUUUUUCUUUUUUUUGCAUUCUCUUGGUUCUUUCCUUACCCCUUUCUUUGAUUCUUGUUCUACUGUUCCUUCUUCUUUCGAUUCUGGCAAUUAGCCAUUCACCAUUACUUACUUCAUGGCCAUCAUGCUUUUCAAUCUCUUUUGAGCUUAGUGAUGUCGUGACAUCUUCCAAAGUCAAGGUUUUCUUCUAUACAACAUUGUAUCCACAAAACCUUCAUAUGAUUGUGGCAAUGAACUUAAAAAGAAAAUGAUUUUGCCUUCAUCUCUAAUCUUCACAUUUUCAACCUCUUCAAGAUCAAGAAUGAUCUUGUUGAAAGUGUCAAUGUGUUCUUAAAUAGACACCCCUUAUAUCAUUGAAAAAGUGUACAACUAUUUCUUCAAGAACAACUUGUGAGCCAAAGAUUUCUUCAUACAAAGGCCUCCACCUUAUUCUAUAUCCUAAGGUAUGUUUUUGUUUAGAGAUUUCCCUCAAGAUUGAGUCACUAAGACUCAAAAUUAGGGUUUUGAAGGCUCUAUUUUAAAUAUGUUUCUUCUUUUCAUCAGGUUUAAAGCUUGUUUCCUUAUCAAAAUCUUCUUCUUCUAAGACGGAUUCAAGGCCCUGAUGCACAAGUAGAGCCCUCAUCUUCAUCUUCCAAAGUGAGAAAUCACCACUCAGCUUCGUAAUUUCUGGUUUUAAAAGUGACAUGGUCAAGGUUCACAAAGUCUCUGAUACCAAUUAUUGUAAUUAAUGGUUAACAAUCAAGAACUCAACCAAUCUUUCGAGCUUUAAUCAAACAAGAUUAAUUCAAAUCAAGAUUGAAGAAAAACAUGGCAAGAACAAAGAAAUAGAACUCAAUCACAAAGAACAAGCUUCUCUGUUUGAAGGGAAAAACUGGCACACUUUUACUAAUCAAGCUUAUCAUAAAUUGAUCAGACAUUACAAAAGAGGUUGCAAGCUUUAGAAAUAAACAAAAAGCACAUAAUUUGGUUAAGAAACAAGAGAGAAAAGGUUCACACAUUAGAGGUUGUGCACUAGCCUAUUUAUUUUGGAAAUUUUCAAAAACCAUCUAACAACCUUUAACGAACUAUAGCCAUGUCAGUAAAAAUUUACAAAAUGACCCUAAGCUAAAGUCGAUCUGUACAAUGGCCCAACAAAUCUCCUUCAUUUUACUUCAAUCCUAAAAAACAGAAUAUAUAUCUUCACAUUUAUAAUGGUUGGCUUAAAAGAAAAUAUAGAGAUUGUAUAUAAAAUAAAAAACUACUAAACUGUAAAAAUGAAAAAUAGGCAGACUCAAAAAAUAAUAAUAAUAAUAGGUUCAAAAACUCGCUUCAAACUUAUUAUGACAUAUACAUUCGUUCAAAUAACUUAAUCAAUUUCACUCAUCAAAUCUCUCAAUUCAUAGUUGUCACUAACAUCAUCAUGCAAAGUUGCUAACGUGGUGUAGCAAAACUCAAAACCAAAGAUAAUAUAAGUCAUCAUGUCAUCCAAUGUCAAAUGAUCAUACAAGAUGCCUAGAAAACUUUAAUAAUCUUUUUAAUGCCAAUAGUAAGAGAAAUAAGUAGGAGAGAUUGCACUUAAAUUGGCGAUCGCUCUUAAAUUGAUCGCAAAAUAUUCUACAAAAAAAUCUAAAGAAAACGUUAAAAUAAAUAUAAAGAAUAAAAUACAAAAAGCAAAAUAUUAGAGUUUUUUAUCUAUAAAAGGAUAAUGGUAGUGAUACUCUUUAAUGUCAUACAACUUAGGCCACAUCUGUCUUAAGCUUAUCUGAAAGUUAUCUAAAAUACUAUAAAAUGAUAACAAUUUGAGCACUUCAGAUCUUACUACUUUAUUCAUGUCAAAAUGUGACUUAUCUUGUGCUGCUUUAGGAAGUAGCUCUAGUUUGAAUGGUUUUUCUUCAAGAGGAAAUAGCUUAAUCUUUUCUUUCCACUUAGUUAAAACCAUGAUACGGCAAAUAAAGUAAAAUAUUAACUUCUAGGAAAAUUAUCAUUCGUAUACUUUAAAUUUGUACUUUUAUCAAAAAUACUACAAUAUUUUAAGGGUGUAAAGGGUGUAUCAAUCGUCCACCUUAAAUUGACAAACGUUAUCUACCGACCACUAAACCUCUAGCUGCCGUUUGAAAGUUAAUGGAAUUAUAGUGAAUUGACGAUUUUACCCUUGAAAAUUAUCACUUGUAUACUCUUAAAAUCUCUUAUUAUCAUUUAGAUACCCUUAAAUUAUCACUUGUAUCAUAUGAAAAUACCAGACUACCCCUCUAAUGUCAUCAUAUUUAAACAACAACUAACGGUUUGGUGGACGGUAGAUAUAUUUUGUCAACUUAGGGUGGACGAUUGAUAUACCCUAAAAGUGUUGUAGUAAAUUUGAUAAAAGAGUAAACUAAGGGUAUACGAUUGAUAAUUUCCCUAACUUCUAAAAUAGCACUAUCAACAUCAAAAGAUAAAACAAAGUGUAUUAAGUAUGUCUUUAGAAGAUCAUCAUAAUGGUUAGAAAUGAAUCAAUCAUUAACUUGUGCUUCUAUCAUAUCUACUUCAACACUUCAUCAUCUUCUUGUGCCUGCUUGAGAACAUUAAAAAUAUUCAAUUUCAUACCCGUGUUACCGACAGACAAUUGUAUGUUUCAAGUCCUACAACUAAUAUAAUCAUCUACUAUCGCCCAAAAAGGACAACUUAAAAUAACAAGAGUGUGUUUUGUAUGAUUCUGCACAGGUUGAGUAUCAAUAACAAUAAAAUCAAUAGAAGAAUAAAAUUUAUCAAUCUGCAUGAACACAUCCUCUAUAAUACCACAAGAUAUUUUUAUUGACCUAUCAGUAAGUUGUAAAAUAAUAGAAAUUGAAUGUAAUUGACCUAGCCCAAGUUGCUUAUAAACAUAAUAAGGCAAAAUAUUAACACUAACUCGUAGAUUCAACAAAGCUUUAUCAAACAAUUAGAUCCCUAUAACAUUUGAGAUAGUAAAAGAACCUAAAUCCUUAAAUUUUGGUUGCAUUUUAUAUUGAAAUAAAUUGCUAGUUUGUUCAAUUAGAAAUGCCUUCUUAAUAACAUGCAAAUUUCUCUUUCUAGUCUUCAAAAACUCGGCAUAUGAGGAACGUUGCUUGAUAGCGUCAUGUAAAGCAACCUUUAUAUUUACCUACUUGAAGAUUUUCAUGAUUUCACCUGUUGAAGUCUCUAAUUAUCAAUUAAUUCUUAAUUUUUAAAUGACAACUCAAAAUCAAUUUAUGUCUACUUAUGAAUAUAAAAAUUAAGUCCAAUUAAAAUUAAUUUUAUAUAGAUUCAUUUUUGCUUAAUAGUAUGAUAUCUAAGCAUCCCACAUAAACAUAUCGAAGAAUAAAGAGUCAAAAGUUUUCCUAAGCACUUUUUGUAAACAAUUUGAGGAAAGACAUAGAAUCCAAGAUAAUCACAUAUAAACUUUAUAGAUCCGAGCAUAAGUUUACUCAAACAUUAAUCCUAACAAUCAAUAAUGCUUGACAGAAUUGAUGAAAAGUUUUAAUAAUAUUCAACCAAACAUGUGAAACAAGAACCACAGACAUUAAAGCACAUAAGUAAAGAAUUAAUUGCAUAAAAAUAAUUAAUUUCAUUGACUAGGGCUUCAUCCUUAGUUACACAUAAUUGACUUGUGAAUAAAAAAGUAAAUAAAACCAGUUAUGGAAAAUAUAUCCAAGCCACUGCAACUGCUUUCAUCUCUACUCGGCGGCUGCAACUCUUUCUUUCUCUACCGUCUGUCGCACACAAAAGCCAAAUUUUGGCUUAUAUAAUUCUGGAUGGGCGACUUCUUUGAUGCCUUAUGCCUCCUCCAGAUCCAUAAUCAACAAGGAAACUAAUGUUUUCCAUGUGCUCUUCAGUUAUUUUACUUACAAAAUGGGCCAAUAAAUUUUAAUUCUGAUUUAUCCAUAAGCCCACAGAAAAUCCAAAUAAUUUUCAACUUUUCUCCAAUUUAUUUCUUUAAGCACAGCUUAUUCCCAAUCUUUAAUUUAUUAUCCUGUUAAAUAAAAUAAUUCAAAUAACUAAAAGUAAUAAAUAAAAUAAACUAGCAAAUAUAUAAUAAAGGGUAAAAUAUGUAUAUUUUAUAUGAUCGUCAAGCCUAGCACUACAUGCCUACCUAGACGAAAACCACACAAGUUAUAAAUACAAUGAGUUAGAAAUUUCGGCAAUGGAUGAAGAACGACUUUGCGUAAAACAUCACAAGGUGAUUUGAAGGGUUGGCUAGAAAGAUACAAAAGCUUAUUGAUCGUAGAGUUCAACUAAGUAGUUGUGGAAGGACAAGCUUACAUGUACUUCGGCAGAAGGUCAUCAUGGCAAUCAAAACUAGACAAAAUAUUAACAUUCAAACACGAGAAAUCAUAUCAUUUAGUGUCAUUGAUAAUAUAAAUGAGCAUUUUGAUGUGUCUAUUGACCAAUAAACUUGUUCUUGAGGGGAGUGGCAGUUUAGUAGGAUACUUUCAUCUUACGCAACAAACUGUACUAUUAAUUUUAGUGUUAGGGUGGAGGAUUUUAUCAAUCUACUUUUGAAGAAUGAUAAGUAUAAUACCAUAUAUGCCAAAUAUAGAUGUUCAAAAUCUAUAAUGGGAGCACUACUUCCUCCAAAUAAACAACGUAAAAUACAAAUGUUCACAGAAUCAGUCCAAGCAAGAACGAAUAGCAGCACCGAACCAAAGAAAAGGGAAACACUGAAAACUGCGAUCUAUUGGUUUAGUAUUUUAAAAUUAGAUAUUUUUUUUGUUUCAUGAACACUAUAUUUAAUUUCAGAUGAUCUUAUAAAGGGUACCUUAUUAUUUAGGAAGUUGCAUUUUGAUAAUGUUGUUUUAUUUUGAAGGAACUUAGAAAGGACUUGUUGAUGCGUAAAUUAGCAAGUGUACUAGUCGGCACAAGUAAUAUAAUGAAGAGUAGAGUAUCAUCCCACAAAGAUUGUAUAUCCUAUUAGCAACCGAAAUUAUUCUAACCCUAAUUUAUUUGAACUUAGAAAGGUCUCAUUAUGUAUCCUCAAAUCAUUUAAAUAUUGGCCAGAUAUUUAAAAGCACUAAGCACAAUAAUGAAUACUCAACCAUGGAAUAAUAAUUUAAAAAUAACACAAAUUUAUGGAAUUAAACUUUCAUAGUUAGGCUAUAUCGUGGCCCUAGUAAAAUAAAUUACUUCAUGAGAAUAAAUAUUGUAGGAAACAUUUUAGCACAACAAUAGAGAAAAGAGAAAAAAAAACUCAAGAAUUAAUUUCCGUCUCCCUCUGAAUCUCUUAUGGCUGCUUCAUUCUUUUUCUACCUUCUCUCUCGGCUUUUCUCUCCAAUUUGUGCGGCUGCUCCCUUUUUGUCUUCUUAAUUUGUACGGCUACCCCCUUGCUUUUGUUCUCGUCCUUUUUAUAUUAUUGCUCAGCCUCCAAAUCCUUAAAUCAAAAGGAUUUUAAAACAAAACAAACCUAGCCAACUUUUUAAGCCCAUGCACGUGAAGCCCACUUGACAAAUGCCAAUGCUUUAUGUAAUCAUCCACGUGACUUGUACAAAUAGCCAAUAAAUUUCUAAACUUAUUUGGUAAUAAAUCUAAUAAUUAUUCUUUAAGCAUUAUUCUUUCCUCUUUUCUUUCACAAUCUGCAAUUAUUUUCAUUAAGUACCAAUUUGUUUCCUCUUUAAGCUUCCUUUCUCAUGAAUAUUCCCAAUAUUCCUACAACAACAAAAUAUGAAAAUUAAGAUAAAAAUUUAUAUAAUAAAAGAUAAUUUAACAUAAAAUUAACUUAUGGAAGCAUUAAAAUAAUAUGGAAAUUAUUAGCACAUCACCUGUCGACCGCAUCAGUCAAAGCAGGAGGGAACAUCGGCAACGAGAGCCGAAAUGGCUGAUAAUGAUAUUUGAGUUGAAUUUCUCACUAUAAGAAAUUUGACUUUUUAAGACAAUUUUUUAUGACAUUUGUAGAUUUUGUCAUAAAAUAAUAUUUAUUGUGAAGAUUUUUUAAAAUCGUAGCUAAUAAUCUUGUCCUGGCCAAUGUUACAUUUUGUAAAGAAUAAUAUUUGUUUUGUGAUCCAAUAAUUGGUCACUUAAUCAAAUAUUUUGCGACAAACAUAAAAUUAGCCACAAAAGGACAUACUUUUUUUAGCGCAAAAAAUUCCCUCCAAAAUUGAUCAUUUUCUGACAAAAUAUCAUCUUUUAUGACAAAAACUAUGGUAGCAAAAUAUAAUUAUAAGUGACAUAAUCAUUUCGUAACUAAAAGAGGGAUAUAAAAUUGAUCAAACUGUUUGUGAUGAAAAAUAUUAGUCUCGAAACUUAACAUGGUUUUGAUUAAUUUUUAAGACCCUAUUUUUUUGUAACAGAUAAUUACCUACUGUGACAAAACUAAAAAAUAGUAGAUUAAAAUUGUCUUGAGUAAUUUUGUAUUUCAUGACCAUUGUUUUCAUAGAUACAUUAUUUAAUAUUCGAUUCAUUUUUUUUUUUGACGAACUUUACAACAUUGACCCAAAAAAAAAAAAUAAUCAAUAUUUUUUUAAUUAUAUUAUAUUUUGCGACCAACAAAUUUUUUUAUGUAUUUUAUUAAAUAAUUGAUCUUUUAUCUUAUUAAUGUGUGAAAACAUCAAUUUACCUCUAUGUACUAUUAAGAAGAUUUAAAAAAAAAGUCAUUACUGCGCCUCUCUUUUGCCACCAUCUUCUGAAUGAAAGUGAAAAUAAAUUGAAGUAUUUAUACUUUUGGGGGAUAAAUUGAUGAUUUUCAUUUCAAGUAAAGAGUAAAUUGAAGUUUAUUCUAAAAUGCAUUGAAGGACAAUUAGCAAAUUUUCAAUAGACUUGAAAUUGCUCGAAUGAGAGCUUCCUGCAAGACUAAUUAGUUAAAUACCUUUUUCUUAAAGUUUAAUUACCCACAUUAUUGUUUUUUAUAUAGCUUCAUACAAAUUUUGUUGGGUUAUUAUCAUUUCACUAUUUCAAAAAUUGUCAAAUAUCAAAUGACUACAACAAGUAUUGUCUCCUAUCAUUUUCCUACUAUAUUUUUAUAAAAAUAUUAUUUUACUACUUUUCUGUUAUAACCGUUAGUUGACCAGUUAGUUGACUAAUAAAAUAUCAAUUUCACCCUUCAUGAUUAAAAAAAAUACUUGAAACUUAUUUACAAAAUAAAUUUGUAAUAUAUUUAUUAAAAUGGAUAUAUAAUACCACCAUAAUUCCUUUUGCUGGAAUUAUGAUAUAUGGAUUACAAAUUUGUCUUAUUAUUAUUUUUAAUCAUGAAGGGGAAAAUUGAUAUUUUGUUAGUCAACUAACUGGUCAACUAACGGUUGUAACGAAAAAGUAGUAAAAUGAUAUUUUUAUAAAGAUAUAGUAGGAAAAUGAUAGGAAACAAUACUUGUUGUAGUCAUUUGAUAUUUGGUAAUUUUUGAAGUAGUAAAAUGAUAAUAACCCAAUUUUGUUUAACUAUGUUAGAUUAAUAAAAAUUAAAAUAAUAGCCUUAAAAUAAUUAACCUGGAUUAAUAAAAAAUGAUAAUAGACUUUUUUUAAACCAAUAAUAACAAACUUAUAAUAGCUUUUUUUUUUUUUUAAAAGAAUCUUAUAAUAGUUAAUUAUGUUGGAUUUAUAAAAAGAAUACAUAUUAUAUUGGAUAAAAAUUAAAAAAAUAAAAAAUAACUAAACUUAAAUAGAACAUAAAUUUCUCUAAUGAAAUCGUGAAAUACAAAUUAAUCAUCUCCCACUCACUCCUUGGCCAAUUUUGUUGUUAUCCAAACAAAACAAUUUAAUUCCCUCCCACUCUCUCCCUAGCCAAUUCACUUUAAUUGAUUUUGUAUUAAAAAACUACCCAUCUUUAUCUUUUGUAAUCCUUUCCAAUUUGUAUGUGUUUGUGAAUGAUGAUAACAGAACAAAAACCCACGACUAUGGAGGCAACACUGUAACCUUACCUUAGGCGCUGCACAAGACACUAGAAUCACGCCCUUUGCCGCCGCUCAAAAGCACGCCACCCUCACCGGUUCACUCACGCAUGCCAAAAUGAGCCACUCAACAAAAUUCACUCUCAUCACUCGUUCUACUUCGAAAUUGUGAUUAUAUAUAAACUAAGCCAAUUUAAUUUUGAUUAGUUUAGUUGUGAUUGGAUUAUGUGAAAUUCAUAUUUUUGUGUUUGGUAAAAUUAGGGAUUGAAAUUCUUAAAUCUAUUAUUUGAAUACUUUUAUGCUUAUCAAGUGCUUGAUAAAAUUCCUAAGAGAAUCUAGUAAAAGAAAAACAUAAAAUACAUGCAAAUAAAUGAAGGAAUUUGAAGUAAUUUUUGCUCACUUCAUCUUAGUAUGUAAUUAAUCAUCUUUCUUUAUUUUUUUUAAAGAAAAUUAUAGCUAGUAUUAAUAUAAUAAAAAGAGUUAGCAAAUUAUUCAAGUUCAGCAGAUAUAAUAAUAAGUUAAGUUACAAAUUUUUAAAUAUAAAAGAUUCGAUAGCUUUGAUGUGUUGUUUAGAAGGACGAUUUUGAAGCUUGGUUUGCUAAAGUAGUAAAGUUUGCUCAAAAUAUGCAAAAUUUGUACAAGUGCAUCGAGGUUGAUUAUGUGCUUGUAAUCUUUUGAUUAUAUUGUUAAUUUGAAGUAAUAAUGAAAGCAAGUAUGUGCUUGUAAUCUCUUUUCUUUCAGAAUUUUUCCCAUCUUUUUAAUGGAUGAAAGAAUUGAUUGCGGAUAUGUUUUAUUAAGAAAUUUAAUUGAUGUUGCAUUCUUACCUCAAUAUUUUUAUUUAUACCUAUUUGGCUUGCCAUAUACUAUUCUUUUAUGCAUUACCAAUAAUAUUUUCUUUAUAAGAUUACUCUUCGACACCAAUUAAGUGUUUUCUCAAGUUUUUUGUAUUGUUAAUAUUAUUUUUUUAGGGUUAUUUUCAGGGACCUCCCCUGAGGUUUAGUGUAUUUACAGUCGGAUAGAAAGUAUGCAUGUAAUUACAGGGACCUCCCCUGACGUUAAUACAAAAAUACAUAUAACGUUAUCAUAAAGGGAAAAUACGUAAAAAUACAUUUAAAAUUUAAACAAAAACAAAAUUCAAACGAAACUUGCUUGGAUGUCUGAGAACUAAAGACAUGAACUCCCUAUUACCCAGUGACUAUCGUUACCCAACAGACAAAUGAAAAUGAAUUUUUUCAGAAAACGCACUCCACUUCAAAGACACUGCUUACAUAAAAUCGUUGGAGAGCUUACACAACAAAACCCAACUUCAUUUUCAUCGUUGGAGAAGAAGCAAUCACUGAUCUGUUUUCAUCUAAAUGCAUGAGAUGACAUCGUGCGGUGGUCCAAAGCUUCCACGAAGUGAGCAUCGCCGACGGCCAGUGUCUGUCGCGACUGGAAUUAGAUCGCAAAAGAGGUUAGUCUUCGAAAUACAGCUUGCUUCCUUGAAUCAGUGGCUUACGGCUUUUGUUGAUUAAAAAUAACAAUGGGUCUGUUUCAAUUAAUGAAUAUGUUGCUAGAUGUUGUUUUUAUUUGGGGUUGUUGGUGUUGAGUUGAAAAUGUGUGAUAAAAUGGGUCUGCUUAGCUGGACGAUUGGUCCUGUUAUUUGCUGAAUUAUUAAUAAGUAUUAUUAAUUAGUUGUGGACAAUGCGUGAUAAAACAAUUUGAGAUAAGCUACCGAAAAUAUGUAGAAUGCUUGUUUGAGGGGUGGAAAUGAAGUGGUUUGAUCCACACUUUGAUUUUUUAAAGGGAUAGGACUCUACUUUGUGAAUUAUGAGCAUAGGCAAUAUAGUGCACAUGACUGGUACGAUAAGUGAACUUAGUCUGUCGUGUAUAGAAUAAAUUAACUUUCGGGAAAUUUGAGCGAAAAGAAUUGAAAAACCCCAACUCCAGAACAUCCACUAAACAAAGAGUAUGUAGUACUUUAACCUGCUAAUGUCAAAGUUUAUAUAAAAAAAGAACUUCAGGAAUUCUAGAGCUCAUCAAUCAAGUAGAAUUUUCUCUGUAGACGUGGUAGUUGAUAUCUCUCUUCAAUCUUGAUUAUGAAUGAUUGUUUUAUUGCUUUUUUAAGUGCUUCUAAGGUUUUAUUUUGCUCAUGUAUGAUAUUUAAUUACUUGAAAAAGCCUAAUGAUUUUUUGAUAUGAUUGCUCUGCCAAGCUAAUCUUCGUUAUUUGUGAAAUUUGGUGUUUUUUCUUUGAAGCCGGUUGUUUGCUUUUGAUAGAUUCCAUCUUGCAUUUAUUCCUUUUCCAUGGAUUUUGCAGGAUUGAAGAUAGAUUCCAUCUUGUAUGCUUUUGUGUUGUCUCUGUUUUUUCUAUUUGAUCUAGAUUUAAUACAUGAAAGGUUACUAACAAAUUAUCUUUGGUCGUAUUCUCUUUCCGAAACUUCUUUUGCUAAAUUAUUGGAAUUAUAUAAUUUUUGGUAUUUGGCAUGUCUGGAUGUGUACCCUGAAAAAUAUAAAAAAGGACAGAGGCGCAGUGCGUAUCAUAUAAAUGUUGCCAAGCACAUGUUGGAGGGUUAAGUAAAUUAUUAAAUGGUAUUUAUUGUGCUGGCAAAUAUGGUAUUUUUAUGUUGUAGAAGUUCAUUUCACAAUGUUUUCUUUUUCAUUUAAUAUUUUAUAGUGACCAUAUGCAAUGACUUUAACCUUACAGCUUAAUUUACAUGGACAUAGAAGCUGUUGUGGGUGGUAAAAUGGUUAAUGUUGCACAUGUCAUUCCAGAGCAAUACACAUUGAAGAAGUUGUGGGAGGAUGUGAAGGAUGUUUGUUUUGAUUUGCAUGUACGUGUGUAAUUUUUUUAUAUCCAUUGGAUAUUUUGGUGUGUAAUUUUUUUUUUAAAUCCAUUAGAUAUUUUGGUGUGAAUUCUAUUACCCAUCAGUUUAUCAUAUGAAUCAAAAUAGAUUUUGGCGGCAAGGGCAUUUUUGGAAUUUCAACAGUCAACUGACAGUCCACUUAACGGAACAUUAACAUUAGGGGAGGUCCCUGUAAUUACAUGCAUACUUUCUAUCCGACUGUCAAUACACUAAACCUCAGGGGAGGUCCCUAAAAAUAACCCUAUUUUUUCAAUCAUGUAGAACCAAAUAUAGAUAGAGAAAAAUGAUGUACCAAUAAUAGAUGAUCAAAUUGUGAAAUACUUUUGGGACAAAUCUUUAAUUUUAUGAAGAUUGAAAAUGACAGGUACCUUCAAAGUCAUCAUCUACUACAGCUUUGUCUCAACAAAAAAGGAUCAAAAAUUAAAAUCAAGGAAGAAGAUGGCAAAUUUAAGGAAGUUUAAGCAUUUAUAAAACAACCACCUGUUGUUUACUUAAUUCUACUUUUGUGUAAUGUUACUUUUGAAAUGCAAGUUAUGCAACUCAAGAGGGGGGGUGAAUUGAGAUUUUAAAAUUAUGCAAUACAAUUCACACAACAAUUUAAUCUAUUGCCUUAAUCAAAUAAAAAAUAAUAAAUUCAAUCAAGCACAAUAUUAAAAGAGUAAGGGAAGAGAAAACAAACACAAGGAUUUUUACGUGGUUCGGCUAUCCCCGCCUACGUCCACGCCUCCAAACACACCCGGCUUGAGGAUUUCAUUAUCCAAGCCUCCCAAGGCUUCAAAUGUUUACAAUUGACUUCAAUGUGUCAAUGGACCUUUACAACAAGAGAUUAUCUCCCCAAUCUCUUCACCUCAAGUGUUUCUCAUACUUGUACACUCAUAAUUUGAUGAGAAAUGAAAAUCACAACAAUGAAACUCUCUUUAAGAGUAGAUAACAAAUUAUAGCUCAAUGAUGAUUCAAUAAAUGAUAAUUUACAAAAUGGAAGUGAUGAUUCAAUAAAUGAUAAUUUACAAAAUGGAAGCUCAAUAUAUGUUAUAUGAUCUUAUUUAUGCUUGCAUUAGUUUUUAAAAUGAAGUUGGAGUUAAGUUUUUAUAGUUAAAUCCCGAAAACUAGCCGUUAUAGGCAAAUUUCCGCGCCCAAGCAGUUAGCCGCUUGAUUUAUCCGGCUAGCCGCUCAUGAACAGUGAUAGUACCGUCAUUUUUGAAUUUUGCUACAGUAAUAUUAUUCACUAAAAUUACACUUUUGGUCCAAAACUUUCUAUAAUUAUACUAUGGUCUAAAAUGUUAUAAAACUUUGUAAAUAGGUCCAAUUUCAGAAUUUCCUAAGAAUAGUUCUUUCCAAAACUUUUUGAAAUUAUGAUAUGGCCCCAAAGAUAUUAUUAUUUCGCAAAAAGGUCCUUUUCAACAUAAUACCCAUAUUUUUCAAAGUUCUCAAAAUCUUUCACUUUAGUCCAAAAUAUUCAAAAAUUAUAGUAUGGCCCAAAACAUUUCAAAUGUUUGUAAAAACGUCCAACUCCGAAAUUUAAUAAUAAUACUUAUUAAAAUCAAAGAUUUCAAAACUUUGCAUUUAAGUCCAAAUUACUCAAAACCACAAGGUAUUUUAUCUUAUAAAAAUAAAACCUUUUAGUUUAUAAAAAGUAAUUAACUAAAUUAAUCUUUUGAGCUUCUCAAAUGCUAAAUCAUUCAUCAAUUAAAUCAUACCGGCUUUACAAGAAUUUAUCGCACUAAUUUGUCCGUUGAGCUCUAAACUUUAUUCUUGAUUCGCCGUUGUCCGUUGAGUGUCUUGAGCUUGAUUUCACUUGAUUCACUUGCAUAAAUAUUAUCCUUAAAAAAAUAGUGAAAAUGUGAAAUACAAUAUCUAUUAAAUCACUUAAUACAUAUGUUUGUUAUCAUCAAAAUUACAUUAUGUGUAGCCCUUUAGGCUAACAACUUUUAUUUUUCUUCUAUAAUGUAAUCUUAUUUUUAGACUAUUGAUUUUUACCUUUUAGAUUUUAGAUUUCUUUGUAAAUUAUAUUUAUGUUAAUAAUAUUUUUCACUUCAAAGUUCUUUUGUCAUUAAAUUUUAAAUUCUAUGACUACAUAUUGUUAUUAAAAUUUAUGUGAGACUAUAAAAAUUGUCCUUAAAAUAUAUUGGAGACUAAAUUAAUUACUAAUUGUAUUUGUAAAAAUUGUUACAAAUGAUUACUACUUGAGACGAUUGCAUAACGUUGCGAUAUGUAAAUUUCAACAACAGAAAAAUAGUGUUGCUAAUUGUAUCUUUGAACCUUUAAAAUAACGAUUUUUGGUAAUUAUCGAGACUAUCUUUACAUACUCUUAAGACAAAUAUUAUAGUCAUUAUAAAUCACCUAUUGAGACAAAUAUUACAGUCACUAUAAAUCACCUAUUGAGACAAAUAUUAUAGUCAUUAUAAAUCACAUAUUGCGACAAAUAUGAAAUGUUAUUGAUUGUAUUUUUUUAAUCUCUAAUUUGACCAUUUUGAACACCAUUUGUGGCAAUUUUAACUUAAUUUUAAGACAAUGAUUUUUGUCGCAAAACAUAUUUUUAACAUGACAAAAAGAAUUUUGGUCACUAAAGCAUUUUAAGACGGUCUUUCUGCAACUAACUUGUGACGGUAUAUUUAUCGUCAUAGAAAAUAUAAGGUGACUAAUUUGUUAUCUUUAGCAACUAAAUUUUUUGUAAUAAAAUAUCAUUUUUCUUGUAGUGUCUCUAGAGCAAACACAAAUCACAAAUUGUUGACAUUGUACAUUUUCUUGGACUAAGUUUAGAUACAAAAUCUUUGAUGCAAAAGAGUUGAAUGGAAAGAUUUUAACUAUGGGGAUAUAUUGAACACAUGGUGUCACUAAAUAUUUUGAUUGAAUAAUACUAUUUUUUUGUUCAUUAGAUAAGAAAGUAGACGUUAAUGUCAAGAACGAUAACAAUUUAAUGCAAGCAUCUAUAGCUCUUUUGAGACAGUUAAUUAUUAUUAUCUAGGAUGGAAUCACAAAUAAUAAAAAAAAUGCAAAGUAUUGUUCGAUCUCGUAUCAAUGUUUUAUAUAAAUUAUAUGCAAAAGUCAAGUACCAUGUAAUGGUUUCACAAUGUUCAUUCGAGUUCUUUUAUUACAAUGCAAAAUGAUUAACCAUAGUGUGAUAUUAUGUCAUCCAAGAUAGAUUGUAGAGGAAACAAACAAACCUUUAUGAUUGAAGUUUAUUAAUUGUGAGCAUUUUACUGAUUUCAUCUUCUUCAAUUUACUCAGGUUAUUAUCUUUUUUUUUAGAAACACUUAAAAUGCAAAAUCCUCUAAUCUUUGUGUUUGAACUACGAAUUGUUGUAAACCGCAUAUUUUCUCCAAGGAAGCCCUUGUCUUUAUUUAUCUUUGAUUAUGUUUUAUGUAUUUAUUAUUAUAAAACUUCAUUAAUUCUGAAAAAUAAUUUAUCAUUGUAAUUGGAUAUGGGUUUCUUAUUAAAUCCAUUGAACUUACAAAACUCAAAUGAAUAUGAGAAACAAUGAAAAAUAUUUUAUACCCUCAUUAAUAUAAUCAUUUAUUAAUUAUAAAAUAAUUUCCCUAAAUAUUUCAUAAAAGGAUAAUAUUGGAAAAAAAAUGUGGAGUGCGUUAUAAAAUUUAAGAAAAUGGUAAACGAACGAAAGUAAAAUAAAGAAUAAAAAAUGGAAAAAAUGCUCAAAUAUCUUCAUUAUUUGAAACCUGAUUCACUUAUUCUCGUCCCCAACCACUCGUUCUCCACUCACUUCGUCCUCUCCACUCGUUCUCGUUAGUCACUUCGUCCCCUCCACUUGUUCUUCACGCGUUCCUUUCUCCACUCGUCCUUGUCACCAUCCAACGCUGCAGACAGUAUCCUUUCUCAUCCCCAACGCCUGCUAAAGAUCGAUCUACAACAAAAACGAUCGAUCUACAAUGGAGCCGCCACCAGUAGAACAACCGAUAGAGUCACCGCUACUACGUCAUUUGAGUCAUCGUGAAGGUCUUGUUUAACUCUCUUUAUCUCUCAGUCGUACAUAAUCAAUAUUUUGUAUCAAUUUUUGUCAAAUAAAUAAAAAAAUAUUUUUUUUAUUUGAAUUCUGUGAUAUAUUUUAUUUUUGUAUGAUGGUUGUGUGAAAGGAAUAAUGAUAAUUCUAUAAAAAAAAAAUAAUUACGUGAUUUGUGAUAAUUUUUUUCUGAUAAGUUGAUUUAGGAAAUAUUGUAUUAAUGCUUAAAUGCAUCGAAUUUUUGGUUCUGAAAUGCACCGAAUUUUUGCAUAAUAUUUGAUUUGAAUAUUAGUUUUGCAUUUUGCAUAAUGUUUAAUUUAAAUGCCGAUAUUGAUUAAUUUAUACCUAUUAAGAAAUAAUUAGUGAUGAUUUGUUUUGUUUAUACAUAUUAAGAGGAUAGUUACUGAAUUUUUCACUCUUAGCAGUUCUAUAUUAAGAGGAUCCUAAGAUGCAUGCUUAGAAAUUUAAAUUUAUUACUAAUUUUAAAGAACACGGUUCUUACUAAUGUUUUGCAUUUUGCAUAUAAUUAAGAUUAGGAAUGCAAGUAGUAAUUUGGGCAUAUAAUAUUUGAUCUGAACUUUUCCAAUGUAGAAACCAAAUGCCUACUCAAAGCUGUUAUGUUGUUUUCAAAGGACGAAAGUCGUGCAUAUAUAAUUCUUGGCCUAAAUGCCAGAAGCAAGUAAAUGGAUUCAAAGAGAAUGCUUAUCAAUCUUAUAAAUCUUUGUUGGAUGUCGAAACAACGUACAAUGAGUACAAAGCAUGAAAAAUUACCAGAGACAUCCAAUAUGGUAGAAACUACAAAAUUUAUUGUGGAAACACACAAAAAGGGGGUGCAAACUGAAGUGCCUACAUGCGACAAAGCUAUGCAAACUAAUAAAGUCAAAAGUGAUUGUAUUAUUCUGCCUAUAUUAUCCAUUGUAUGUUUUAUUUUAUGAAUAAUUAUUGCUAUAUGUAUUUUGCACAAAUAAAGAGAUUGUACUCCUUGUUAUGUAUAAAUUUAAAUAAUUUAAACAAAAUGAUUGUUAUGUAUGAGUUGCAAUGUUUAAUCGUAAGAAGGAAGGACCUUUCCCUCUGGAGCCUAUGCAUGUCUAGAGAUAUUAUGUGUAUCAAAAGAAACAACAAUAAUGUAAUGAUACACAAGUCGCCAAAUCUAACAUAUAUUAUUGAUCCAUCACUACAAUUUCAAACAUUUAAAUUCAAAUAUAUCAUAAUUUCAAACAUUUAAAGCCAGAUCUAACAUGUAUCAUUAAUCCAUCACAAUAAUUUCAAAAUUUUAAAGUUAAAUUUAACACAAAUCAUUAAUCAACCAAUACAAUUUCAAAAAUUUAAAGUCAAACCUAACAUAUAUCAUUAAUCAAUCACUACAAUUUAAAGCCAAAAUACAAGUCAAGCAUCAUGAUUGUUAUCUUCAUUACAUUGCUGCUUAGUAACUGGUGGAAAUUCUUAUUUUGAGAUCCUUGAUAGGUCAUCGAAGGAGAAGAAUAAUGCAACUGCGAAGUAUACGGUGGGACCGGUUGCUAUAAUACAUAAAAAUAAACAUCAUAUUACAUUUUAGAAAUAUUAAAAUAUAAGUAUACAUUAACGACUUGUAAACAACAACUUACUGUAUUCCAAUUAUAAGAAAAUGACUGAUAAAUAUUGCUUCCACCGAAUUGAGAUGGGUACAUAGGUACCUAAUCAAAUAAUAAAAUAUAUGUAAAAUCCAUAUAAAAAUCUUAAAACUAAAAUUUAAUUAAUUUAAUUCUUACAUUAUAAUAGCCCAUAGUGUCGCAUUGGUUGAGAUUUCCAUAAACAACACUUCCUUCUUGUAGCGUCUACAUAUGCUCAAUCUUAUACUUAGUUACAUAUCCUCGAAAUAAAAGAAAAGUUUAAAAGAAAAAUUCACAAAACUUAUUGUGGCUAUGUUGCUCUCUUGUGUGGAGAUUUUAUUAGGCACAUGAUAAGACGAUGGAGCAUUUUCUUGUAAAUCUUGCAAGAUUAUUGAAGACAAUUAAAUUAAGACCAAAUGAAUUAGAAAAGAUAUAUUUGUAUUUAAAAGACCUUUUUUUUUUUUUUUGCAGCCUUGUUCCUUUGACCAGAUUUCUUACGAAUUGAAGAUUUUUACCUUAAGCACGGUAGACGGCCUUUACGACGUGUCACUGCUGGAUCAUUAAGUACAAGUUGAACAUUGUUGCUGCUACAACUUACUUUGCCAGUAACAGUUCUUUCCACACUGUCACUGUGAAUUUGCUUGUUACUGCUACAACUUGCUCCACCAGUAAUAGUUUUUUCCACACUUCCACAGCGAAUUUGCUUGGGCAGAUCAUUCAUUGCUUUCUCAAUCCAAUCCAGCACCAUUUUGUAACUAUUUUCAUCAUCAGAAGCUAUAUCUGCAACCUCACUAAAAGCGCUACACAUUUUUUCAUAUCUUUCCCACUGGAUGGACAAAUUCUGCACACCAUAACUAAUUUUCACCUUACUAUAGCACCUCCUCACAUCUUUCCUCCACCUUGAUAAGAUGUAUAUUUCUGGAAGUAAUUCAACUAGGUUACGUAUUAACACUGCAAGGGGAUGACUAUAAAGAAUCCCCCUAAAUUGAAACUUUGAACAGAUAUAAUUAACUUCACAGUCAACUUCUUCGAAAACAACCUCAAAGAUUUUUUUCUUACCUUGCCCAUAUGAUUCACUUAUUUUAUAUAUUGAUCCCACAUAAUCCAAUAUAUCACAAUACAUUAGUACAGUUAAUUCUUAUAGGAAUUCUUUGAACUUAGAAAUACUGUACACCUCUUCAACUUACUUCUCCAUCUCAUAUCUUGUUACACAUGGUGUCCGUUUACUGAAACACUUCGCAUCUGUUUGCCAUUCUAAUUUAGCUUUCCUGCUCAAUGCAUUUUCAUAUUGCUUCAUAAACGGCUUCAGAUUUGUUUUUGAGUUAACAAACCCAUCAAAAAAUGUAUUCAUACUUUCACUUCGCUAAGUAGUUGACAUUCUUGCCCAAAAACAGUCUUUUAAAUAGCAUGGAACCCAACAAUGCCUCUCAUCGUAUAAACCAUUUAACCAUUCAUUAUCCCAUAAAUCAUAUUCUGUAAUCAUGUCAUGCCAAGCUUCUUCGAACGCAACAGAACUCAAUGAAUUAUAAACAACAGAAAGCAGCGAAAAAAAAUACAUUCAUGUUCUUUAAACGCCCCUAACUUUUCAGGUACCUUCUUCAUUACAUGUCAUAAAUACUACCAAUGCCUAGUAGUAGGAAAAAUAUUUUCAAUUGCCUUUUGCAUUGUCUUGUCUUGGUCUGUAAUGAUACCAAGAAAAGGAGAAUCGGACAUGCAUGAUAGCCACGUCUCAAAUAACCAUGUAAAUAUCUCAGUAUCCUGCACGUGAAAUCAAUCCGCAUCCUAACAAAAUAGAUUGGUCAUGGUGAUUAACUCGGACAAAGGGAGCGAAUGGCAUGUCAUACUUGUUGGUUAGAUAUGCAAUGUCAAAUGUGAUGACAUCUCUAAAUAUUUGUAAGCUACUCUACUCCUUAGAUCUGCUCAAAAUACAUUCUUUAACCAAUCCUGCUCAUCUAAAUCAAUGCUAAAAAAAAACUCUUACAUUCUAAUUACUUUUUCAGGAAGUCUUUAAAAGUGUCAUAGCAUCUCCUUCCCCAAGCUAUAAUUGCCUUGUUUCAUCAACAAAAUUUCUGCAAUCUUUUUCUAAGAAUAGACAUUUUCAUGCCCACCAGCUUCAACAACAAUAGAAUUGAAAUUUUGGGCAAUUAUAAUUCCCGCACAAUCAUUCAUUUCAAUUCACUUUUUAGCACUUGCACUAAUUUUGCGAUUGUAAGGGAAAUACCUAGCUUUGUCUGGACUCAAUCCGUGGUUGUGUUGAAGAUUUAAAAUUCGAAGAACCCAUUUUCCAUCUUCAUUUAGACAACCUUCAAUUUUUGCAUCACAACCAUUUUUCACAUUAGGUUUCGACUUCAAUGCAAAUUUACUUUUUGACUUGCCACUAUGGCAACAUACAAAUGUUACACAUUUGACAAUCCCAUCAGUCCUUUUCUUAGUACUUCGAACCUUCACAGAAAACCCCUCUUGUUUGUCAUAGGCUUUGUAAAAUGCAAACAUUUCUUCAUGACUAUCAAAUAACAUUCUAAGAGUUGGCUCAUAUUUUUUUGGUUGCACAAUUCCAACUACAUUGUCGGCUCCUAUUUCUUGUAACUCUUCAAAUGCAUGCUCAUUUUCCAAAUUCUCCAUUUCUACAAAAUAAUUAACAUUUGUAUUAAGAAUAAGUAAUUAUAAAUUUUUAUUACAUUUUUUCCAAUAACAAAAAUCCUAACAAUUUAAAUAAACAAAACACAUCCACAAAUUUUUAUAAAUUUAUUCCAUUAUUUCCAGCAUUCUAAAUUAAAAAAAAAUCCUAACAAUUUAAAUAUAUAAAACACAUCCACAAAUUUUUAUAAUUUAUUUCAUUAUUUCCAGCAAUUAAAAUUAAAAAAAAUCCUAACAAUUUAAAUAUAUAAAACACAUCCAGAAAUUGUCAUAAAUUUAAUCCAUUACUUUCUAACAAUUUAAAUUAAAAAAAUCCUAACAAUUUAAAUGUAAAAACGCAUCCAAAUUUUUUACAAAUUUAAUACAUUACUUUUUAUCAAUUCAAACAAAAAAAAAAAAUCAUAACAAUUCAUAACAAUUUAAACAUAUAAAACGCACGCAUCCAAGAAUUUUUACAAAUUUAAUCCUUCACUUUCUAACAAUUUAAACUGAAAAGAAAAAAAUCUAACAAUUUAAAUAUAAACAACACAACCAAAAGCUAAUUUUAUUUUAAUGUAAUGGGAAAGUGAAAGUUACCAAUUAUCCGGCUAAAAUUUCAUCAACGUUGUUGGUGUAGUCUUUGGCACCAAAUUCAGAUCUCCGAAUGCAGAUCUCCAAAUAAUAGCCGCUAGUUUUACUUCAAUUUUCUUCUGUUAAUGCAAAUGCAUAUCUGAGUUGGUUUGGUUUGGCUUCUUUGUUGGGUUUGAGGGAUAAUGGCAAUUUUAGUUUUUUAUCAUUACUUUCUUAUUUUGCCAUUUCCUUUUCGUUACUUUUGGUUUCCUUUUCAUUAUUUUAAUGUUUUCUUUUUAUUAUUUUAAUUUUUAAAUGAAAAAAGCAACAAACAAAGGGACCCACAAAAACGGCAGCAUGCAUUGCCAUUUCUGUCGUCCCUUUAUCAUCCGUUUGUUUAUUUAGCACUACUCUAAGGUAGUGUUUACUUGCUGGAGUGGGAGUGAGGAGUCUGGAUUCCUCCCACUCCAGUGUUUACUUACUAAUUUUAAGAGGGGAGUGGGAAUCCCACUCUGUGGGACUCACUUUUUUUUGGAGUGGGGAGUGAGAUUCCCACUCCCAUGGGGGGAGGUGGGAGUGAGAAUCCAGUCCCCUCUCUUCCAUUUUUAUCCUUACAUUUAAUCAAAUAAAAUAAUAUCAUGUUUAUUUAAAUAAUAUUAUUAUAUUAUUUUAUAAAUUAUACUUAUUAAAAACAAUAAUUUAUAUUGAUUCUAAGUUAAAAUUACUUAAAAAUAAUAUUAUUAUACUCAUAGAGAAUUAAUAAUAUUACUAUAUACUCUUUUUAUUUGAAAAUAUAAUAUUAUUAUAUUUAUUUAAAAAUCAUAGUAUUAUAUUUAUUUAAAAAUCAUAGUAUUAUAUUUAUUUAAUAUUAUUAAUUAAUAAUAAUCAAUAUUUUAUUCUAAGAAAAUAUUAUUUUUGUAUUAUAUUAUUAAUAUUAAUAAUUAUUAUUAUUUUACAAAUAUAAUAAAAUAAAUAUUUUAUUUUUCAAAUCUAUUUUUAUUAAUUUUGUAACUAAAAACUAUAAUUCUUUAAAAUAAUGAUAAAACUGUAAUUUAAAAUCAUUUAAUCUCAAUUCCAUGCUUUCAUUCUUGUUUAAGUAAACAACCUACUUCCACUCCCACUCCCACUCCACACUCCUAAUCCCAGAAUUCCCACUCCUCAUGAUUUCCACUCCAAUCCAAAAUGUAAACGCAGCAUAAAUUUUAAUAGAGAGAAAUAUCGCAACCAACUCUGACUAGUGGUGUGAUUUGACAUAUAUACUACAACUCAUUUUUCCUUUUCACCAAAUGAGACAAACUAAUUUUCUAUGUUUAUUUUUUCCUUUCCAACCGUUGACAUGUGCUCGCGACUAAAUUUUGAUUAUAGCUUUCGCUGCUAACCAUACUCAAAGUUCAGCUUUGGUGAGGGCCAAUUAUGGGAGUUUUCCAAAUAUAGUGUCAAAAUCAAAAGGAACAAACCAUAAAAAUGAAUGAUGUGGGAAAUAUUUGGUCAACACAAUUUGAUAAGACGAUGUAUGAAAUUUUAGCAAUAUCAGUAUGAUUCAGACGGCUCUAAGUUCGGUUUUGGUGAGGAGCAAUUUUUAGAGUCUUUCAAAUUUAAGUGAAUCUACAAAAUUGAAAGAGAAAGCUAAUUCAAUAAAGUGUUUAGUGAUUUGAAUUCUUCCCCAUAGUAUUCUUAUUUUUCCCUUUCUGAAACCCUAAUUACACUAAUUUUUCCCUCUUUUUUUUUUUUUGACACCUAAAAUAUGCGCUCAUCACUUUUCUUUUCCCUAUCUAAAAUUCAUUGUCCAUUACCUCAUUAACUAUUAUUCUUUAAGAACUUUUUUUAGAGGUUGCCCGCCUUUUGUUUAGAAUAAUUAUUUAACCAUUGUAUUUGUACCUUAUUUUACAUUAAAUUUGUUUCCAUCCGUUGGAUUUGAGAAAUGGAAAAUCCAAGAUCCAUAUCGUCAGGCUAUUUAUUUCUGCACUUGUAACAUAGGCGCUGCCAAAAUAAUCUCUCUUACACCUUAGUAAUUUGGUCAUUUCAAACUAGACAGGUUGUUAAUCAAGGACUAAUUUGAUAUAAAUAAAUAUAUUAUGUUAUUAUUUAAAAGAAAUAAAAAGAUAGGGAUGCAAAUGUUAUUAUACAUUCAGUAUUAAAUACAACUUAGAAUUCUAUAUAGUUCAAAAAUCACCACAACUAGUGUCUAGCCAUCUAUUCCUGUGUUUAGGAUUAUAUAUACUCUUUUCCAUAAUUGUGAAAGAGAAAAUAAAUUGUGGAGUCCCCACAUCUUAUAUUGAGGAAGGUUUCUACCCUUUCUCACAAUAAGCCCACUUUACAGGGUCCAAUUACCCCAGGCUACAGCCUCGGUGCUAUUUCUAUUUUUGAACUAAUUUAUUUAUAAAGUUUCAGUCUUUAAAAAUAUAUGUUAAAAACAUAUAUAUAAGUUAUUAAAGAAAUAGCAGUGAUAUAACCACAAAUAAAUUUAUAAAUUAUGACAAAAAUAGAAAAAAAAAUAAUAGGAUAAAAUAGACUCAAUUUCAAGUUAUAAUGUAUUUAAUAGGAGUGGGCAAUUUCGGAUUCGGAUCGGAUUCGGAUGAAUCCGAUCGGAUUUCAGAUAAUUCGCAUUGAAAAAAAAUUCAUCCGAAUUCAAUCCGACUUUAAAUCCGAUCCGAAUAAUUCGGAUCAGAUGAAAAUUUCGGAUUACUCGGAUUCGGAUCGAAUCGGAUGAGUUUAGUUUUUGGAUUAUAUUUCGGAUUCGGAUUAUAUUUUGGAUUCGGAUUGAAAUCGGAUUUGGACAUUUUUAACAAUUCUCACAAAAAAUUUAUGAAAUAUAUAAUUAAUGAAAACUUACUAACCAUUAAAAAAAAAAAACCAAAACAAAUUGACAAAUGACAAUGUAUUAUUUCCUUGACAACAUGGCAUUGACAUAUACCAAGAAAACAAGCCGAUACAAAGUUUCCAUUCACAAAAAAAAAAAAAAAAAAUAAAGUUUCCAUUCACAAAAAUAAAAAAAAUAUAAUCCAUUAAAAUGAAAAUAUUUAAAUAAUCAAAUCUAAUAAUCUAUAAUCAACGACCCAUUUAUAUUCUCAUAUGCAUUCAUUUUGUACAAACACUCCCAUUUAAUUUAAUUAGUAAUCCUCUUACAAGCUAGGUGCAUAAACAUUACUCCAAGUCCAAGCCUGCAAAUAAGCAACACAAAAUAAACAUUGCUCCAAGCCUCCAACUCUCCAAAGUCCAAAUGAAUAACACAAAAUAAACUUUGCUCCAACUCCAAUCUCCAAGUAAACAACACAAAAUAAACAUUACUCCAAGUCUUCAAACAAACAACACAAAAUAAACAAUCAACUAUUACUCAAAGUCUCCAAAUAAAUAAACAACACAAAAUCACAAAAUAAAUAUUAUCAUUAUAUCAUCCAACAAUAAAAUAAACCAAAAUAAAAAUUAUCAUCCAAAAACAUUUAGUCAUUUAACUUAUUUUUUUAAUUUUCAGUUUUUUUUUUAGUUUACAGUGCAAAUCCGAUCCGAUCCGAACCAAAUCCGACCGGAUCCCACAAAUUUCAUCCAAUCGGAUUUGCCUUCAAAUCCGAAUCGGAUGCCCACCCCUAGCAUUUAAGUUGGAUACGGUGGUUGAAGAUGUAGUUGCCAUUGUACAAACAAGAUAAGAUAUUGCUUUAUCGAAGCGGUUCGAAAAAUACAAGCCUGAAAAUAAUUGUUUUAUAGGAAAAAUAGAAGAUCUUAUUCAAUCAUACUCUGAAUUACACAAUAACAAAUUUUUUCUUAAUAAAUCCACUCAUUAAAUUAAACUCAUAUAGAAAGGUUGUAAAAAGAUCCCAAACUAAUUAAAAUUUUUAAAAAUUACCCUACAUCAAAUUUAUUUUUUGUACCAUAAAACAAAACGAUAGUCGCAAACUUAUUUUGUACUAGGAGUAAUGAUUAUGUACAAAAAUGGGCACAGAAAGGUCUUUGGCUCUACAGUCUACUCGGUGAUUCGUGAAAUACUGAAAUGCUUUCAAAGGGGGGCAAAAAGAAAAAAGAAAAAAGAAAAUAGAAUAUAUUCUAAUUUUUUUAAUUAAAAAAAAAACCCUACUAUAUACUUUUAUAAUAACUCCCUCGAGUGCAAUGUCUCAAAGGUUGUCUUCUUCGUCCCGCUGACAACCCAAAAGGCAGAAACGCAAUGUCGUCGCAUUCGAUGGAGUCAUUGAUUCUCCAACUCCACGAGAUCUCGGCGGUUAAAUUCGGAAACUUUAAGCUAAAAUCCGGCAUAUCGUCUCCCGUUUACAUCGACCUACGACUUAUCGUUUCUUACCCUUCCCUCCUCCGCCAAAUAUCCAAAACCAUCAUCUCCUCCCUCCCCUCCACAACCAAAUACGACCUCGUGUGCGGCGUUCCGUACACCGCCCUCCCAAUCGCCACCUGCGUCUCCGUCUCCAACGACGUCCCCAUGCUCAUGCGGCGCAAGGAAAUCAAAGACUACGGCACCGCCAAGGCCAUCGAAGGCAAUUUCAAGAAGGACGAAAUCUGUCUGAUCAUCGAAGAUUUAGUCACCAGCGGCGCGUCGGUCCUCGAAACGGCGGUGCCAUUGAGAGCGGCGGGGCUGGUGGUGACGGACGCCGUCGUAUUGAUCGACAGAGAGCAGGGAGGGAGGGAGAAUCUGAAGGAGAACGGAAUUGAGUUGCAUGCGAUGAUAAAGCUGAGCGGUUAGGAUUUUGAGGGAGAAAGGGAAGCUUGAUGAGGAAACGGAGAGAGUGGUGAUGAAGUUUUUGGAGGAGAACAAGAAAGUGGCGGCUUCGAAUUUAGGUGGGGUUAGGGUUAAGGGUUUGAAGUACGAAGAGAGGGCGAAUUUGAUGAAGAAUGAGACUGGGAGAAAAUUGUUUCAAGUGAUGGUGAAGAAGAAUGACACUGUGACCAUGCAGGCUGAAGGGUAAGACUCUGCGCUUCUGUAUUUCUUAAUUUCUUUGUUCUUUGUGUCCUUGCUUCCUCUUGAGGGUUCCUGUCUCUGUGUCUGCAGUGGUAUAUUUUGUAUAUUGGAUUGGGCCGAUAUAAUAAAUGCUCACAUAAUCUCUGGACCGGGAAUUGUGGAUGGUCUGAAAUUAAAGGUUAGAAUCAACUAUUUGGUAUAACUUUUGUCUGCCUUGAAGUAAUCAACUAAUCUGUUUCUAAUGUUAUGCAUAGUAUUGAUUUACCAGGGAUUACCUCGUGGUAGGGGUCUGUUGCUGCUGGCUGAGAUGAGCUCAGCUGGAAACCUAGCAAAGGGAGACUAUACAGCAGCAGCUGUGAAAAUUGCCGAGGAUCAUUCUGAUUUUGUCAUUGGAUUCAUCUCAGUUAAUCCAGCAUCAUGGCCAGGGGCACCAGUCAAUCCAGCCUUUAUUCAAGCAACCCCUGGAGUUCAAAUGGUAAAGGGAGGUGAUGAUCUAGGCCAACAAUAUAACACUCCAUACUCGGUAAGUUCUGUUCGUUCACUAGCUCCCCUCAACAUGUUUAUUUUUCUAGCAAUACUAUCCAUGAAAACUAUUAAUACAAACUUAUCUAUGCAAAUGAACAUGGGAAUACAAUUAUUAAGGUAAACGUUAAAAGAAAGUCAAUUUAAUUGCCACAUCACCCAUUUUCAUUUGUGGUUUUUUUUUUUUUUUUUUUAUAAUCAAAUUUCAAUGUGCCAGGUUAGUUUAUAUUGGUUGAGUGUGUAUGUCUAGUAUUUUGAUAAAUUUGUCACAAGUUGUAAAAUAGAUGUAAACUUGAGUGAAGAAUUAGCAAUUGAACAACCAGCUCCAAUCGAAUUAGCAUUUUUGCCUUAUGUUCAAAUUUGAGAAGGCCUAACUGAAACAUUUUUUCUUAGGGUCCCAGGUGCAUUGAGCCAGCCGAAGGACUAAUGGGUGCUAGUUACUUAAUAUAAUCUAAGAAAUAAAAUCAGCAUUUUACAUGUAAUGGAAUUUUAGACAUGUCAAUGAGGCAUAAGGGGAAGAAGUUUUGAUUGCAAAUUUGGGAGGCCAUCAAAAUGAUUUGUUUUGGUGUGAUAACGAAAAAUUCUAAUGAAUAAACCCAAACCCUGGAAUGUUUUGCCAUAUAUGACUAGAUCCUCAAAAGGUUAGGAAAAUGAGGUAAAGAAGAUCCAUUUUCCUCCUGUUUUAUAUAUGUAGGAACUUUAUCUUUUCAUGGGUAUAUCAUUGCUAUCACUAGAUCCCCAAGAGAUUAGGAAAAUAAGAUAGAAAAGAUCCAUUUCGUCCUUUUUUUUUCACAUAUAGGAAUUUCAUCUUUUCAUGGGUACUUCAUUUCUAUGGAGCCAAAGAUAUCAUUUGCUCUAGUUUCUGAAAUUGAGCUUCGUACACCAUGUUUUGAAAUUGACCCUUGACUAGAGAGAAAAAAUUUUCGUUUAUGACCAGAAAUUUUCUGUAAAUUGAAAUGAGAAAAAGUUGGAGAGGAAAAGCUUGGGAUUUAUAAUUUGGUAACAUGGUUUAUCUUUUCUUCAGGCAGUAAGCUUUGCUUAGCUGUGUCUAGAUAUCUUUUUGUCCUUGAUUGGCUGAAUUCCUAGAUAUUUCAUCCUAAAGACUUAUUCGUCUCCAUCUUUUCCCUCCAUACAUUGAACCAAUGUUGUAUCUUGUUUCAAAACAGGUAAUUUCUCCAACUUCAAAUUUAGCCUAGCCAACUAUAAUUUAACCAGGGAACAAGCUAGAAGGGGCAGAGUUAAUGAACUAAGGUUAACUGGUGUUUAAAAUAGUUGUAACUUGUACCUCAGUGAUUUUAUUCGAGAGCCUCACAGCCAUGUGAUAUUCCCUUUGUCACACAUAGUAUGACUAUUAAGAUGCUUCUUGCAGGCUAACUAAUCCAACUUGUUACACCAACAAAACAAUAGCUGAGUGCUCGACUGCUCUUAACCUGUUCUAUUUGGUUGACACUGUUGCAGCUUUAAUAACUUUAACGUAAAAUUGUUCUCCAGGUCAUCUACGAUAGGGGUGGUGACAUAAUUAUUGUGGGUCGUGGAAUUAUAAAGGCAGCAGACCCUGCAUUGGCAGCCCGUGAGUACCGGCUUCAAGGAUGGGAGGCCUACUUGGCUAAGUGCAGUCUGGACUUCUGCUCGCUUCAACGGUUGCGAUAAUGAACAGAUGAGUCAAGUUCUGCAUUGUACUUAUAGUAACUUCUCAAGUCUGGUAAUGCUGCUUGUCUGGUUUUCCCAAUGAAACAUGGUUGCAAGAUUUCUGAGUGUUGUGUUAUCAACAAUAUAUGAAAUUUAUGAACAUGGUGUUUGGAGUUGCCAACCAUCUCAUUCAAAAUUAUCAUAUUGAAUGAUUCGGAUGAUUCCUCUUUUGUGGUUUGGAUGGACACGUGGCAAGGCGCAGUAGAUGCCUUGGAAAUUGGUAUUGGACAAUUAUCUUUAAAUGUUGAUAUGGUAAAAUGACCAGGAUUACUCUAUGUUUAGCAAAACGAAUCAUUUUCUCUCUAAUAUUUUAUAACCUACAAAUAAUAAUGUUAGAAUGUCAGUUUUUCCAAAAAAAAAUUGAUAGCAGAAUAUUAAAUAAAGGGAUAUUUUUUUUAGAAAAGGAAAAUAGUUAAUUUAGCCAAAUAGAAAGAAGAUACUCAUUUUCCCAAUGGUUUUUUUUGAACUCUCAUUUUCUCAAUAUAUAACUAAUAAUUUAACAAAGUGUUAUUAAGAUUUUAAAAUAUUUCUUAGGAUGAAUUGAUUUUUAAACGCGAGCGAGAGGAAAUUGAUGAGAUUUAAUUAGUAACAUUAAGAUCGGUAAAUGAUAUAAUAUAAAACAAAACUAGUAAAGAACAAAAAGGGCCAACAUGAAGAAAACCCAAAAUUGAAACCUGUCCUUUCUGUAUUUUCUCGAGAAAUUUCUCUCUCCGACUUACAGCUCAACGGCUUUAAUUUGAAAUUCUUCACACUCUUUCAAUUGUCUUUCAACGCGCACACUUCGUAUCCUUCGUUAUUAAUUGUUCACACACGCUCCCCCAACACCGAGCAGACUCUCUCUCUCUCUCUCUCUCUCUCUCUCUUCUGUCCGAAUUAGGGUUCUGUUGGGCUGUGAAACAUUAUAAUGCGCUUCUGAUUUCAAAUACUUUUCCAGGUAAUUUAAUCUUUUUUCCUUUCUUGCUUUCUGGAAUAUUCUAAGAUCUUAAUCUAGAUUUGUUUCCUCAUUUCGGCAUUUUAAAAAAUUUGCUUUUUUUUUUCUCUUACGGUUUAGGGUUCUCAAAAUCAUAUACGAUGCUGUUUUACUGCCACAUUUGUAAUUCGGCCAUUUUUCUUUUUCCUUUUUUUUUGUGAGUGUUGAAAAGGAAAAAAAGUGAUAUUUUCCUUUCUGGGUAUUGCUGGAUUUUGGCCCCAGAAAAAAAACUGUAAUUCCGUCUCUUUGCUUGUAUAUAUGUAUAGGUAUCUUCUACAUUACCAUCUUAUUGGCUUUCCGGGUGACGAAAAUGGGUAGCUUAACUUUCUUAUAAUUGAGUUAUGCUAUGUGGGUUUGUUGUGGUGAUUAAAUACUGAUGGCAGUGUCUAAUGAGAUGAUGAGGGAACUCUAUCUAUGCGAAAAUGCAUGGUGUAUUUUGUGUUUAAAGAUUUUUAUGCAAGUUUUAUUGUAUUACGUUGUUUUAUUAAUAUUACUGUCUCCCAAUAUUUGAGUUCUUGUGUUUAUCGAAUGAUAGAAAAGAGUUUACCCUGAUUUAUGGUUUUGAUUGAGAUGUGAUGGGUAUUUUUAUUUGAUUAUAGGUUGGCAAGUCAAAACUUGACCUUGGUGCCUGCAAGGAAGAAGUCAAGAAGAUUGACUAGGAAACAAGAUCUGUUGGUAAGAAUUCCUUCCCAACGAAAACUUUAAUACUGAUUAAUGUCAUAAACUUGUUGGUUCAUUUUUUUUUUAUUUAAAUUUUCAUUUGCCUGGGCAUGUUUGCUGUACUAUUAUUCAUGAAUUGGGAAUUGAUCUUUGAAUGAGUAUUGGAAUCAAAUAAUGACGAAAGUAUAUAAUGAACAGUUGAAUGUUCUUUGGCCAAAAUAAAUUCACUUUGGCAUGACUUAAGGCUGAAAGAAAAGAUUAUGUAAUGAAAAGAAGACAAUUUUUAUGAUGAUUAUGUAUACAUGUCAAACAAUGUCGUAAAAAGGAAAUAUGUCAUAGAAUGCAGAAAAUGUAGGAAACUACAUUGCCCCUCUUAUGAGUUUAUCUAUAUAUAUAGUUUCCUUAUAUAUAUAUAUAUAUAUACCCUAAGGACCGGAAAGAGUUAAAGCUUAGGGUGACUGGUAGAAUUUGGAAAGAACAGUGAUGGAUGGAAGUGCUUUUUGUCUUGCAGCUUCGUGCAAUCAUGUUUUGCCGUCAUAGCUGGUAGUUGAGUUUUAUCUUGUUGGUGGGUAGUCCAGUGAGUCCUCUGGUUCAUGUAUUUUUUUGUUAUGUAGAAAGCAAAUUCUCUUUGCAUGUCCUUGCACUGAAUGCAUGAGUGGGGAAGACGUGUUGUGCUCUUUAUGCCUACAAUUGUAAUAUCUAUCUAAAUAUAUUUCAAUUUAUUGCAUUGCUGCAGUGCCAUUAGUUUUCUCUUUGCCUAUGAUGCAUAUGAACGAAGUCAACAGGAAGUAAAGCUUUGUGUCAUUAGUUUAACCAUGAAGCACUUGAAAGAGUUUUGUGGAAAGUUUUUCAAAGAAACAAAUUUUCUUAUUAUCAAUUUGCAACUGAAUAAAAAAAUGACACAUUAAAUUCUCUCUUUUUAAUUAAAAAUUUUAUUAUCGAAAUAAUUUUUAAAAAUUACUUAAUUAAUUCUUUCUUUUUUUUUUUCUCAAUUUCAUAAAUUCUCAUAAAUUCAUUCAGAUAUCCUUUUUUAGCUACAAAUAAUCGAUAUCACUAAGUAUUUCAUGUUUGCUUUAUAUGAAAAAAAGGAAUUAUGAAUAAAGUAUUUUAGAUAUAUUAUUAUUAUUAUUAUUAUUAUUAUUCAUGAUAUAUUAAAAAAGGACAAAAUUAAACUAAAAAUAAAGUGAAAUUGAGUGUUUAAUUUGUAAAGAAUAGAGAAAAUAUGCAAUUGUAAGAUAAAGAGAGAGUGAUUAGUGAAGAGUAAUUUUGAGAAUUUUAAAUUUUUAAUAAUAAAUUUAUUUUUUAAAAUAGGUACAGAGAUAAAUUUAUUUCAAAUAGGAGAGGAAUUUAAUGAGUUCAAAUAGCCCCACCAUUGUAAUAAUAUUAUACAGAAUUUAAUGUUAUACUAUAUUAUAUUUAUUUUUUAUUGAUAUUAUUUAAAUUUAUUAUUAAUUAUAUUAAAUUAUUAACUAAAUAAUUAUUUUAUGUUAAUUAUUUUAAUGUUAAUCAUUAAUAUAUAAAUAUAAUAUAAAAUAGCAUUUUUAAAUAAAACUACAUGAUACCAUAAUUUUAUUUUUAAAUUUUAUUUAUUAUAAUAAUAAAAUUUAUUAAAAUAUAUUUAAUGCCUUAAUUAAGGCAAAAGCUGGUAAUGUUCCACAAUGCAGUUUCCAAAACUUUCAAAUAUAGGUAACCAAUAAAUUAAUGUAAUCCGUAUUUAUAAUAUUAUGCAAUGUUAUGUUCCAAACACACCCUUAAUUUAGUUUUUGCCGCAUUAUCAAACCUCGUGCCCUCCUCUGUAAAUUGUAUUGGUAACUUUUACAACAUAAAAUUAUUUAGUCAAUUAGAAUAUAUUUAAUUAUUACUAUUUUAUAAAAUAAUAAAUUUAAAUGGUAAAAAUAUUGAUUACUGCCAACCAUCACAAUCCACCGCUUGCGAUAUCAUUUCGAUAUCCUUUGACAUCAAUUUAGGAAUUAAUAUAAUCCUUAUUAUUGGAGCUAUACAACGAUAUAUGUAAAACCAAAAAUAGAGCUUCAUUCAUUGUAGAUCUAUGGUCAAAGUUUUGUAUCUCUAAACUUUGACCGUAUAUUUAUUAUAAUGAUAGGAAACUCUGUUGCUGAUGAGAUAUGCACCAUUGUGUAUAUCGAAUGAUGAAAAUUAUAAUGGUACCGAAAUUGACAUCAAAAGAUACUGGAAUAUGAACACCGAUGAUAGCUCAUGGUGGCCCAUGGGCGACAGUGGUGAGUAAUCUUCUGUCGUUUAUAAAUUUUAAAUAAUAAAUUUAAUAAUUAUAAAUAAUAAAACUUUUAAGACAUUUAUAAUUAUAAAAAAUAAUUUAAUAUAAGUAAUAAUAUUUAUAUUGUUACAUAUAAUGCUAUACAAUAUAACACCAAAUAUUGUACAAUAUUAAUAUAAUAAAAUGAUAAUGCAAUAAUGCAAUAAUGCAAUACGCCUACACUAUAAUACAAUAUAGUGUGCCAAACACUCUCUACCACUUUACUUAAUGUUGCUCAAUGCCUUUUAUUUCAAUUCCCAAUCAUGAGUUUAUCUCAAUUAAUGCCGGACCCAAAUGUAGUGUUGUGCAAUGCUGCAAGUCAAACAUACCCUUUGUGUAAUACAUACACACACGCACUCUCUUUUUUUAAGUAAGAGCAUCCCCACAUUGUUAAAGUAAAAAUGUCACUAAAAUACAAAAGAAUAAAAAUUUCAAUAUAUAUAUUUUUUAUUUGUUAGUAUAAUGAAAAUUGUGUUUUUUGUUUGUUAGUAGCUUCCUCAUUUUAACAAAGUUAGGAUGCCCUCACUAAAAAAUGAUUAUAUAUAUCGGAGUGAGUUUUCAAUUAAAGAUCCAUUAUUAUAUUAAAGUCAAUGAUAAAUUAAAAAUAAAAAACACUGGUUAAUAAUAUAUAUGCAUCGGAGUCUGUAUUUUUAUUUUUUAACUUAUUGUUGAUUUUCAUAUAGUUAAGAUUCAUGUAUAUAUAUUUAAAAAGUGGAAGAAGAAAUCAAUUUAAAGGGCCGUUGAGAUCCGGAUCCAAAAGUCCAGAAAACUUCAAAUUGGACUGUGACCCAAACAUUAGAAAACAUUCACCAAAACAAAACCCAAACAGAACCCCAGAAUCAGCUUACACUCGACCUCUCCCGGAAGCGGUAUCGAGUUGAUUUUGCAGGUGAAAAUCCGUUGAUUUUAAUUUAUUUUUCUCCAAAAUUUUCAUUUCAUUUCUUAUUAUUAUUAUUAUUUCUUUUCAAUAAGUUCAUUGAAUUUGUUCUCUGUUUCUUAACUGAGAAAAUGAUUAAAUAAAGUCUUCUUGUUGAUUCAGGUUUAUACUCGUAAAUAAUAUAUCAUGCCGGACACUCAGGCUCUUGUGAAUGACUUUCUUAACAAGCUUAAAAAACGGUGACGUUUCGGACAAUAUAUUUUAAUUAUUCUUUUUUUUUUUACUGAUUUUAGGAGCUGAUUUUGUUUGUUUGUUUUGUGAGUGGCAGUAAGAUCGAGGGCUCGCAAGCAACGGCAAGGCAGAACGCGGAGCUGCUUCCGGAAUCAGCUUACACUCGACCUCUCCCGGAAGCGGUAUCGAGUUGAUUUUGCAGGUGAAAAUCCGUUGAUUUUAAUUUAUUUUUCUCCAAAAUUUUCAUUUCAUUUCUUAUUAUUAUUAUUAUUUCUUUUCAAUAAGUUCAUUGAAUUUGUUCUCUGUUUCUUAACUGAGAAAAUGAUUAAAUAAAGUCUUCUUGUUGAUUCAGGUUUAUACUCGUAAAUAAUAUAUCAUGCCGGACACUCAGGCUCUUGUGAAUGACUUUCUUAACAAGCUUAAAAAACGGUGACGUUUCGGACAAUAUAUUUUAAUUAUUCUUUUUUUUUUUACUGAUUUUAGGAGCUGAUUUUGUUUGUUUGUUUUGUGAGUGGCAGUAAGAUCGAGGGCUCGCAAGCAACGGCAAGGCAGAACGCGGAGCUGCUUCGCUCUGUGAUUUCGCAGCAGCGCGUGCCGUACACAAAUCAGGCUGGAGCUUUAAUUGAUGCUGUCAAAGCUGUUGGCGAGCAGCUCAUUGCUGCCAAUCCUGUUGGUUCGUUUUUUUUUUUUUCCGUUUUCUUUUCGACUAUUAGUUUGCUCUUGAAUAAAUACAAAUAUGGUACUUAGUCAUGUUAGUUAUUUUUAAUAUCAUUGUGAUGAUAUCAUCUUUUUUCAGCUGAAUUGAUUUUUAUCAAAAUGUUAUUAACUUGAAGUAUGUUAAUUGUUUUCAUCGCUCUUAAUUUAGUUUUGUUGUAAUCUAGCAUCCUCCAAUUAGUACAGCUAAUAUAGUGUAUGUGCUGUAGGUAAUUUGGCAUAGUUACCUCUGAGGUUGGGGUCUUGUACAAUUAUUGAUGUUAGGCACCAGAACUUGCAUUUGUUUGGGGCAUGCAUUAGAUAAUCUGGUAUCUACAAAUUUAUUGUACUUCCAUAGCAAAUAUUCUUCUUUUCUUUUUGAAUCACAUGGAUGAAACUAUGCAUUCUGCUGUUGAAAAUUAGAACUGUUGCUAUAUUCACUAUCAAAUGGAUUCGGCAUCGCUAAGAAACCUUUUCUACAAAGUUAUACUUGGUUUUUUAUUUAUGAUUUGUUUCUUUUAUUUCUUUCCCUUUUGUGGCUUUUCAAUUCUCCCUAGCACUUUUUUCCAGAUCCUCUUUCCAAAAUUAAAAAUGAUUAAUUUUCUUCUUUGUUUGUGAUGUAUGUUUUCUUCACUUUUCUGAUUGAUUAAAUGAUAUAUCAAUGCAGAGCUUGCCGUGGGUAAUAUUGUGAGGCGUGUUUUACACAUCAUUAGAGAGGAAGAUCUGUCUUUGACUACGGCUGCUAUUGGUGGGCUGAACUUAUCUGCUGUAAGUGAUGAUGAAAAUGAUGAUGAUCGAGAUGGCGACUCAACUCUAUCGGCAGCUGCUGUUGCUGCUGCUGCUAGAAGUACUUUGCGUCCACCUUCUUUGCAAACUCUGCUCGAGGACACACCUGUCUCUGCAGCUGUUCCUCAGACUUCCUCAUCUGGGGGUGAUUCUGAAGGAAAAAGCAAAUGUGUGUUACUUUUUUUUAUUUUUUUUUUAAUAAAGUGUUUUUGAUAAUUCUUCAAUCACAGCAUCUUCUGUUAUUUUCCCUAAAUAAGCUUGUCUUAUGUAACACAUGUUUUAAAUAUGCAAUCGGAUGCAUCUUGGUGAUAAACUGGUGUUCCUGAAUGUUUUAGCAUUGAUGAUUUAGUUAAUUCAGCCUUAUGAUGGUAGAUAGUUAACAUACUAGUUUCCUUCACAGCUGCUGAUAAAAGUUCAAGAAGUCGGAAGCUGAAGCAUGAUGUUAUUGAAGCGGUUAAUGAACUUAUUCAAGAUAUUGUCACUUGCCAUGAACAGAUUGCUGAACAAGCAGUGGAGCAUAUACAUCAGAAGUAAUUAUUCCUUUUCCUGAUUUCAACUAGACAAUACGUUUUUUCUCUCUCAUACCUUUUCUCCAUACUUGGACUUUAUUUUCAGGAGAAUUGGAUGUCUACAUAAUUCCUUUUUACCUGUUAUUUUAGGAUAUAUGUAUUCAGUUUGUUGUUUAUGCAUGUACUACACUUAAAAAUGCAUGCAAUAUCUCAUUUAGAAGCAUAUAUAUAUGCUCUUUUCAUUCUUGUUAGGUUUUUUCUAUGUCACUUUCUUAAGUCUAAAAGAAUAAUGUUGUUUGUCUGUUCUCUUGUUGUCUUCCCAAGGAAUUGUAGGAUGAUAAUUUCAUGUAUCGAUGAUGAACUGUAAGCAGUUUUCAUAUCUGGCUUGCAAGCAUUCCCUUUUAGUAUGAUGUGGAGGUUAGGUUGCCGGAAUUGUUGGUGAUUUACAAAUAAUCGAAGGUUACUUCUAUUAAGAGGAAUGAGAGAUUUACAAAUACCAUAUUGCACUACAAGACUCGAUGUCUAGAUACAAAUCAUGGACUCCCUUUUAUAGGCUCAAGGGAUCCACUAUUACACACUAUUUGCAUUAUUGAUCCUUAUUACUAAGGAAUUUACUUUACAACUCAUUAUCUACUUUAAAUCACAUCACACUUAUUACACUCUUAUUCUUAUCUCUAAGGAGAAUACGAAUACUCGAUGUCUAGAUACAAAUCAUGGACUCCCUUUUAUAGGCUCAAGGGAUCCACUAUUACACACUAUUUGCAUUAUUGAUCCUUGUCACUAAGGAAUUUACUUUACAACUCAUUAUCUACUUUAAAUCACAUCACACUUAUUACACUCUUAUCCUUAUCUCUAAGGAGAAUACGAAUACAAUACAUAUAUUAUUAUCACCACUGCUUCAACUGCAGGGUCCACUAAGUUUCCGCUACAAUCCCGAGUUGCCACUUGUUGGCGUGCUCAUCCCUGACCUAUGGUUCCACCUUUCUUCGGAUGCUGCUUCCAUAUCAUCUGCUAGUUGCUGCCAAUCUAGUUCGACUACAUUGUCUGGUUGGGGCCAUUCUUGAAGGUCUAGCCAUUCGGCCAUUUCUUCAAGCUCGUUCCUCCAUCUAUCAAUAUCUGGAGUAUCCAAAUAAUUGACCUCUCUUGGCCCAUGCCUGAUAAGGUAAGGUAGUCGUUAUACCUCUGCUGCAUAUCUGCUGCUUGCUCCUAGUUUUUAUGCAGCUUGAGGUUUCUGAUCUCUUCCCGGUAGUAGAGAUCUGGAGUACUACAGACCUGUGGAGAAAUGGGACUGUGAGUAAUGUACAUAGGAAUGGUCCCAUAUACUUCUGCUAGAGCCUUUCUUGCAUUCUAACAGUCAGUCCACAUGGAGUCGAUGUCUUCUUGGGAGUGGUCAUGUUGUACUACCUGUACCAUAGGCUGCUUGUAUCUUCCCCAGAUAUCCGUUAACUUCACAAUCACUAUUGUAGUAUGAGUGAUGUGAUAUCCAUUGAUCAAUUUGAGUGUCAGGAUAUCUUCAAAGAUUGAGGCGAACAUUCGAUCGAACCAUCUUCCCUUUUCGUAUCUCCGACUGGUGUGAAUAAGAUUUGGCUCGAAUAGUAUUGCCACCGGGUAGAUGUUCAGCCAAUACCAGGUUAUGUAAUAGGCUUGAGGGGUUAUGUCACAAAUAACAUAAUGUCCCCAGUUUGAGUUCUCAUAUUACAUGAUGGAAUGUACAACCAAUUUUGAAGACUGUUUCGUGCAUCUGAUCAAGAUUUCUUGACAUUUCUUGUAAUGUACAACCAAUGUGGGUCAAAAGCUCUUUGACAUUUCUUGUUGUGGGCAGGUCUAUGUUCUUACAUGGCCAUAAGCUGCCAUACUCGCCAUGUUAGAGCUCGAUCUUUUGGAUCGCUCUUAUGAUUGAUGACCCUCUCAAAGAUUUCUCCUUGUACUUCCGAAGGAAGCCACGCAAUGAAAGUGUUGAGAUCUUUGAGAAAGUGUGCUCUAGUCUCAUGAACACUAGAGCUGUCUUCUUCCCACCUCUUUGGAAGGCUUCUUCUUUUGAUCAUGGUGAUUGGUCUAGAAAGAAAAUCCGCUACAGUAUUGGAUUCUCCUUUGAUGUGUCUUACUUCGAAUUUGAAUUUCAAGAGAGACUCAGACCACCUUGCAAGCUGUAGAUCUAGGAUUUCUCCUUCUUUUCUUCUUAGUAAUUCCUGGAGGUACUUGUAAUCUGUUUCAAUCACAAAGGGGGUUAAUGAAAGAAAGAAUUGGAACUUCUUAAUCCCUUUGGCCAGAUUUAUAGCCAUUUCUUGUUUCCCUUGGAUUUUUUUAUUAACAGUGCUCCCCAAUAAUGGAUUCUUUUUUCCUGUGAUGAAAAGCGAAAAGAGAUUGCCUUAACAGUUUUUUUCUUUUUUCCCCUCGAUAAAGUAUGUUUUGUGCUAACGUUGACCAGUUGCACUAGUCAAAUAAGAUUAUCAAAUCAAUCAAGUUGUUCUAUUGAUUUUGGGUGGAUACCUGGUUCACUACUAAAGUGCAUUCUGUCCAUUGUUUAGUACUGCAGAUACUCAUAGUUUCGUAUUAAAAAAAUAUAAAAAAAGAUUAUCAAAGGAAUUGUGAAUCUAAUUUUUUCAUUGAUAGUCUUAUUUGACAUGUGUAAUAGGUCAAUGUUAAGACAGAACAUACCUUAUCAAAAUAAUAUUUCAAAGAAAAACAUGUUGUAGCAGCCUCCUGCUGCCAGUCAAAGUUGGCCUCUGACCACCGUCUAAACUUUUUCUCUUUGAGCUUGAACAACUGUGUAUGUAGUUAGUUGUAUUAGGACUUAAAAAUUUGACUUCCCUUUGAUAUCAUUUCCUUUUUACAUAGGAAUGUUUCCUCCGAGUAGUGUCUGUGAUUUUCAAUCAUAGUUGGGAAAAUCUAUCAUUCUUCAUAUUUGAUUAAUACAAGCAUUGACACUAAUCUAGAAGUAUUUAUUACAUGUCCUCUGUUUGUAGAUAUUCACAUGUUGCCGUUGCAAGGACUGCCUACUGAAUUUGUUUUGGAAAGGAUAUCCUCUACGCCCUUGUGUUUUGUCUUAAAAUCAGUGAAGUCCAUUUUGAGAAAUAGUGAAAUGCCUGUAUCAUUAAUUUCUUUUUCUGUUGCCAUUAAGCAAAACAAAUAUUCAAUGGGAUGCAUUUGACUCUUUCUGAAAAUUGACUCCUUGACAAAGCAGCAGUGAAUGUUAUUUGCCGUAAUUUUGCUUACAUGGUGACAGCGCUUAGUCUCAUUUGAUUUUUUUUUUUUUAAUUACAAAAGAGAGCAAUAUGUGCAACUUUUGCUCACAGUUCAAAUGUUUUGGUCCUAGUUGACUUGCGAAUGACUAAAGUGGUAAUAUUCUGAACUUUUAAUGGUGGGAUAUUUGCGUAACUUGCUGGACGUCAGGGUUAAAUUGUGGUCGGGAAAACUUAUACAUAUCAGCAGUGUACAAAAGUUUGGCUCAUUAUUAGCAGGGGAAAUAUUGUGAUUCAUGGCCUUUAUCUAGUUUGGGUCAGCUAUGGCAUAUUAUAUAUGUUCUCUUGUGUCUUAUCUCCUAUAUUGUCCAAUACAUGUAUAUGCUUAUUUUUAAAUUCUUCAUCUAUGUUUCUUCCUACCAUUUGCUACUUCCAUUAAUUUUAGCUAUUAAAUGUAUUUUCAGUGAGGUAAUAUUAACUUUAGGCAGUUCAAGGACGGUGUUGGAAUUUCUUUUUGCUGCAAAGGAGAAAAAAAGAUCAUUCCGGGUAUUUGUUGCAGAGGGUGCUCCAAGGUUUGUGCAAUGGCUUGCUAUUUGUUGAUUGCAAAGAAAUAUUUCACUGGCUACUUUGGCUCUGAUGUUCUCUCUCUCUCUCUCUCUCUCUCUCUCUAUCACAUUCUCUGUUUGGUUGCUGCUCUGCUACUUCUUGUUUUAUAGGUAUCAGGGGCAUCUGCUUGCAAAAGAAUUGGUAGCAAGAGGUUUACAGACCACACUGAUUACUGAUUCUGCAGUUUUUGCCAUGAUUUCCCGAGUAAACAUGGUAUGUUUGGGCCACUUUUCUCGUUUGGUUUUGGAUUUCCUGAAAUUUUUUUAGCUUGAUCUAAAAAUUUGCAAUGUAAAGGUUAUAGUUGGAGCUCAUGCUGUCAUGGCCAAUGGUGGGGUUAUAGCACCUGUUGGGAUGAAUUUGGUUGCACUUGCAGCUCAGAAGCAUGCUGUCCCUUUUGUUGUACUUGCCGGAAGUCACAAGGUAGUUUGGUGCAACAAACUGCUUAACUAGAAAAUUAAGUAAAAUUUAGAAAGCCCAUUUUCCUUAACUGCCAUUCCUAAAUUCGUUGGUCUUGUGUAUGAACUGGUGUGGAGUUUAAGAUGGUGCUCAGUUAUUCAUGUGAAGCGAACUUCCCUUUCAGAUAAAACUGAUCACUAAUGUAAGGAGUAGUAUGUGCAAGAUGCAAAUGUGUUUAUGAAUAGUAUGUGGGUGUAAAAGCUCAUAUUCUUUGUACCAAAUAUUAUUGAAUGUUGGUUGAAUUAAUCUCUGUAGCUGCUGUCCUUUUUAAUGCAUCAACAUUUUUGCUGGGUAUUGAAUUGCAUCUGGUUGUAAUAACAUUGUAGUUGGAGAUAAAUCAUUGAACUCUGGUACUUCAGUUCUGGGUAUGAUCUUUUUGACAAAUGUGGUUGGUCUAUAUGACAGUUAUGCCCCCUCUAUCCGCACAAUCCUGAAGUUUUACCGAAUGAGUUGAGAUCCCCAUCAGAGCUGCUGGACUUUGGAGAAUUCUCAGACUGCAUGGAUUUUGGGAGUGGCAGUGGUUCCCCUCUUCUUCAUGUGGUCAAUCCAGCAUUUGACUAUGUUCCACCGAAACUUGUUAGUCUUUUUAUUACUGACGCGUAAGUUCAACUGCCCUUUUAGCAUGAGACAGAGACAAUCUACACCUUACGUGCAAUUUUUAUACAAUAUAUAUAUAUAUUAAGAUUACUUAUUUGAUUUCAUUGUAGAGUACCAGUUUUCUGGCCCCUUUAUUUUCCAUUGGUGUUCCAGUUCUAUCUCUUAAUAUAUUUCAUUUUUUUUCCUCUGCUGUUGCUGUGUUGUUCUGCUAAUUUCUUUUCUUCUUCACAGGGGAGGGCACAAUCCUUCAUACAUGUAUCGGUUGAUUGCUGAUUAUUACUCGGCUGAUGACUUGGUUGUGCAGCGAAGAGCUACUGCUGGGAAUUGAUUUUGGUUUGUAUCAUCUAUUGUGUAAGUAGUCUUUUUGUGCCAAUGCUCUGGUGGAAAAUUGUUGAUUUUAACAAAAAGGAUAAUCUUUUUAAAUUGACAUAACAAUUGGUACUCUUUCUGAUUGUUAUGAUUCCAAUAAACUUAAUUGAUAUUGCAAACUGCUUCAUCUCGGGAUAUAAAAUAAUUAAAAGAUGACAAUGAGUGAAUGCUGUAACUUGGUAUAUCAUUUUGAGCUUUGACUUUAUCUAAUCUUUGCCCUAUUUUAAGGUCAGGAAUUUAUUACGGCAAGAGCAUUAGCUUUGGGUUUGAGAAAUUUCAAAUCACUGAAUUUGGAGCUGAGCUGAUGCUGUAAAAGAACUCAGGGACAUAGCGAUUGCGAGGCAAUGGUGUGAACUUGUGCAAAUUUUAGGGACGCAAACAAUGAUAGGAUAAUUUUUGUUGGCAGAAAUAUUAAAAUGUACUGAGAUAAAAAGGUGGAUACGGUUAGAUAAUAUUUUUUGAUUGUAUCAAGGUUGGUGGUCAAGUGCUGUAUUCUUCUUCAUCAGUGAUUUUCAGACGGACGGUAUAACAUUGUUGUAUUGCUUGUUGCUUAAAAUUUUCAUAGCAGAAUGUAGCUGUUGAGAUGUUUCCUAGAAUAAUUUUCUCGUCUUUGCAUGAAUAACAUUGGAGAAUAAUUAUCUGUUUAACUCUGUGUUUUCUUUCGUUCCUCGACGGUUGAGACAUGUUACUUUUGAGUAAUGAUAUAAGCCCAAAGGUCGACAUAAAUGAGUGCCAUGUGGAUGCCUCCAAGAAAGAAACAGGGCGUCCAAACGGCAUCACGAGAGUGACAUAACGUUUCUGUCGGGCUCAAUAUAUCAUUACAUGUUACGUUUUGGAACAUAAACCAAGGAUUUGAAAUGCAUUAUUUUACAUUAAUCCCCCUGACAUAAUAGGGCGAACCCUUUAAGCCAUUUUUCAAAUGUCGCAUUUGAGAAGGGUCGAGUGUUAAAAAGGGAGUAACAAGAGCUACGAGACUAGUCUCUUGACUCGCAUUACAAGAGGUUACAUAAAACUUCGAAUAUUAAAAUUAAGGCGCACAUAAUGCAACUUAGAUAAUGAGAAAUCAGCAGUAACUUUGCAAACAGUGGAAAAUGUUACAUAAAAAUGAGAAUACAGUUUUCAUUGAUGGUCUACAUCAAACCAGAAAUACAGAUAAGUCCUGGCAUAUAUAACUCGAACUCGCUGCAGCAGUAGAUCUCCACUAGUCAAAACAGCCUUGGCACCUCCUUCAAUUCGAGUAUGCAAAACAGUAACACUAUCACCAUUACUCUUCAUUGGAGUAGAUGUAAUACAGCUACGAGCUGUACUCACGAUUGGGCAUGAGAGGAAGUCCAGUGGAUUCGUCUCACACUGAAGUACACACCCAUCUAUAGUUAACCUUCCACUCCGAUGGAGCAAGCAGCAGCCAAGCUCUGCUUUCACUGUUAAAUUCGCCAGCUUGCAUGUGGAUAGAAACUCCAAGGCACUGCCCAAACAAAACAAAUAUUGCAUAGCAAAUUUUGUUGCUUGAGAUAUUAUGCCGGUCAUUUUCGAGGAUCCUACUUCAUAUUUUUGGAUAACUAAAUCUAAAGGAAGAGGCUUGGUAUAAAACAGCUCAACCUUAAAAUAUAUAACAAGAUCUUGAAAAAGAGCAACCAGCAGCACAUCACAAUUAUUCAUCUUAUGUGAUGAUUUAUUAUAUCUACCUGUGAACCAUGCAUAAAGUCUGUUGAAUUAAAGUGUCACUCCUAUUAAAGGUAUCUUCUGUAAAAUCCAACAAUAUGAAAGGGUCCUCAUGUAAUUGUAAUUAAUCUCCACAAAACAGUAUAACUUAAUCUGAAAUAAAAACCAGAAAAUUUACAAACCUGUCCGAACCUCGAGAACAGAUGAGGGUUGUUUCAUCAGGAAGCUCACCUCCACCGACCUGGAAAGUAAGUUCAGAGAAAAGGAAAAAGUGGAAAACAUUUAGAUGACAGAGAUCUUAUUUCUCUCUCUUCUGCUUUCCAACCAAGAAUAGAAAGUGAGAAGCCAUGUUUUUAUCUUCAGUAGGCAAUUACUUUGCGAUCAUAAUACAAAAAGGAAACCAAGGAAAUAAGUGACAAUAGCCAGCUUUCAUGAGUUGCGCUGAAGGCAGAUUUGUCACUCAGACAAAGCUGGUUUACUCAAUCAUAUCGUUUCUCAUAUUGGAUUGAUUCCUUGAACCCGCAUGAUAAUGGGAUAAAUCUGAUGUUGACUUGUGCAAUAAAGUUCCCUAAGGUUAACCAAACUAUGAAUUUCAAAUUCACCAGUCCUCAUAUGACUGCAAAACUUAAUUAGUGACCAUCAUUAUGAGCCCUAUAUGAGAAUAGGGUUUAAAUUUUGGGAUUUAUGGUUUAGGUAUCUGCAUUAAUCUGUCUCUCUAGUAUAGAUAAUUUUUAUUUACUUUCUAUAUGAGCAUGCCAUUCACUCUUUUUUCAUUUUGGGAGAAGAAACAGUCAACCUACAAAGAUAAUAAAAUUCAAGCAAAUAUAAUAACAACUAAUGUCAACAAUAGCCCCAAGAGGUGAAGAAAUUUUACCCAUCACCUCACACAGUUCUACCACAAGUCAGUUAAUCCAAAUUCAUUAGUUGGGGGCAACGCCUCAGGUCAACUUCGAAUCAACUUCAGAAGAAUAACCUUCCAUCAAUAACUUAUACAAUUCAUUUUUAUAUUAAUUUUAACAAUAAGUCUGUAUCAAACAUAUCUUGCAGCUCAUUAUGUAGAAUAUAAAUUAAAGAAUAAGAAUUCUGUUGGACUAAAUGACUGUAAUGAAAUAUGUACAGUAAAAGGACAAAUAGUGUGCCCCUCUUUUUUCUUUUUGCCUUUUUAAAUUUUCAUGAUAUUAACAGUCCAAGAGACUUUCCUAACCAAGUUUCUAUAGUGUAAAUUACAUCGCGGAAUGGGAAUAAUCCUUUAAUUGUUCACAUGGGUGUCUUAUUGAGAACAGGAACGAUUGAAUAACGACCAAAUUAAGUCAGGCACAGUGGUUUGUAUUCGCACACAAAUAUGAAAUAAUGUUUUAUAAAACAAACAACAUACCAGGCACAGUUGUUUUUUUAUCUGAAUAUUAGAGACAGGAUGACUACCGCCUGCUGCAAUUAAAAUGGUGUCGCCCGGUCUAUGAGGAACAAUGUGAAGAUCAGGUUUUAUAGUCCUAGCGUAUCCCAAAAAUCACAUACAGGCAGUCACAACAUUACAAACCUUGCCACAGAUACGGCUGUCUUAAGGUCGGGGAAAACUCCAGGCUCUGAGAGAUCCUUAACAGACUGAUCUACCCGCAGCCACAAGCGAGGAUGACAUGCCAAAUAAUUCCAUCUGUGGCAAACGAGUGCGGUGUUAUACCGAUCUGCAAGCUCCAUAACAAUUGUGAAAGCGAUCGCACAAAAUUAUAUCAUACAUGCAUUUGGCAGACAUCUAAAACAUCCAUCUCAAUGCCAAACAAUCAUCAUAAAGACAAUUACAUAUAAAAUAUGUCAAAAUCAUCAUAAAGACAAUUAUGCAUAAAAUAUGUCAAGCUUACUCAACAAUAUCUAUUAAACCCCAGAAAUCUUGAUGUAAUUAUCAUGUCUUUGACAAUAAUUUCUAUCCGAUCCUUCUAGAUUUCUUUUAAGGCAUGUGAAGAAUGAGGAUAUACAGCGCUUCUAAGGGACACAAUAUACUAUUUUACGCACAAAAGAGUAUCAAUAACAUAAAUUUAGCACAGAGAGUUUUUGAAACAGGAAUUUAAAAUUAAUAGACAAUUGUUCACAACAGAAAUGCCCAUAUUCUGAAAUUCCGCAUAAAUAUAAAAUUUUUGUUUUUAAAAAAAAAAUAAAUAAUCCUCUCAAUGUACAAAAUAAAUUUCAGGAAAAGUGAUGAAUUGGGCAAAACCCAAUAGGGAAAAUAAAUAAGACUCCCAACACAAAAGUCAAAAACCCGAAGCAAACUUCUAAAAAGGCCAGCAACAUUCAGCUCACAAAUACUACAUAACUUAAUGACACUAAACAUUUAUAAGAAAGAGAAGAUUUUUUUUAAUUAAAUACAAAUAAUUCCCCAAAAAAAGAUAGUCACCUGGAAUUGGGGAUAAGAAGCUGAAUACGUGCAUAAGGCAGCCAUCAUCAAGAUUGUUUAUUGGAGCAAUAAAAGAAUUAUUUUUCAUAGUUUUGCUUUUGAAUCGUUUAGUACUUCGUUCACUGUUUAUCUUCUCUUCAUCUUCCAUUUGUUCAACAAACUCCAAGUCGACUGUUCACUGAAUCAAAAUCUUUCUUUUAACGUUUGCUAUGUUUGACUAUCAUCAGGUAUUUGACUAACCGACAACACUAACAGCACCCAAUUUUUUCAUUCACCACCCACAAGAAACCGACAUGACCCACGCCACGCACGAAAUUACUUCUGAGUUAGGCCCAAUGUUGGCCACCAGAAUUGCUUUUAAGUUUUCGCCCAAAACAAGCCAGCUGGGCUUUGAUGUCUGCCCCAACUUUUUCUAAAAAAAAGUAUAGUUAGUAUUAUUGAAUAAAAAUGUUAUAAAUAUCAAAUUCUUUGAUAAAUUUUCAUAAUUAUUUUUAUAAAUAUCAUGAAAUUUUAUUGUAUGGCAAGUGAUUUAUCAAACAUUCAGCAAGAAUUGUGGUUUUUUUUUUUUACACAAAAUAUGUAGGUUAAAUAUUUGUUUAAUAUUGAGGUGCUUUAACUCGAAAAUUACGAUUGCUGUAACAAAAUUCAUAUAAUUGUGAAAUAAAAAUUGAUAAUGUGUAGUAAAUAUGACUUUUAAUAAUUUUAAUAAAAUAAUAAAGACAUUAUAAAUUUUUAUCAUAAAAUUAUGGAAUAAAAUUAACUUAACUUCUAAACUAUAACAAUAGAAGUAUACUAAACACUUUAGGCCCUAUUUGGAGUGUUGUCAAGUAGCUUGAUUGCCAUAAUGGAGUACUUACUCAUUUAUUGCUACAACUUUUAAGGUACAGUGUCCAGCAAAAUACUAAACAGAAUUAAAUAAUCGAAAACAAAUUGUAAAUGUUAACAAUGUUUAAAUAUAGCUAAGAACAUCAAUAUAUAUAGAGUUUGUAAAUAACACAUACCUAAAAAAGUAUAGAAAGACAAAGAUAGCCUUGAGUUUUGUACUAAAUUGGAGAAAAAAAUAAAAUUAUUUUUUCCAAAAAUAACCACAAAGUUGUUAGUAAUAAGUAGAGAUGGUAAAAUGAGUUGUUAUCAUGACACGAUAACACGACAUGGAUGUGGCACGAAUUUUGUAUAUUCAUGUUGAUAAAUAUUGAUGCAAUUAAUUAAAUAGUUGAUACUAUACGACACAAUAAAUAACCGUAUGGUUUUCAUGUUGGAUCACCUCAGCAUGAUUACAUGUUUAUGGCAUGAAUAUCAAUUAAUAUAAGUAAUAUUAUUAAAAAAAAUUCACACACACACAGAGACACACACACAUAUAUUUGUGUUGGUAAAUAUUGAAAUGAUUAAUAAAAUGGUUGAUACGAUACGAGACGAUAAAUAACCAUAUUGUUUCAUGUUAGACCACCCUAACAUGAUUACAUGUUUAUGACAUGAAUAUCAAUUAAUAUAUGGUAAUAUUAUUAAAAAAAUUAACAUAUAUAUAAACGAUCAAUAAAUGAGUCAUACCCAUAUUUUGGUAUUUUAAUAUUGAUGUUUUGAUAUUUUGAUACAAUUAAAAAAAAUAGAUCAUGUCAGUGUUUUCUUAACUUGAUACAACAUAGUUUAACUCAAUUAAGUAACUCACAUGUUAAAAAUUCUCUAGUAUUCUCACAAACUCUGUAGCUCCGCUAGUGGCUAGUAGUGUGGGAGUCAUUGUGUGAGCCUUUGUUAUUUUCUUUGACACUAUUUGUUUUUUAAUUGUUAUUUAUUCCUUUCUAAGUUUCUAACUAUUUUUAUAAGUUCGCGAUGAAGAUUUCAAACUAGUUAAAUUGUGUGGCUCACUUUUGUUGAAAGAAAAAGUUGCUAUGAUUGUGGUUUCAGACAAGACAUAUCAUUAUGGAAAUGUGUUGACCGCCACUAGUUUAGUGGGAAACGUUUUGAUGUAAUCGGUGAAUAAGGAUGUCUUUAUUUGUAGCGUUGCUCUGAUUUGAAAGUUCAUCAAGGGUGUUGGGAGUAGAGCAUUUAGAACAAAAUAUAUUCUUGUUUCCUUUUCCUAAUGAGAAUGAUCACUGUCAUAAUUUGUCAAUGAGACAUUGGCUUUUUUUUUUUUUUGAAUUACAUGAGACUAAUGUUCAAAUUACAACUCAUAUUAUAUGAGAUUUACAACUGAUAUUUACAAUCAGACAAUUACUGGGCCUAAUUUACAUUAAUUCUUAUAUAGCACUGCCCAGAUUUUACCCUCUCUAAUAUUCGAGGGGUGUCUACUCCACUCACAUUUCGAAAGGGAGAAGACUGCCUUCACUUAAUAAUUAAGGAAGGAAAUAAACCCCUACAUGCAUCGUGGGGGCUCGAACCGCUGCCUCACAGUUGUGAGGGCAGGGUCCUGGCCACUGGGCCAAGGCCCAGUUGGUUAGACCUUGGCAUUUUAAUCGUUCUUUAUUGGCUCUCUUUCCUUUAGCUAGCAAUAGAGAAUAGUCUAGUCAACAAUUUACUAUAGUUUUUUUUGGGUUCAUAUUUACAAUAUGUCGUUAUGUUACAUGUCGAAGGAAAUGGUUGAUUUCCUCGGAGGAAUGCUUGGAGGAGUGAAGAAUUUGGAUGCUAGUCUUAGUUGUGUUUUGUAUGAAAGUUCUUUUGCAUUCAAGUUUUAAUUGAUGUCUCUAGGCCACUUAAACUUGGUUUGCUAAUUCAGUUUCACACUAAUGAUGAUGUUCCUGUGCUCCUAGUGGUUUAUAAAAGAUUAUCAUAUUUUUGUUAAUAUUGCGAUUGUAUAGAUAAUUUAUUUCCAUAUUGUUCCGCAUUUGACUUAGCUAAAGUGGAGCAGGGUGUGGUCAUGGAGUAUGGAUGCGGGCUGAUGCUGGUAGUGUUUUUCGGAAGUCAGAGGGUCGUAGACAAGUAAAUCAUAGUGGUAGAGAAUUGGAUUUGGGAUAUCAUAAGGUGGCUUUUAACGCGACAAUAAAUGCUCCAAGUGUUACGAAUAAUCAUGAGAGUAAUGAUAUAAGAAAAGAGGAUAGUGGGAGAAAUGAGCAUGUCUGUGUGAAUAAUGCUUAUAUUUACGAGAUAGUGAACGAGAGAAAUCAAGUUCAGUGAUUAAUAAAAAGACAAAUCGUGGAUGCACUUAUAAGAAUUUCAAAUUCUGAUUGUAUAUGUGUUUUACAACCUUUUAUUACUAAUAGUCACUUGCCUAAGGAAACAAAGAAGGCAUCAUGCACAGAAUUUGUUAAAGAUUUUGUGAAGGAUUGAAUGGAGUUUAUGGUAGUGACGUGGUUGGCCAUGGGCCUUAUGUGCCCCAAACUGGAGUUAUGGCUUCUUGUCUUGGUGAUGAUUCGAGUGACAAAAAUGAAUCUAGUAAUGUUGCAAGAUUGAAAAAUUAGAGAGAGUAAAGAGAAAAAAUUUACCACAAUGUGAAGGGGCUACGAAAAGGAAAAAAUGAAAGCGACUGGCAUGAAAAAUUCUAAAAGAAAAGUCUCAUAUUUCUCUAACUUUGGGAUCUAAGUAUAGUAAUGAGAAGGAUAUUAGAGAUUGGUCUAAUCAAUGGAAAUGAGGCAGGAUGGUUGCUGUUGAAUCGGAGGAUGGUGAUGAUGGCGUUUUUGCAGACAAUAAUUUGGUUGCGUAGUCUAUGGCUUUGUCAAAUUUAUCAACAAGAGUUAACGUUGAUUAGCCCCACCGGUUGCCAUGAUAUCCUAACCUAAAAUGUCCAAGGUUUGGGGAAUCCUUUGAAUCCCACACUCUUUAUAAAAUGCUCCGUGAGGUUAGACCUUCUGUUGUCUUUUUAUGCGAAACUAGAUUAAUGGCGGCAAAGAUGAAUUGUAUUAGUAUGACAUUGGGUUUGGACAAUUGUUUAGAUAUUGAUUUGGUUUUUUCUAGAUAAACCUUUGCUAAUAUAAGCGAGUGGAUGGCCCUCUUGCAUGAGGACUGCUCCGAUUCCCCGACCGGAAGCAUCGCAUUCUAUAGAAAAUGGUUUGGUGAAAUUCGGCAAGGCUAAAACUGGAGUGGAAGCCAUGGCUUGGCGGAGCUCAUCAAAUGCUGCUUCAAUAGUAGGACUCCAAGUAAAAGAAUCUUGUUUAAGCAUGUCAGUUAAGGGAGCAGCAAUUUUUCCAUACCCAGCAAUAAAUUUAUGGUAGUAUCCCAUCAAGCCAAGGAAGCCUCGUAAAGUUUUGAUAGUGGUAGGUUUAGGCCAUUCAAGCAUGCACUGAACCUUUUCAGGAAUGACAGCUACGCCAGUAGCAGAAACAAUAUGACCCAAAUAUUCAACAGAUGACUGAGCAAAAGAACAUUUUGUAAGCUUGACAUAAAGUCGAUUUUGUUGCAAACAUUGAAGGACAGCAGAGAGGUGUCGAGCAUGCUCCUGUAGAGAAGUGCUGUAGACAAGGAUAUCAUCAAAGAAAACUAAAACAAAUUUGCGAAUGAAGGGUCGAAAAAUCUCAUUCAUCAGGUUCUGAAAUGUGGCUGGCGCAUUUGAAAGGCCAAAAGGCAUCACAAGAAAUUCGUAGUGGCCAUCAUGAGUACGGAAGGCUGUUUUUGCUAUAUCGGAGGGAUGAACUCGAAUCUGGUGAUAGCCCGAGCGAAGGUCCAGCUUACUGAAAACUGAUGCACCAUGUAAUUCAUCUAAUAGUUCGUCAACAACUGGAAUCAGAUAACGGUCUUUGAUGGUUACCUUGUUGAGAGCACGAUAAUCGAUACACAUACGCCAAUAACCAUUUUUCUUUUUAACUAAUAAAACCGGAGAGGAAUAAGGACUAAUACUAUGCUGAAUGAGCCCGGCAUCCAAAAGCUAACGAAUCAAGCGGUCAAUUUCUUGUUUCUGAAAAUGAGGAUAACGAUAAGGUCGUACAUUGACAGGAGAGCUUCCAGGAAGUAAUGGAAUAUGGUGAUCAAUUAAGCGUUGAGGAGGAAGUUCGGUGGGUUCCGCAAAAAUGCCAGAAUAUGUCUCUAGGACCUUAGUAAUAAUUGAAGGUGCUGAUAUAUCAGCUACUGAAGUGGUUAUUGCCAUAAUAUGGAAAAAAAAAUGCCUUGCUUUUCUUGAAGCAAUAACCUAUUAAUUUCACCAUGAUUUGCCAAAACCGGUGGCAGGGAAUUAUAUCCAGUGAGUUGAACCGGUUGGCCUUUCCAAGUGAACUGCAUAGUUAGCUGUGAGAAGUCCCACAAUAUAGCACCUAAUGAUCGUAACCACUCAGCACCCAACACAAUGUCACAGCCACUUACUGGAAGUAAGAAUAAAUCCAAGUGAAAUUUAAAGCCUUGAAUAUUCACUGGGACGUGAGAACAUUUUCCCGAGCUGCUGAUCACUCCACCAUCAGCUACAGUAACUUGAAACUGAGUUGUAGUAGUGAUAGGGCACCCACAUUGCUUAGCCAAUGAUGGAUUCAAAAAAUUGUGAGUAGAACCAAAGUCUAUUAAUAUAGUGACACACCAUGUUUUUUUAAAUUCCCUUUCAGUCGCAUGGUGUUUUGUGGGGUUGCUCCAGUGAGAGCCUUUAAAGAGACUUCUACUGUUUCUGGGAAAUCCUCAAAAGCCUCAAUGUGUUCAUCUUUAUCGUCGAUAUCUGCAUCCAUUAUUAAAGUUGAGGAGCUUUACAACGAUGCUCAGGUUUAAAUUGUUCAUCACAAUUGAAACACAAUCCUUUGGCUCGUCUUUCAGUUUGUUCGGCAACUGAUAGACAUUGAAAUGGUGGGAAUCCCGGAGGGGGUGGGCCUAAUAAAGAGGGCUGUGAUGACCCCCCAGUUUUGGUUAUUGUGGGAGAUGAAUUAAGGAGUGGUGAUGGCCUGCUUAUACUAGGCCGAGGUGGAAUCCUUCGAUUAGAAACAGCCGCGUAUUCUUCUUGGAAUCUUGCAAGCUCAAAAGUUCGUAGGAGACUUGCAGGUUUCAACAUCUGCACUCCAAUUUUAAUAUCCUCUCGUAAUCCCGAAAGGAAGCAACUAAUGAAGAAUGAUUCAGGUAGAUUCCGAGUUCUAUCAGCCAAUCGUUCAAAUUGUCGUUGAUAUUCAAUAACAGUCCCAGUCUGUCGUAGUUUGGUAAUGGACCCGACUACAUCACCGUCUUCGAAUGUUCCAAAUCGAGUAACUAGAGCUCGUUUGAAUUGGGCCCAAGUCAUAUUACCCAUAGUUUGCUCUAACCAGUGAUACCAAGGUACCGCAUCUCCAUCGAGGUGUCUGAUAGCAAGUGACAGCACAUCUAUCUCAGGCAAGGCAGCCAAUCAUUGAUACUGUUCACAGCAAAAGAUCCAGCUUGAUGGAUUUUCCCCGCUGAAAACUGAAAAAUCCAGCUGUAUAUGGCGGGGUUGCACAAGGGCUCCUCCAAUACGUCCUGCAGGUUCAGGUUGUUGAUUAUUGAUUUGUAACGGUUGGUGGUUGUUUCUAUUUUCUUGAAACCAGAUGAAUUGAUCGCGGAGACUUAAGAUUAAUUCUUGGAGAUCGUUGGACUGUUGGGAUAAGACCUCAACUUUCUCAUUGAAUUGAUGAGAUAAUUGUUCCACCCUUUCCUCCAGUUCCUUAACAGUUAUUAUGCCCAAGAAAAAAAACUGCUCUGAUACCAGAUGUUAGGCCACUGCUUUGAGAUAGUAGUUUAGAAGCGACGAAUUGAUGAGAAGAGUAAUAAGAAGAAGUGGCCAAAGGGGAAACGAGAGUUUUAGAAGCAAUUCUUAUUAUUUAUUAAAGUAGCAACAGUUCCUUAUAUAAGCCAAGAGAUCCUACGAAAAUAAUAAUUCCUAAUAACAUAAUAACUUAAUAACUAAUCCUUAACGGAAAAGGAAAUAAUGGAGGUCUAAGACUAGGACUCUAACAGGGGUUUGUUAGAUAAUGAAGGAAAUCGGGUUACUUCUAUGGUUGGUAUUAAGGAAAUUAUUGAGGAUUAUUUUUAUUCUUUUUUUUCUUCCUUCAAUGUGAAUGCUGAGGAGAAAGAAUCAGUCUUGUCUUUUUUGCAAGCUAAAGCAACGAAUGAAAUGAAUUGGGAGUUGGAUAUUGAAUUUACUAGUGACAAAUUAAAGAAUGCAGUUAUGCAAUUUGAUCCUGCAAAUGCACCUAGGUCGGAUAGUUUUUUACCAAUUUUUUUCUAAGAUCUUUAAUCAGUACAACUUGUUUAGCUAUCUUAAAUGGGGAGGCUGCACUUCCUGUACAAUAAUUGUUUAAUUCCUAAGGUAGACAUACUUAUGUGACAUAUUGGGUUAUAGUUGAAGUUUUUGCUAAUCAUAUAAAAUGAUGUUACAUGAUGUUAGCUCUAGUAAUCAAAGUGCUUUUAUCCUAAAUCGUCUAAUUACUGAUAAUGUCAUAGUGGGCUAUGAAUGCUUGCAUAAAUUGCGAUGCUGUCAAAAGAGUUAGAGUGGUUUGGUAGCAUUAAAGCUUGAUGUCAUUAAGACAUAUGAUUGAAUGGAAUGAGAUUUUUUGGAACAACUAAUGGCGUGGCUUGGUUUUUCCACAAGAAGGACUCGGCUUAUAAUGAGUUGUGUCAACAUCGACGUUAUCCUUCUUGAUUAAUGGUGAGGCUCAAGAGCAGGCCUGUCCAAGUCAAGGUAUUAGGUAAGGCUGUCCACUCUCUCCCUAUAUAUAUAUAUAUAUAUAUAUAUAUAUAUUUUGUUCUCUGUGCUGAAGCUUUCUUUGCUAUGCUAAUUGCUUUUGAAAAAUCUAAUUUAAUCCGGGGGGUUAGAUUUGCAUCAAAUUUAUUUGUAUCCCAUUUGCUAUUUGUAGAUGACAGCAUGAUACUUUGUAGGGCUGUGUUGGCGAAUUAUCAUUAUUUAAGGGAUAUUUUUUAUUUGUACUCUUAGGGCUGAAGUCAAAUUUUUAACUUUAAUAAGUCCAAUAUUUUAUUUAGCCCAAAUGCACGUAAGAGUUUUACAGAGGUCUUUGGAUUUUUUAAAGUUUCAGCGUAUGAAAAAUAUAUAGGAUUUCCAGUGAUGAUUAGAAAGAAAAAGAAAGAGUUUUUCUAUGUGUUGAAAUUUAGGGUGUUGAAAAACUUGAGUAAUUGGUAGGAAAAUUUUUUUCUGUUCUGGUGGAAAAGGAGAUUCUAAUUAAGGCAAUGGCACAGGCAGCCCCUUCAUAAGCUAUGAGUGUGUUCCUAUUACCAGUGAGUAUGUGUGAAGAUCAUCAACGGAGGUUUAUCGCUUUCCGAUGGAUUUCUACAAAGAAUAAGCGGAAGAUACACUGGAUGGAAUGAAAUAGUAUGAGUUAGGAAAAAAAAAAGAGGAAUGCAUAGUUUUUUGAGAUCUAGUUUACUUUAAUAAGACAAUGUUGGCAAAGCAAGGAUGACAGUUGCUUAUUUAUUAUCAUAUACUUGUUUUGGGAGUAUUAAAGGCAAGAUAUUCUGAUGAAGCUCUUUUCUUGAUAUGACUAUUGGUAGUAAUCUUUUAUUUAUUUGGCGAAGCAUUAUUGGGGUGUGAGUUGUUACAAUAGAGGAUUUAAUAGUGUGGGAUCAGGAAAACAUGUUCGUAUUUAUUGUGAUAAUUGGGUGCCUAGACUGAUAACGUUCUGACUUAUCCCAACAGUAACUUUAGGCGAAGAUGCAAGGACUACUGUUUUGUUAGAAAAUGAGAAUUCUUGGAAUAUGGCCUUGUUAUUGCCUUAGGAUGUACAUUCUAUUGUGAAAAUUAAGCUGCCUUCACAAACCUGUCAUGAUCGAGUAAUGUGACACUAUGAUCGUUGUAGGGAUUACACUGUGAAGUCUGGGUGCCAUAUUGUAAGGAAGUGGAAGAACUUGACUGGUGUUACAUCAUCUAAUGGUUCAACUAGGCAGUUAGAAGACUAUUUAGAAGCUAAUUGUUCCUUCCAAGCUUAAAAUGUUUUGAUGGUGUGCACUUUCAGGUUUCCUUCCGUCUAUGGAAAACUUGGAGCUGAAAAGUGUGGUAGCUGAUUCGCUGUGUAGGCUCUAUGUAUAAUGUGGCGAGUCUAUUAUGCGUGCUUUAUCUAAUUGCCCAAGAUGUAAGGGAAUUUGCUUCAUUUGUUGAUUUUGAUUCUUUUGGCCACGUUGUAUGUUUGCGGGAUGUGUGGGAUAGUGUAAAUUCAAAAAUUACUUGUACUGAGAUUCAACUCUUGUUUUAAUAAUAUGAGGGAUAUGAUGGGAGAGAAAUAAGAUUUUAUAUGAUGGAGCAGUGGCAUCUCCUAAUUGUGUGGUGGCUUCUGCUCAAGGGAUUUGGAUGGUUGUGAAAGAAAAAAUUGUAUGGAUACAGUUGAUGUGUACAAGUUUGAAUCCUAUGAUUUGGGAGCCACCAUAAAUAUGGUGGUUUAGAUUAAAUAUUGAUGUGGCUGUGGAUGUUCAUAGUGGUAAGGUUAGCUAUAAGGCUAUUAUUAGAAAUCAUGAGGGGUUGGUUUAUGUUGGUUGGAGAUAAUCUUGGGGUGUAUACUAAUAACGUGGCUGCUGCUGAGGCAAAGACCCUACCUUGGUAUUCGACAUGCUAAGGAGAUUGGUUUGUCUCCUUUAAUGGUUUAAUCGGACUCGUUAUAUCUUAUCCAAUUGAUCUAGGGAAAGUAGUAUACUCGUACAUAGCUUUUAUAGACAGUUUCUGAGGUGCAACAACUAAUGUCACUACAAGUAUGACUUCAAGAUUCGACAUAUCUUAAGGAGAUGUAAUCAAACUGCGGAUGUUCUAACUAAGUUCACUAUUUGUAAAUGUUUAUCUUUUGUUUUACUAGAAGAUUUUUCACAGUCAUUAAAUUGAUAUCUUUGAGCUUUUUCCUAAUUUAAUAAGAAUUACUUAUUUAAGAAAAACAUUGAUACUACAUAAGACACAACAUGAUUACAUAAAUUGACACCCAUACUAAUAAGUGAUAUCUUGCCAAAAAAAAGAGUGGGUUAUUUGAAUGCAUUAAACUUUUCAUUGAACCCAUUUACUAAAUAAACUUACCUCUAAUUUUUAAAAUUUAAAAUUUUACUCAAUAAACCCUCUUAAGUACCCAAUACACCCUUACUUAACUCAGUUUUUAUAAUAAUAGUGUUUUUACUGAUUAAACCCAUUAAAUUAAUUUAUAAACCUUUAAUAAAUGUUUGUUUUCUUUUUUUUUUCCCAUUAAAUUCAAAAUUUUCUUUAUGAAUGUGAUUAAAAAAUAUAUAUAAUUACAACAGCACACAUUCAUACCUCUUCCCAUUUCACACCAUCUCAACCUUUGAUUCAAGAUGUAGAUUAUUCAAGUUGUUCAUGAAGGCAACAAACAAACAAUAUCUAUUCCUAUCAUUGCUUCUGUAGUAAUCACCAACAUAAAAUAAGCCCCAGCCACUGGAAGUAACUUUUACAGAUUGAAUGCGAGGAAAAAUAUGCAACAGAGCUGAUAGAUGCAGCUGCUUCAACGAACAUCAAGCUCCUCCUCCCGUUCCCAUUGCUGGCCUCAACAUUCAAUCUAACUUUUUCUCCUUCAACUUCACCAUUUUUUCCCUUUUGCUGCACUUGCAACAACUACAAGUCUCUGGCCAGUGUUGACCCAAGCCUUGCUGGUGCUACAUAGGAAAGAGGCUAUCAUGAUCAUUGAUGCCAUUUCCACAAUAUUCAUGUGCUUUCCUUCAAUGUUUCAUUAAAUUUCUCAUGUAGUUAUUCAAAAUCCAGAACAUCUAUUUCAAUUUUUCAAGCUGAUGGAGCAAUACGAUGAGAAAGGAACAUUUAAAUAAUUGCAAAAAUGAAUUGCUUUACUUCUCCGGUUCUCCUAAAAAAAAAGAAAAAAGAAAAAGAAUCGCUUUGUGGCAAAGAUAAGAAUCGGUUUAUGGCCGUCAACAACACUUGUUUUUCUAAUCAGAAUCUUUACUGUGCAUGCAAGGGAAAAAAAAUCCUUAACAUUCUGGUGUUCCUGAUUUGUAGUAAAAUAAUAGAAAAGAUCAAUAGACAGCAGCACAGAAGCUAUUACAACCAAAAUGAUGAAGAAGAAAGAACUUCAACACUGAAACAUUUUAAAGUAAACACGACUUGAAAUUUCAUAAAGAUCCCAACAAAAUUCUUAGCCUCUUUCUGCCGCUUCUUCUCUUCUUUGCGUAUUGUUGCCCACUGUCAAAUGCAAACAAAGAUAUAAUCGCCAAUUUUAUUACCUGAAUCCAAUCUAAUAUGCCUAAUUAACAAAAUUAUGUGGUUUGGGAAAAGAAUUAAGCCUCUAAUUGAUUAGGGUUUAAUGAAAAUAUGAUUAUAAUUUAAUAAAAUUAUAUAGAAUGUAAAAAUAAAUUUAAAUAUUAAAAUUUUUAUUUUUUUAUUAUAUUUUAACAUCCACGAUUAUAAUUUAAUUUUAGGGGAAAAGCUUUUCUCAUCCCUAGAGUUUCAUGCAAUAACUCAUUUAAUCCUUAUUUUUUAAACAAUAGUUCAAAACAUCCUUUCGUUAACUCACCGUUAAUUGAAUGUCAUUUGUUAGUAAUUCAUUAAGGGUAAAAAAAGAUUUUUCAUAAAAAAAAAAUUAGAAAAAUAAAUAAAAAUUGACAUAUAACUAAAAAUGAUUUUAUCUAAUUUCACUAAAUCAGAAAUACCAAAAAAGAUGAAAAACUUCUAUUUCAAGCAUUUUUUUUCACUUCUUUCUAUUUUGGCGGUAUGAAAGCCCUAUAAAUCCUAGAUCUAAUUGAAUGUCGUUUGUUAGUAAUUUAUUAAGGGUAAAAAAAGAUUUUCUAUCAAAGAAAAAAUUAGAAAAAUAAAUAAAAGUUGACAUAUAAUUAAAAAUGAUUUUAUCUAAUCCCACUAAAUCGGAAAUACCGAAAAAGAUGAAAAUUUUCUAUUUCAAGCAUUUUUUUUUUCACUUCUUUCUAUUUUGGCGGUAUGAAAGCCCUAUAAACCCUAGAUCUAAAUAUAAAAAAUAUCACAAUUUUCUUAUUCAUAUAAGUAUACUCUCUAAUUGCACUGUAAAUGACUUGAAUUGAGUUGAAGAUAAAGAAAAUAUUCAACACAUGCAAGCACAUAAAAAUUAGUGGUAUUUUUGAGUUUUUCUUCCAAUGAUUUAAAGAUAUUGUGUUAAUUACAGUUUGUUCCUUAUGACAAUUAUUCAAUGGCUAUAUUAAUUUAUAUCAUCGUUGAUUUCAUUUAAGAAAAAGUUAAUGAAUUUUACAUAUUUUGUAGUGUUAUUUAAUUGUGUAAAAAAAUUAUUUUAAUAUAGUUUGUAUUACUUAAAUGAAAAAUCUUAUUUUGCCCUCAAUGAAUUAUUAGUUAACGGCUUUACACUAGUGGUGAGUAGAAAUAAAAUAAGUUAUUACAUUAAAUCUUAGAGAUGAAAAAGAUUUUUUCCCUUUAAUUUAAGAGUAUAUUAAUCAUAAAAAAUUAUUUUUAAAAAUAGAUUUAAUAAAUAAUUUAAUGAAUUCACAGAGCCAAAAAAAAAAAUUUUUACUCUUUUAAAUAUUUGUAACUCCACUUGUCCUUUUCCCUUAACGUAGCAUUGUUGCUUCUACAGAAACAGUGACAGGGCCGUACGUAGAAGCGCAAGAAGCGACCAAAAGGAGCAAGAAAGCGAAACGAAUUCCGGAAAUGGGCGGCAGCGGCGGCGGCGGCGAGUGCAUAACGAGGAGCAGCCACGUGAUGGAGGGAGGCGGUAGCUUGGAGAGUUACAGAUAUUUCCUCUCUCGACGCACCGUUCUGCAAAUGCUCAAUGAUAGAGGCUACGCGGUUCCCAACUCGGAACUCACUCGUUCACUCACUGAGUUCCGUUUUACUUUUGGCGACAAAUGUGACCUUGAAAGUCUCCGUCUUUGCCUCCCUCUCCGCUCCAAUCCCUCCAAAAAGGUAACAUUUUUAUUUCCAUUUCAUCAUCAUCAUUAUUAUUAUUAUUAAUUUAAUUUUUAAUAAUAAUAAUGCGAUUCUUAUUUUAUUUUAUUUAUUGGUAAGAUGCUGGUUGUGUACUUGGGAACUGAAGAAAUCAGGACGCAAGCCAUUCGGGGCCUUUACGGUCAGAUUCUUAACAAGGAAGCUUUACAUGGACUCAUACUGAUUUUGCAAAGCAAUAUGAACACUUUUGCUCGGAAAGAAGUGCUAAAGUUUCCAUUUAAAGUUGAGAUUUUCCAUGUAGGUUACCCUGGAACUCCCAUGGCUAUGUAGAAAAAUGGCUCAGCUCUUAUAGACUUAUGGGUGUUGUUAUGAACUGGAACUAGUAUUGAUAAUUAGUAUGUUUUAAAUGUAUUAUAGAAGAUAUCUCAUGCUAUUGUUUGAGUUGUCGUUGGUUUUGUUGUUACAGGUGACUAAGUGAGUCACAAAUUUUCAUCGCUUUUGUGGAAAUUUGCAGAACAUGUUUGGGGGUUGAGAUUGGGAUUGUAAACUUUUCAGUUAUGAACUAUCUAAAUUCUAAAGAUCUUCUCAAAAAAAAACAAAAAAAUUCUAAAGAUGAAGAAACCUUCUAGAGUGGUACAAGAGGUGUGGGGUUAUUUAUAUUAAAAAAAGAGUACUAAGGAUUAAGAAAUUUGCUUUAGGAAGUUUUUUAGGUUUUCCUUGAGGCUGCUCCAAACACUUUGUGGUGCUUUGUCAUGGAUCCAUAUUCAAUUUAUUCUAUUUACUGCUGGUUUUCCAUCCAAGGUAUCAGUUGAUAUUGCACUUUAAAUGUUUGAAGAGUGCUGCUUAACCCUGCUAAGAUGUAAGAUCUGGCAAGUGGGUCUUCUAUUGUCUAUGGUACCAGUAGCUUUAGUAGCUAUAUAUUGUUGGGGUUUGAUGUCUGUUAAAUGUUUUUGCCUGUGAUGAUAGCUAAUGAUUAAUGCAAUUUUUUUAUAAUCAUUUUAAUACUUUGAGACUGCACAAAUGCUAUGGAUAAUUGAGGUUUUGGUUCUGUUUAUUUGAAUUUGACAACAACUUACGUUGGCUUUCCCUUUUAGAUCACUGACUUGUUGGUCAAUGUUACAAAGCACAUUUUGCAACCAAAGCAUGAGGUGCUAUCUGCUGGGGAGAGAGACAAAUUAAUGAAGAAGUACAAGAUAGAAGGCAAGCAGGUAAUAAUUUUAGUUACACAAUAAAUGCAUCCUUUGACGUUCAUAAAUUUAAUGACUCUACAUUCAUAUGCAUACUAUUGAUGGAAAAAGUUCUUGGGGUAUGGGAUCAUUAACAAAUGGAAGCCAGUACUUAAGUUGACUUGUGGAAGUUUUUCUCUGUCUUGGAGUAACUCCCUUUUAAAUUUCUUACCAUCCAUCCCAUUGUUGAUAUUCAAAGCCCAUUUGUUGAUGGUUAACUUGUUCAAUUAGAAUGCCGGUUGCAGUAAAGGAAAAAGGAAGCAAAGAUGUGAUCAAUUUGUUGGAUUUUUUGCGUACUCAAAUUGGCCAUAAGUUGUAGUUCGCUGGUUUAAACUUAAGGGUUCUGUUUUUAAUAAUCAAAUGCUGCAAUUUAUGCCAGUGCCAUUGACCGAUGCAUCUUGUCAUGAACGUCCUUUUGCUGACCUUUUGUUCAUGAAUGGAGUUCCCAUCUGCUCAGUCUCUUGCUAAUUCCAUCUGGCUGGAUAUUUGGAUUUCUUCAUGUCUAGAACUCAGCAGUUGAGAGUCAGUGUGCGGUAGUACUGGUGGUUUAUGGACAUAAAACUAAUGAGAAAAAGAUGUCUAGAAGUUGUGAGCUCAGUUUUAUUGGGCACAACUUAAGAUCAAAGUUGAACUUGCGAUAUCUAAUUAAUUAAUAUAUUAAGCCAGGUAGAAUUUUGUUAGGACGCUUUGGAGCUAAGUAAUCUGCUCAACCAUAUAAUGCAAGCUUAGGCUGCAUAAAUGAACUUCAGCGACGUGGAAAUUUUUUCUGGGCAUGAAAUUAUAAAUGAAAUAUGGCCUAUACGCCUGAUAGUUCUCAAUUGAAUUCAUCGACUUUGAACGUCUGGGGCCUACCUCUUAUGUCUUGAUUGGCUUAUCUCUUUAGUCUGAGCAAUAUGUUAAAAAUGGGUUGUGACUUAGAAAGAGGCGUCAAUGAGCCUAUGUGUCAUGAAUCAGGAAAAGAAGUAUGCCAUGUAAAGAAUAUGGUGGAUUCUUUUUUAUAACAGUGUUCGUUUGUCUAUGUAACUGCUCAUAAGUUUUGUUGCAUGAUUGAUCAAAGUAGAACACCAACCUACCUCUAUUUUUAUCUUGUCUUUCAGCUCCCUCGAAUGCUGGAAACUGAUGCGUUUGCUCAAUACUAUGGACUGCAGAAGGGCCAGGUGGUGAAAUUUACUUACUGUUCUGGAAUUGCUGAAUUUCUUGAAACCUACCGCCGCGUUCUCUGAUGCUUCCCUGUGUAUUAUAUGCUCAUUAAAACAGUGUUGACAAGCUAGCUAGAUACAUAUUAUAUACAUGGGAUGAAAACAUAUAUCAGGAUACAUGCUGACCAUGUGUACAUGUACAAGCAAAAUGAGCUGUAUAUUUUGACUAGUUUAUUUCAGAAACUCAAUGGCUCGAUAGAAUUUCAUUUGCAGAAUUGAAAAAAUUGCCAUUUCUUUUAUUUAACACAUUGCAUACCUCG